UCAAGACCACUUGUCUUUGUAACAAGUUGGACUACUAUAGGCUUGGACCUUUUCCUAUCCAUGAACGAAUCAAUCAUGUUGAUUAUUGAUUAUAUCUACUGAAAUCUAUAAAGAUCCACCUUUUAUUUCACAUGUCCUUUCUUGAGUUAUAUACAAUAGUAAAUAUCUUCAUGCCACCUCCUCCUAUAAAAGUAGAUAAUAAUCAAAAAUUCAAGGUACAAGAAUACUUAGAUUUAAGGCAGCACCUAAAUAAGUUAAAAUAUCUUGUUCAUUGCCAUACAUAUGAUAUUAAUGAAUGCACAUUGAAGUUAAUAAAGAAUCUUAUAAAUACAACAAAGAGAGUUAAAAACUUUUGAUUGAUUACAUCCAUUAAAAUCUAAAUAAAGAAUAGUAAAUCUUUACUAUAAAAAAAAUAAAAUAAAUAGAAGAUAACUCUCUACCUUUCUAUCCUUCUUUGUAGCUUUUGUAUAUUUGUGAUGCUAAAGAGAUAGAGAACCAACAACCAGUAAAUUCAAUUCAAGAACUUUUAUUUUCAUUGCAAUUAACUUAACCUUCAAUAAAAUAAAAUUAAAAUAAAGACCCUCAAGAAUAAUAUGUCUUUCCUUGAAUAGAUGGCAAGAUACAACAUAUUUGAUAUCACGACCUUAGAAGAGACUCUCAAUGUUUGGUGAUUUUAUUAGAGAUACGAACAACUCCUAGCAGUGUUCUAAGUAUUUUAUUUGAAGGAAGUUACGAAGGCCUCAACAAUAGCUAUAUAAUAGGGUGGUCUUCUUGCUCUGAUAUGGAACACUAUUGAUGGAUAAGAGGACCUAUCAACCAUCUUCAAACAAAACAAAGAUCAAAGUAUGUGACAAAUACAAUUCACCACAUCUUGAAUUCCUUCAAUAUAUGAAGACCUCUCCUCGUAGAACUUGUCCUUAGAAAGGAAGAUAAUGUUAUGGAUAUACAAAGGUACUGUAAUACCUAUAUUGUGAAUACAAUUAAUAGCUCUAAUGGUUGAUUAUAAUCACUUUUGUGAUUUUUAACAUAUUUUUAUUAAUUUCAAUGCUAAUAUGAUUAAUUUAUAGAUCUAAUCUAUUUUUUUAGUUAAUUAUGAUUUAAUUUAUAGUUUUAGGUUGUUAAUUAGAUAGAUACUUUUAAUUAUUAGAUUGAGUGAUUAUUAAAAACUCUAAAAUAUUAAGUUUAUAAGGUCUAUGAUUUCCUUUUCUUGAUUUGGUUUAAAUCCUCUUUUAGUACUAAAAUUAGAAUUUUAAUAGAAUUUUUUUUCUAAGUAUUAGAAAUUAUAUCUGAAAUUGAUCUAAAAACUUAGUUUUCAACUCCAAGGCUAAUGCCUAAUUUGUCUAUGGUUAAAAAAUCUCUUAUGUCUAAUUGUUUUGUCUUCCUAUUUAAUUUUUAAGAUUUUUCAAGGUUAAAUUUCAUACUACAAUUUAAAUGGAUUAAAAAUAUUAGGUCUAAUUGUUAAAAUAAUGAUGAUUUCUAGAAAGUAGAGGUGAACUAAUUUUUAUGGUGGAAUUACCUUUCAUAGUGAUUUUUACCACUGUUUGGAAUUGAAGAAUGGAGAAAAAUAAAUAAAUCAAUCAAAAAUCAAAAGUGUAUUAAUUCAAGGCCAAAUUAAAAUUAAGGAUUGUGAUUUGCUAAGAGUUUAUACUUAAGGAAGUUCAAAUUGAAGAAUGGUGCUCAUGAAGGCUUUGAUGGCAAGAAUCCUUGCUGAUCUCUUAAUUAGAAUAAUUAGAAUAAUUAGAAUUAGAAUUUUAGUUAAAAUUUACAACAAGAUUAGCAAAUUAAUUAGUUUUAAUGAUUUAAAACUUAGAUUUGGACUUGUAAAUAGUCGUUCUUAGGAUUAAAAUGUAUUUUGGAUACAUUUUGUGGUUUUAGUUUUGCCAAAAAAGCAUUAUUUUUUGAGAUAUAGGCAUUUCCAGCCUUGAAAUUAGGUUUAGGCUUAAGAUUACUAUAGAUCCUUGAUCUUGGUUAGAAAUUUUUUAUCUGGAUGGUGGAGAUGUGUCUGCCACUUUUGGGCCUCCUCUCACCUAGUUAAGAGGGCUUGGGUGGCAGAGUUUCCUCUCUUUUUCUCCCUUUUGUAAGGUGAAGCCCUCCCAUAUUGCUUCUGGGCUUUUAAUUGAAGGAAUUUUCUCCUACUUUGUCACUGCCUCAGUAUUUUUCCUCUCAAUCACUCAAUUUUUUAUGAUUUUGAGCAAUAUUCUAUAUUCAUCUUUUUCUAGUCACUAACUUUCCAACAACAUAAGCCACGAGUAAUUUGAAGCUUGGACAGAUUUUUGGCAAAUUUCCAAGUAGAAGGGGUCCACUUCCCUUGGCAGCAUUGGAGUGUCAACUUCAUAAAACCAUUACUCAGUGACUUCUAUCCCAACUUCAAUGUGAUUCAUUGGAAUGAAUGCAAUCUAAAGUCUAGUCUUUUAAAAAAAUCAAUCUAUGAACUUUAAAACAAUCACAAAUUUUUGAUGAAUUUCUAGGUGAGAAGGGGUCUGCUGCCUCGGCAGUUUAGAACAACUAACUUGGAAAAAACAUGUCUUAAUAUUUACUUAGGUUUUUCUAAUUAAUUUAUCUGGAAAAGAAGGUUUCCUAAGUUUAGUUUUAGAAAAAACCAGAUUUCUUAACUUUGAAUCAUUAGCCAAUUUUUUGUGGAUUUUUAAGCAGACAUGUAUCUGCUGCCUAGGUAGUUCAAGUCACCUUACUUUAAAAAUUCAUAUCUUCAACGUCAAAUCUUGGAUCACCACGAGCUUUGGGCAAUAAGAGCACGCUUAAGUCAAAUCCAACUACAAAAAAAUUCAAAUCCAUUAGAGUUGUGGAGAAUUUUUGAAAAUGUUUUGAACAAUAAGGAUUUGAUGUCUACAACUCGACAUACUCAAGGUAAGUUUUUCUGCCCUAAUCACCUCCUAAUCACACUUUUUAGUACAUGAAUUGCUAGACUAAAUCUUCACUCAUCUUAUUACCUCUAAUUAAUACUACUUAAUUUAAUAUUUUGCCUUAUCUUGGUAAUUAUUUUCUAAUUUUAACUUCUAAUUACCUUCUAACCUUCAAUUUUUAAUCUUAUGUUAUUUCAAUCUUUACUUAACUUUCAACUUUAAAUUUAACAUUUUAUCUUCAACUAUUGAUCUUUAUAUUAUUCUAUUUUUAUUUAACUUUUAACUUUGAUUUUAUUUUUUACCUUCAACUUUUAACCUUAUGGUUAUUUCAUUUUUAUUUAAUUUUUAAUCUUAAUUUAUAACUUUUACUUUUUAUCUCCUACUUUUAACUUUAUUAUUUAUUUUAUUUUUAUCUUUUAAUUUUUUCUUUUUUUCUUAAAAAAUCUAAUCAAAUAUUAAUAUUAAAUUUUAAUAUUUGAAGCUAAUUAUUAAAGAAUUUCCAACUUUGGAUGAAGUUUUGCCAUCAAAACUUCAAAACUUCAUCCAUGGAUAACUUCUUGGAUAUAAGUCUAAUUGGUAUGAUUGAUACCAUUUCGGAAAGCUCUAGACUAGUACUCUAUUAUAGUACCAUUUUUUUUUUUUUUUAUCAACUUAUAAAUUUCAGAAUUUAAGCUUAAUCAGAUAAGUCUCGGAAGGCAUUUAAUUAAAUGAAUUUAAAUUGCUAAAAAAAAAUCAUAAAAAUAUGUAAUUGACUUAGUUGUGUUUUGUUGGAUAAAUUGUGAUAAUCAUAUCAUUUUUUAUUUUUUUAUUUUUCUUAUCUAUGGUUUGCAUCUCCACACUAGUUAAUAUUAAACUCUAAUCUAAGUUACAAUUUAAAUAAAUCGGACUUAAGUGAUGGUAGAAAAAAAACCACUUACAUAUAUGAUUAGGUAAAAGUAGAUAAAAGUAGAUAAAUAUAGAUUAAUUUCAUAAUAUCUUUUAAAAGAGCUUCUUAGAAGCUUCAUAGAUAAUACUUUGAUUUUAUAUAUAUUUGUAGUUGAUUAGUAGGUUAGAAACUUAGUCAACAAGUUAACCAUGUAUUGGUAGCUUACAAAAAAAUUUAAUUAUGUGGCGCUCAUAUAAAAUACUUACUUUGUAAGUUAAGAUACAUGUCUUAUAAAGUCAACAUGUUUUGGAGGCCUUAUAAGACAUCGCCAUGUAGUUCUUAGUUAAGAGUACACAUGGAGGCAAGAGUAAAGCCUUUUUCAUUCUUGUCAAUGCCUUUCUAUUCUUUAGUCUUGUUUCAAGACUUUCUAGUCUUCUUGUUUUUGGCAAUAGCCAUUCUAGUUCAAUAUUAUAUCAUCUUUGAAUGACUUUCUAGUUCCUUUCAGUGAUACAAGAGUGUAUUGAGGAUUUUUUUUCUUUGAGAUUCAUGUCCUUGACACCAACAUGCUUCACCAAUUGUCCUUGAGGUUUGUUUAUUCUUAUUACAAAUGAAAGAUAAAUUUAUUUUUUUUAUUUUUUUUAAAAUGAAUAAAAGUUUUUUUGUUAUAGAAGUUAAUAUAAUCUACAAAAUGAAUGCCAAGUUUCCAUCAAAUUUUCUUCCAAGAAUUCUUGCUUCAAAAACUUGAUCCAUGAUUUAUAUAAUUAUCAAUUGAAUUCCAUUGCAAAGUCUUUUGCAAGAAGAAAUAUUUCUUAAUAGUAUCACCUAAUUCUAAAUCUUAAGACAAAGCCUUGAUUUGGCCAUUUUAGAUGGAUUAAGUAAUUUGAUGAAUUUGACUACAUAAACAUUAUUAUUGUUGAUACCAUCUUUGACAACAACUUCAUUAGCAUUGAGAUAUUCUUAUUUGUUUUUAGAAAAUAUGGCCAUAAUCUUCUCAUCAAUAUCCUCUAUAUCAUCAUUUUGUGUGGAUAAAAUGAUAUUAUUUCUAAAAAAGGAAUUAUUUGCUACAUUGUCAUUUACCAAUUUUGAAUAAAUAAUAUCAAAUAAAGAUAUUAAUUAUUGAUUAACAAACAUGUAAUCAAGAAGCAUAAUUACAUUAACAAGAAGAAGUUUAUAUUCUUUCUAAUUUUAUAAGUGGCAAAUAGAAAUAUUACUUAAUAAUAAUCAACUUCCUUAAAAUAAUAAUGAUGUCUCUGAAAGAACAAUCAACUACCUUAAAAUAGUAAUGAUGUUAGAUUGGAAGUUUAUUCCAAAUAAUAAGCAAAGUUAAGCAAAUAAACUCAACAUGGUCAGAAUUCUUAAUAAUUGAAUUAAAAAAAACUUUGUUACAAUCUAAUAAAAUCUUGAAUGUAAAAUAGACAAUUUUUCUUCUUUCAAAUAGCAAUGUUGCAAUUCUUGAUAAUGAAAAAUAUAAAACAAUCUUUUGCAUCAAUUGAACUUUAAUUGUCAAAAACUAUAGUCAAAUGUCUUACCAAUUUUUGUAGGUUUAUUUAGAAAAAAAAUGCAUCUAUAUUCUUCCAUUAUGGAGGCCACAAUAUCAUCAUAUGCCUAUUUUUAUUGAAGAUUCAAUUAUGGAACAUAUUGCUCCAAAUUUGCUUCUAAUUGUUGAAUGUCUUAUGUUCUUUCUUCAGCAAUAAAUUGAUUUCCAUUAACUGUUGUAUUCUAAUUAUUUCUUGGUGAUGGAAUUGGAAAAAACUAAGCAAGCAUUUUGUCCAAAUAUUACAAAAACUUAUCAAAUAAGAAAAGUCCAAUAUCCUUAAUUUGUUCUUCUAUUACAUUCCUAAUUCCAUAUUCUCUUUGCAAAUAGACAUUGAAAUCAUCCAAGAUACUUUCCUAAAAUAUUUUCCAUAGAUUUAAUAGAUUUAAAAAAAUAAUUUGUAGUAGCAAAAUAAUAAACAACGAUUUUAUUAGGAUUUAAUUAAGAUUUGAUUAGGAUUUAGUUAAGAUUUAAGACUUGAUUAAAAUUUAAUUAAGAUAUUCAAUUUGAUUAGGAUUUAUUUAGGAUUUAUUUAGAAUUUUAAUUUUUAGUAUUUUUUUAGAAAUAUUUUUAUUUUAAAAAAUUAAGAAUUAUUUAUCAUUUCUUUAAAUAUUUAUAUUUUUAGUAUUUAUUUAAGAUUAUUGUUAUUUUGUUAGGAUUUUUUAUUACUUUUUUAAAAUUUUAAUUUUAAAAUUUUAAAAAAGUAAUUUUUUUGAUUGAUUAAAGUUUGAUUAGAGUUGUUAAGGAUUACUUAGAGUUUAUCUAAGACUCUAUUAGACUUGGUAAAAUCUUAUUGUUAUAUUUUUUAUUUACCUUCCACAAUUAGGUGCCCAAAGCAUUCUCAAACAAUAAUUUAUGUUAUAUAAUAGCAUUGCCAAUAGUAAAGAAGGCAUCACUCUUAUCUCUGUAAUACUUUAAAAGAGCUUCUCCAUAAGAUAUUAUUAAAUUUAGUUAUUUUUACUUCUACCUAAUUUAUCUUCUUCUUCAAAUUACUAAUGUUAAUAUUGAUGCUCAUGACAAUAUAUAUCUAAAUAUAUAUAUAUAUAUAUAUAUAUAUAUAUAUAUAGGUAAGAACUAAAAUAGCUAUUAUUAUAUACAAAGAAAUUACAAAUUCUUUAACAAAAACUAGAAUACAAGAAAGAAAUUGAUAUAAAUAAAAAGAACCUUAGUAUUACUUCUUUAUAUUCUAGCUACUAAAAAAGAUACUUUAAAACUUCUUAAGGACUACAAAGCUAAUAAACAAAUUGUAAACUGUGUAAGAUCUUUUUUUAGUAGCUUUUAAAGAUAAUAAACUUCUAAGAGAAGUUUUCAUAUCCAUUUGGCACAUUUAAAAGAAUCUAUGGAUCUUAUUUGUAUUUAAAAAGCUCCUUUAGUGACAUAAUAUUUCUUAUUUAUUUGAUAUAUUUUUUCCUAUUUUUAACUAUUUUUAUUUACAACUAUUUAUUUGAGUAAUAUAAAUAUAUAUUACAAAUUAUAACAAGGUUUGUGACUUUAAUUUUAUAAAUAUAUAUAUAUAUAUAUAUAUAUAUAUAUUUAUAAUUUUUAGUUUUUGCAUAUAUUUCAGGAAUCACAUAAUGAAAUCAAAAUCAUGCAUAAAUAUUUAAUUCAAUUGUACAUAAUUUUUUUUAAUUAUUUUAAUUCAAAACCACCACAUGUUUCUUCACCUUUUUAUUAAAAAAUCAACUUUUCAGAAUAUUUAAUCAUCACCCCAUGCUAAGUAUUAAAGUUUAUUUCUUACAAUACAUAUCAAAGACCAUUUUGGUUCUUUUGAACUACUUACGAAUCUCUUGGUUUCACUCAGAAUACCUGAUCUUCUGAGUGAAACAGGUACCCAAAAGAAUCACCAGUGCAGUUCUGUUAUAUACCUUUACUGAUUGUCGUGCAAUUACUACGAACCCGUGUCAGAAAUCGGCAACUCAAAGUAACCUAAGCAGCUACUUUGUUUGUCUCCAUGGUUGGUGAUUAUGACUGAGUGAAUUCCACAGGCUGCAACAAAAGAAAAUUAUGGCAUGUUAGUCAAGUUUCAAAACUACAUGAAUGUAAAACCCAGUUGCGAUUCAUUGCUUAGUUAAAACGUCUAUACGGUAGCCAUUUUGAAUAAUACGAAACCGUAAUAAGAGAGCACUCACAGCUUGGAGUUCCUCCUCAUGUUUGGGAAUGAAGGCUGUGUCUACUUUGCCGUCUUUGAAGUCCUGAAAAAUCAUUGCAGUAAGAAGAAAAGUCUGUAAUUGUUGGAACAUUUGAAUAAGUCAAAAAUGAUAUCAUUCAUGAUGAAAGAACGUGGAGUUUGAAUGUGAAUUCAACACAGAAUACUAUGACACUAAAAUGUUGUGUAAGCUGAUGCUAUACGCAAAAACCUACACAAAGCUCAAACCCUGAAUCACGAUACUUGCACUCCUACAACACAUGUGAAUAAGCCGUAAACGAUUGUGACGGGAAAAGAACCUGGAUAUCUAGAAUAAGCUUGUGGUAAUCAAGAGUGGUUGGAAUUCCUGCGAAAAUAACAGAAAGGCCUCAUUAAGUCGUAUCAACAACCCAGUCAAGAGCUGCAAAAAGAAUCCAAAUUUUCUGAAGCACCAUUGUCUCAAUCUUACUAGAUACUAUAGAUGCACUGGUUUGAGUAGCUUGCAGACUUUUGGUGACACUUUCUAUAUAUGUACACAUUUUCAAAACACGAAGAUUUUAAAGUCUGGAGGACCCUAGACAGGAAGAGUAUUGCAGUCUUUUUACGUCAAGGCUGUGGGUCACGAGAUUUUCCUGACGUAUCAGUGAUGAUUGUAUCAGUCAAAGCCCGCUUCAUCCUUUCAAUCGCCCUCUCCCUUGUUGGUGCCCAAACAAUCAGCUGCAUGCAACAGAUUCAAUGACAUUCUCAUUUCAAAGAUGCCGAACAUAGUCAUGAGGUAGUUGGAUUGAGAACACAGACUUGGUGGCUUUUGAUGGAAGAUGAAAUACCUUUCCAAGCAAAGAAUCAUAACUGGGAGGAACAAUGUAGUCUGUAUAGAUGUGGCUGUCCAUUCUUACAAAAGGACCACCAGGUGGCAAGUAUCCAGUAAUACGGCCUGAAUUUUGUGAGCCAUUUGUAAAUAGAAGAUAGUGAAAAACAUUGCUGAAAAUUGGAAAACAAGAAGUAAUCAGAACAAGGUAGAAUGGCUCAAGAAGUUGAAUCCCGAGAAGGAUAUUUCGACAAACAUGCUGCAAUAUUAUGCAUUAGAUUGAAUUAAACCUGGCCCAGGACGGAAGCCUUGAAAAGCAUCUUCGGCGUUGAUACGGCAUUCAAUUGAGUGGCCGCUCAAUACAAUCUCAUCCUUAAAAGCAACAAAGCAUAGAACUCUCGUUAGCUGUAAUUGGGUAAAAGCGUAUAAAAAAUCCAAAAAAAUGUAAUUAUUAUUAAUAUUAUUAAUGAGAGAAAAUAGCAUUGAAUCUGAACAGUUAACAGCCCCAAUGAACAUUAACAUCUGAAAACAAAGCAACUUAUUACGUAACACACAAAUCCCGUAAGUUCAUGACAGCAGAAAUUAAUGUCGCAGCUUCAGCCAGUUUCAUGCGAACUUCCCAUGAUUCCAAGCAGUACCUGAGUGUAGCGGAGCUUCUCCCCUAGAGCCACUCGGAUCUGCUCCUCAAUAAGAUCAACAGCAUAUAUCAUCUCUGUAACUGGGUGCUCCACCUGAAUUCGAGUAUUCAUCUCCAUGAAGUAGAACUCACCACUCUCAUCAAGCAAAAAUUCAAUUGUUCCAACUCAUACCCAAUGGAGGCAGCAGCUGCCACAGCGGCAUCUCCCAUUGCUUUUCGCAGGUCAGGCGUGAGAGCAGGCGAAGGAGCCUCUUCCAAAAGUUUUUGGUUUCUUCUCUGUCAGGAGAUAGACACAGCUUAGUCCUACUACAGAAUGCAAACUCAAUGCUUUCCAUGUGUAGAAAAACAUGAUGAACUUGUUGAAAAGAAUUCAUUUCAUAAUUCGUGCCUCACGCCCGCGAGUACAUGACACAAUGGCUCACUAAUCCUAAGAAUUAGCAGCGUUUCAAUGAAGUGCAGCACGUAUACGGAGAUUACCUGAAUACUGCAGUCACGUUCCCCAAAAUGGACAAUAUUCCCAUACUUAUCUGCUAAAACCUGCCAAGCAAAUUUGUAUCAUAAUUCACAUCAGAAGAGUACAAUUCAUAUACUCGCUUCAAGUCAUUACAAGUUGGCAAAUAGAAAAGCAGAAUCCAAGUCACAAGUUCAUGCAGCUGAAAUCUAGCUGGUAGUUAUACCUGGAAUUCUAUAUGCCUAGGGUUUUUGAUGUAUCUCUCAAGAUACACGCCGUCAUUGCCAAAAGCAGCCCCAGCCUCGCUCCGAGCUUGCUGUGGAGGAAUAAAAAAUUACGAAACUCAAUCGCUGUGAGAUACACUUGGGACAGUAACAUCCUGUUUUAUACUCUUAGGUAGUCUGGUACUGAUGAUAAUUUGCUCCUCCGUCUCAGGUCUGGACGGAUUGGACUCUUAAACAAGAAACUGCACACCAGUGAUGGUGUGAGAAUAGUGUGCUUUCUAAAACAAAAAAAUCAUUGUACGAGAAUGAGUACCUGAAGAAGUUUCACAAAUUCUUCUGGCUCAUUCGCAAGACGCAUUCCACGGCCACCGCCUCCCGCUGUAGCCUGACACACACCCAGAGAGGGUUUUAGAACUCUCACCGAAUACUCCAAUCUCCUUCAAAUGCAGAAUUGAACUUCAGAAAGAGCGCCAAUUUAUAGCCUUGCACAAACGUCUAUGCAUCCCUUAAAGCAUUUUGCAGGUAGACACCUACCAGACGACAUGCAUGGUAGUGAUCACAAUAUGUACCUUUAUCAUAACAGGAAAACCAAUCUCUGCAGCCAGCCGCACCGCUUCCUCCGUUGUCUGUUAACCAACCAAACCCAAAGUUUCCAGUGAACUGCGCAGUGCGAAAAUAGGAAAAGAGAAGCCAAGCCAACACGAGUUCAUAAAGUGAAAAGCGUUACUAUUCCUUACCUCAAUCAACCCUGCACUGCCUGGAACCGUUGGUACGCCAGCCCUUUUCAUCGUCUCCCUUGCAGUUGCCUUAUCUCCCAUUACGCGGAUGCUGUCUGACUAUGGAUGACGUAGUGUUAUUUCAUCACUGCUCCGAUUCCGUUUCACUUUCGCACUAACUUGUCUCAUUUAAUUUUCACAUUGACCAAAGUUAUUUUAUAAAACCAAAUAGAGCUAAAACCACAGCACCACCCACAUUUCAGGAAGGUGAAAGAUGUGAAGAAUUCAUCAUAGCUACUUACAUUUGGGCCGAUGAAGUUUAAACCAUGAUCUUUGCAAAUGUCCACGAAGGUUGCGUUCUCUGCCAAGAAGCCAUAUCCGGGGUGUAACAUUGUACACCCAUGACUAAUUGCUGACGACACGAUGUUGGGCACGUUGAGAUACCUGCCAGAUUAAAAAAAAAAAAAAAAAAAAAAAAAAAACGAGACUGUUACGAAUAUCAUUACAAGGCCAUUACAAAUAUUCACAAUAAUCAGGGAUUGCAAGUCGAGCAACUAAAACCAGAGCAGCUGAGAGGGAUGUCGGGGAUUAAAAUCAGGAUAUGCUCCUAAUUGACAACACUGCUUAUACAAACACUGAGAGUACCGAGGUGUAAGGCUGUGAGAAAGGAAGAAAAGAACUUCCACUCACUAGAGCCAUCCAUUACUGCGCUACAGAGGUCAAAGUGUAGGCAAUGAAGAACUACUAAAAGACUUUUAUGACAAAAAUUCCACAAUAGCAAUAAAAAUAGGAACUCCCAAGCUUGAAUUAAACAGAAUUGAAAAACCAGGAUAGACAGGGUUACAAUAAUGUCACAUUCUCCCUAUCACAAUCACUAAAAUACCACUAAAUUCCAUUAUCGGUAGUACUGGUAGACUUCAACAAAUCGAUCUAAGUGGUUUUCUGCAAUAUUUCCGCGGUUUAACGACAUCUACCCCCGAGUUAUCGGAUUUUAUAGCCAAAUCCGGCUGAGCCUCGACAUUGAACUCUCACAGCCAUUGCUACACAGAGAAAACAAAUGCGACUACCAGGUAUGCAGUGGUUACACCAAUCAGAAAUUUGAGGAAAAGAAUACUCACGACUGACUGCUGGGAGCUUCACCGAUGCAUACAGCCUCGUCGGCCAAUUGGACAUGUAGCGCCUGUCUAUCAAUCGUAGAGUGCACGGCAACGCACGGAAUGCCCAUCUCAUGUGCAGUGCGGAUAACACGCACUGCGAUUUCGCCCCUGUUCGCAACCAAAAUCUUCUCAACUUGACAAGAUGCGGACAGAGCCCCAUUGUGCGCCUUCGAUCCACGCCCAUUCCCAGCAACCAUAACACUCUUCUCCACGGCAUGCUUCAAUGCAAGGGACCCAGUUCGAAAGCUACCAAUGCUACACCGAAGUCCCUGCUUCGGGGCACCCAGGAGCGUCGCAGACCCAGCACCACAUUGUCCCCGCACCCCUUCCCCAGCAAUCGCUACACCACAAGGCCGCUGCAACAAACACAUCCCCAUCCCCCAACAAUCUCCGAAACCUUAAACCCAUCUUCCUGAAACCUCUCUCUCUCUCUCUCUCUCUCUCACACAUUUCUCAUAGCAAAUCCGCUAAAACCUCCAACACUAAACCCAACUGCCAUAAAAUACAGCAAAUCAGAAACAGAAAGGAUUCACAAGCAAAUGACAGUACCGAGCAAGACGCUAGCUGCUGGAGAGCCUCCAUAACCACCAGUAACAACCGUUAUCAAAUGCUGUCAAUGCAAUGGAGCUACUGUGCUCAACACAGAGUGAGCAAUGAAAACACACACUCCCACUCCACUUCAGAAAAGCAAAACUUAGACUCUGAUCAAGCCGCGAUAACGACAAAUCUCGUCCUCAUCAGCUGCUCAUGAAAUGCAGCGAGCUUUGCCGAGCUGGUUGGACAAUGCGGGGAAAACUUUAUCCGCUCCCGAAUUCUAUCCCUUCCGACCCGGGUCGCGCUUACUUGCGGAAAUCCACUCACUGCUCUUGAGAAGAAGAAGAAGAAGAAGACGGCGUGCGUUGGAUUCGCUUCCACAUGAUCGACGUUCAUGUCUGCUUUCUAAUGAAUUCCAUCGUCAUUCUCAUAUUGAAGAUGGCAGUUGUCGUGAUACCCUUGAUGCUUUUUUUUAUGUGCUUUAUUCGGAAUCGCUCUAAUUUCGAUUUUGCGAUCACCUGCGGUAGUGAACUUCAUGACGUGACUUCGAUUUUCUGUCCAACUUCGUCGCUGAAUCGUGUCCAUUUUGAGCUUCUGGAGACGCUGACAAAGGUAGUUUUCCUACUGUUUCUUUUUUCUUUUUUUUCUUUAGUUUUUUGGGAAGUGAACGUGGUUUAUCCCGUUGCUAUCAAAGAAAACCGGUGGACUUACUCGACCUUAACUAAUCAUACUAGAGUGUUGUAGGAAGUGUUGUUUAUUACCCACGUUUUAUCAGAUCUAUUUAAGAGUUACAUUUGCUUACUUGGUGGCCUUUUUUGCUCUUUCUGGGUUCUUAUCCAAUAGGUUUUUAUUGUCAAGUCAGUGAGGAUGACCCAAAUAGUUUUAUCCAAAAAGUGUUUUAGAUGAGUUUUUUCAGAUAGUUAGUUUGUAUUUCGGAAAUUUUUUUUUAGGUAAUUUUAUGUAAAAAAAAUUAAAAUUAAAAUUAAAAAAAGUGUUUGUCAUAUGGGGUUGAAUUAUAUAAACUAGAUUGUGUUUUGGCUAGAAUGUUACACUAAACAAUGUUUGCUUAAAAUCCAAUAAUUUUAGGGUGCAGAGUGUAGAUCAUGAAUAAUCAUUUGAUUGUAAGCAGUUUGUUUAAGCAUGAAUUGCUGAUUUAAAAAUAUAUCCAUUUCUUGUCAAAUAAUUUUAAAUUUUACAAAAUAUCAUUUUCUUGAAUAAAAGAAUAAAUAAAUAAAUAAAAGAAACGAUUUUUUUCCUUCAAAAUUGGCAACAAUGCCAUAAUUGUAAAAAAUAACCAAAAUAAAACCAAUUUCCUUUAUUCAAUCAGAUUAAUUGUUAAGGACUCAAUUAGGUAGAACUAUCUUCCUAAAUGCAUACGGCAGAUAGUUCUACCUAUUUUUUUAAAUAGUGUACAAAUGAUAGAAGAAAGGGAGAAGGAGAAGGAGAGCUUGUUCUACUACAAUAAAAGUUUAUUGGUUAAUUUUCAUCUAAACUAAAGCAGAACAUAAUUAAAUUCAUAUAAUUAAGGUUUGGAGGUUUGAUAUGAUUAAAUUUCUAUUUACAGAUAUUCCUAAAUAAAAAUUUAUCAUAAAUUAUUAUUUUAAAUAUCCUUGAUUUUUUAUAUUAUAUAUAUAUUUAUAGAGAGAGAGAGAAACAUGCUUAAAAGUAUAAUAAUAUGAAUCCCAUAAGCUAUAGUUUGUUAGAAAGCCAAAAAGUUAAUUAGACACGACAUCCACAUUUAUUUGUAAGGCAAAAAAGGAAAUUAUCAUAGAUAAACUAAUUUUUUUUAUUUAUUUGUUUACAUCUUAAAUUUAUUAAAUAACUAUUUAAAAUCCUAAUAUUUACUUACAUCUUAUAGCAUGUUGUUGUACAAAAAAACUAAGUAAGAGGCAAUCUAUAAUCUAAAUGAGUAAUUUAUUAGAUAAAAAGAUUCUAAAAAUCCAUGUUGUUAGAAAAAUAACAAGGAUAUUUUUUGCAUCAUACAUGCAAAAUAUCAUGUCUUUUUAGAACAUAAAUAAUAGUUUCUGUAAAUCUAAUUUUAGAUUUUAUCACAAUAAAUAGAAGUAAAAAUUAAAAUAAACAUGAAAAAAAGAAAUGUAUAAUCCUUUUGUUAAAUCUUUCUAUAUCAUUUUAACACUCAUAAGAAACGCUAUUAGCAAGUAAUUAAUCAUUAAGUUUUUUUCUUUUCUUUUUUUUUGAAAGAAAAAAUUUAGAAGAAUAAAAAUGAUAGUGCUUAAUGUGAUAUGAUUGCAAAUGGUUGAUAUUUAAAUAACACUUGUUAAUUGAAAUAUUACUUGAUUGGACCAAAAUAUCAUUAUUUGAAAUAAUAGUAUUGAAAUAAUAUUAUUUGAAUUAUUACUUCAUUGGACUUAAAAUUGAUUAUGCGAAUUCAGACUUAACAAAAAUUUGGUUGAAAUAUUUUUUGUAACCUUUUCAAGACCUUGUAGUUUGUAAAUGAACAUUACAUAUUAUAGAAUAAACUCUACGAGCAGUAUAUUAAGAAAUUAGAAGACCACACACGGUGUGCACAGAAGUGUAGCAUCAAAAAACUGAGCUUUCAAAUAGAUCUUACAUUUUUGAUCACAAAGGUCUUGGGUCGAAUUCCUACAAAUCUUUCAUCCAAUGGUGGACUAAUACUACACUUGUACUAACAACCUGUCUAAAAAGCACGAGAAGGAGAAGAAAAAAAUUAUGCCAUUAAACCCCAACUGAGGCUACAGAAAUAAUGUUGCAGACUACAUAUUGAUAAAUGUGUACCUUUAUCCUGGUGUCACUGUCGAGUUCAUGGACUGCACUUCUAAAUGAUCUAACUAUAUGUGGCUGAGCUAUGCAACAAGCCUCACCUAAAUCAAUACUCACGAUCCCGCAAGCUGACAAUUCCAAGUCUAGAAUGCAGCAUCAAGCAGCUUAUGCAGCAGCUUUUAAUAUUUCCUUAACAGGUGCUGACGAUUGUAGAAGUGAUGGUGGCUGCAAAAUACAAACAAACUGGAUGAGCACCGCAGAAUAUUGAGAAGAGAAGAAAUAUAUAUAUAUAUAUAUACAUAAUUUUUAGUCAAUAAAUUUCUGAUUUCAUCGCCGAUAGGGUACAUUGUGUUAUUAUUGCUGACAUAUGCUCACUUACAGCUUGGAGGUCUUCCUCAUGUUUAGGGAUAAAGGCUGUGUCUACUUUGCCAUCCUUGAAGUCCUGAAAUACAAAAGCGUUCUAAGUAUCAAGUACGGAAGGAGCACCAGUAGUGUAUGACCAGAGAGACCACAUUAAUUGAUACACAGCAUUCAGAACUUGAAACAGAAGAGUAGUCGAUCUCGAAGUGAAAUCCAAAAAGUUUGACUGCAAUCCGUAGAGUGCAAAGGACUCGCAACAGUGUUGUAGCAACGCUGAAACUAUGGGUAUGAAGACUAACCUGGAUGUCUAAGAUCAGCUUGUGAUAAUCAAGAGUAGUAGGUAUGCCUAACACAACUCCACAAAUGAGAAAUUUAGUUUUCGACCAUAAUCGUCACUCAGCAUAAAGCUUAAGAUCAGGUUUAAUACAAGAGAUUCAAAGCGUGAUACAACAAGUGCUGGUCAGAUAACUCAUCGAUGCGAGAAGUAUCUCUUUCAGGAGUAUGACCUCAGGACGAACGGCAUCAUUAAAACGUUGCAAUUGGGACAUCAUAAAGAUGAAUGACUGUACCUGUGAUAAUUGUGUCAUUCAGAGCCCGCUUCAUCCUUUCAAUAGCUCUCUCCCUUGUUGGACCCCAAACAAUUAGCUGCAAACACAACCCAAUUCAAUAAUCCCUGUGACAGAAGUGCCAGAAGCAUAUGAAUAGAACAAAAAGAAAGAGGAGAGUGGAAGACAGACCUUUCCAAGUAACGAAUCAUAACUGGGAGGCACCACGUAGUCUGUAUAGAUGUGGCUGUCCAUCCUCACAAAUGGGCCACCAGGAGGCAAAUAGCCAGUAAUACGACCUGCACUUGGAACAAAGGUCACGUCAGCAAUUAGCUCAUAUCAACAUGAGGCACGCAAAGGUAGCAAUAUUGCAUUAAGAUCUCUUAUCCAUUCACAUUUCUUUCAUAUCAAAUGCAUAUAUCCAACAAUUCCUGACCAGAAAACAUUAGCCACCUUUGUGAUCCUCGAAGGUCAUGUUUAAUAACAAAUCAAAACAUGUGCAUGUAACAAAUCAAAACAGCAGCGUAUGGAGUCAAUCUAGUUAAUAAGUAAUUGCUCUAACCUGGUCCGGGGCGGAAGCCUUGGAAAGCAUCCUCUGCGUUGAUACGACACUCAAUAGAAUGUCCCCUCAAUACAAUAUCGUCCUUCAAAGCCAGGAAGCAAAACCACACGCCGAUGAAAUCAUUUCCACAAAAACGGUUUAUGGACUUACAGAACUAUGAAGUGAAAGAAAAACAAUUCUAAAUCUGAGCUACAAAAGAAUACUUCAAUCCUCUAACCUGAGUGAAUCGUAGCUUUUCUCCCAAUGCUGCCCGAAUUUGCUCCUCGAUCAGAUCAACAGCAUAAAUCAUUUCUGUCACAGGAUGCUCCACUUGAAUACGCGUGUUCAUCUCCAUGAAGUAGAAAUUGCCACCCUCAUCAAGUAGAAACUCAACUGUACCAACUCCAAUAUAUCCAAUAGAGGCAGUAGCAGCCACGGCAGCAUCACCCAUUGCUUUACGCAACUCAGGGGUUAGGGCGGGAGAAGGGGCUUCUUCCAAGAGCUUUUGGUUUCUUCUCUGUCGUCACAAGAAAAGAGGUGAUUCCAUUUGCAUAGUCAGCAACACAUCUCACUGAUAAAACAGUGUGUGAAACUUUACCAAACUAAGCUGCAAUAAUAUUGCUUCGUCUUAUUGCUCUGAGGAACUUUUUAUGUCAAUAUGAUGGAUAGCUUAAGAAUCUUCGUAAAGCUCAGAACUCAUUUCUAGCUCAAGAAAGAAUAUCAGCAAGCUGUUCCACACAUCGUCAUUUACCUGAAUACUGCAAUCACGUUCGCCAAAAUGAACCACGUUUCCAUGUUUGUCGGCCAAAACCUACAAUACCAAUCCGGUGCAACAUCUCAAAUAAGAGAACCACAAUUCUAGUGAUAACGUGCUUAUUGUCCAAAACAGUGUAGAAAAUCAGUACAUACAUCACACAUCAGCAAGACAAUCAUACCUGAAAUUCAAUGUGCCUGGGGUUCUGGAUAUAUCUCUCAAGAUACACACCAUCAUUUCCAAAAGCAGCCCCUGCUUCACUCCUGGCUUGCUGCACACAAAAGAAACAAAAAAAAUUAGGGGAUCUCAUCGUCAUUUGCAAGCACUUCCACCCUCAGACCGCCAAAACCUGGUCAAAAUCGUGUCAAGUCAAAAUUACUCCUCGACACAGUACACAAUUAGUAUACAGCAAGCGCAAACCAGACAAGAUUACAGAGUUUAGCAUCGAUAUUUUCUUUCAAAUUCUUGGAAAGUAGAUAUAAAAUACCUGCAAAAGCUUUACAAACUCUCCAGGCUCAUUUGCAAGUCUCAUUCCACGACCACCACCUCCAGCCGUUGCCUACAUCACAGGACGUGAAAAAGGGGGGCAUUGUUGACUAGAAUCGGGAAUACUAAAGAAGUGGAAGAACAGUCCGGAAGGGCAUGAGCCAUAUUAUUUGAAGUUAAAUUAAGCUGAUAAAUUAAAUAGGUAGAAGUCAAAAAAUUGCUCAGACUUGUACUGAGAAUGCAAGACCAGAUCAGCAUUUGCACUAAAAUGCAACCAUGGAUGAAAAUACAUACUAGGAAUACAUAAAAGUACAAUUGUGAAGUUGUGUCUUUAAGAUAUGAAGCGCAGAUAAAAAAGGAUAAACAUACCUUGAUCAUGACUGGGAAGCCAAUCUCGUGGGCUAAUCGCACUGCUUCCUCCGUGGUCUAUAAAGCAGAAAACAUUUGAGUCAGCGUGAUGGUUACAUGUCCAAGACUGUAAUGCGUCCCCAUAUACCAGUCUGUCCUGACUCAUUAUCAAUCCAUAAUGCACAAUUUAGAACGAAGCACCAACAUAGGAACCCAUCAUGAGACAAUCAUAUCACCUGAAUAAGACCCUCGCUGCCUGGGACAGUAGGUACUCCAGCUGAUUUCAUUGUCUCUCGAGCUGUUGCCUUAUCCCCCAUAACGCGGAUACUAUCUGACUGCGGGCGGUAAAAACUCAUUCAAGAUCAGGAUUCGGUCAAAAUUCUGAAGCGAUGUGUAAAAAUAACAAACCCCACGAGAUGCAAGAUUCCAUUGGCUCAAGAUCCUUGCAGACGGCGAAGAAGCUACAGAAACCAUCAACAUAAUUAAGCAAGGAAAAAAAUAUACAUCAAUGGAAUCAAAAAAACCAAAAUUCAACUCAAAAAGUUAAGGGAGGCUCCUCACGUUCGGGCCAAUGAAAUUGAGACCGUGGUCCUUGCACAUAUCCACGAAGGUCGCAUUCUCCGCCAAGAAACCGUAACCAGGAUGCAACAUGGUGCACCUAUGAGUGAUUGCUGCUGUUAUUAUGUUCGGAAUGUUAAGGUACCUAACCAUACAACAAAAACCACAUAAUUUGGCUCAGCCAACCCAAGUUCACAAGCACACUUACUAAGACGAAAAAUGAAUCGCUUUCACCACACAAGAUAGUGUGUUCCAUCAGAUCGGUCGACCAUUGUCUAAUUCGUUCAUAACUUCAUAUCUACUUCUAUCAAGCCCAUUUCCAUGGCUGGUGAAUGAGCUACAACAAAAGGGCAGUUGAAGGUCCACGACGAUGGAUGCAAAUUGCGGCAAAAGUGCACGGGAAGGCCAAUCACGCAAUUGGAGGAAAGCUGCCAUAAUCCAAAGCAUGACAUAGAUAUGUUCUAGAGGUAAUUGAACGCAGAGCAAAACUUUGCACUCGCGAGUCAAUCAAAUUCAUGAUGACUCAAGCUAAAUAAAAUGAUACAGAAAUGAAGGAUAAGAUCACACUCACGAUUGGCUACUGGGAGCUUCGCCAAUGCAUACAGCUUGAUCGGCCAGCUGGACGUGCAGCGCUUGCCUAUCAAUCGUAGAAUGCACGGCCACGCACGGAAUGCCCAUCUCAUGAGCAGUGCGAAUAAUACGCACUGCAAUUUCACCCCUGUUCGCAACCAAAAUCUUUUCACCUUCACAAGUUGCAGAUAGAGCUCCAUUGCGAGAUUUCGAUUUACCCCUUUUCUCAGCAACUACGGUAUGCUCCAAGGAGAGUGAACCGGCCUGAAAUCUACCGCUGCUGCAUCGCAUGCUCUUCUUAGCAGCUCUCAAAAGACCCGGAGCAUGACCACUGCAUUGACGCUGCACCCCAUUUCCAGAUGCGACAAUGCCACGAGCGCGCUGCCGCAAUCCACCCAACAACCCACAUGAACACCUCAAACCCCCUGACGAUCAUCAAUCACUAAUCCUCAUUAAACUCUACUAACCCAUCACAGCAUCUAAACUCUCUCACACACACAUCAAACGUCUCUAAUCACUAGCACGCCACAUCGAGAACAAAUUCUCAAAACUCUAUACAAACUCCAUUCGAAAGAAAUCGCGGGAAGAAAAACAAAAAAUAACAAAAAAAACAAACAAACCAGCUACCCAAAUGAUCUUUCUCGGUCUGAACGCGCCACAGUAACUAAACCACAAGACCAAGGCUCAAAACAUGACGCGAAGGACAAUGAAACGAAGCGCGCGACGAACCGUGGAGGAGGCGAGCUGCUGGAGGGCCUCCAUGGGGGCAGCAAUGCGGGCGAUGGAGGUGCGGACACACAGGGAAGGAAGGAUGAAGAAGAGAAGAAGAGCUGAAAAACAAGCUGCGAUGACGAGGUGGGAGUAGAGUGAGGAUCAACAAGCGAGACGGCGACACACUCGAGAGAAGCGAAGCGAAGGGAGUAAGUGAGGAAGUGAAGUGGCGAUACUAACGAGGUGGUCCUGAUUCUCCUCCUCGAGGUAAUCGGCGCCAGCCAGACGUCACCCCUCCCUGCCCUACCCCACCAGUCUCCAUCGCCAUCGCCACCAACGCUCCGGCGCGGCGCUGGGCUGGCCUCAUCUCGCAAUUUCCGACGUCGGGGCCUGACUCACUCGCAUCUACUUUUUCGGAGGAAACUGAAUCUUCGGCGGUUCCCCUUCACAUGCAACUACUGCAUUCUACUCACCACUGUUUGUGUCUGUAUUGUGUCACUCUGUGUCUGUUUCAUCACAUGAUUUUGCAUGGUUUUAUAAGGUUUCACCAUGUCCAGCUACUAAGGGUUUUGAAUUUCGUGUGUUCUUUGGAAUAAUUGGAAUUGUUGCGAGUUGUUUGUGAUGUAGUGAAAUUGGAUGCAAGUUUAUGGGUGAGUCAUGCAUUUUGCACGAGUGAUUAUUAUUGGGUCAAAUAAUCUUGUGAUGAGAAAGAACAUUUGAUUUAUGUUGUGUUUGUGGUAUAUUAAAAACACUUGAAUCUGUUGGGUUGUCAAAAAUUAAAAUAAACAAUAAAUAAAAAAAGUCUAUUGAUUUUGGGUUUUUGUAUGAAUUAAUGUGUAGAAUAGAAUUAAUUUUGGUUUUAAAAAUAAAAAAUAAGGAACAGGUUAGCACUUGUUGCUAAAAUUCUUUUAUCUUUUUUACUAUUUAACUUUUCCCUUGUUGUUGAGAUUGAGAAUUUAAUGUCAUCAAAAAAUUGUACACAGCAAAUCUUUAAAGCUGUGCUGGAUUAUCUCAUUGAAUUUACUUCAAAAAUAAAAUUCAUUGAGAUUGCAAAUAAAAUAAAACAAAGUAGUGGUUGAAAAAAAAAGUAAAAAUAAGAUACUUGAAAAUAAUUUGGUACUAAAUAUUAGGUUUAUAUGACAUCAGUUUAAUUCCAAACCCAAUAAACAUUAUUAUCAAAGUUACUUUGAUAACCAUAAAUGUAAAAAUAUAUAUUUUCGAAAAGUGACUGUUAGUUCAAGAAAAAUUAUCACGGCUUCUAAUAAUAUUUUGUGUGUAAAAAAACAAUCCUAAAAUAGCAUAUUGGCACUGCCAUCUCGACUGUUUGAUCAAGCCAACUAAACUCAUCCCAGUAGACAACUUUUGCACUUGAAUGUGGAUAAUAUAUUUCAUAGCAAGUCUAUUUUACACGGGGAAUAUGACGGCUACUAACAGAGCGAUAACAUAACUAUUCAUCACAAGAAACUUUUUUUUCACUCCUAUGAAGGGGCAUAUCCCAAAACGAAGCCUACUGAAAAAUCCAAAAAAUGAGAUCGCAAUUUUAUCCCUGUAAUUGCUUCUCAUUGCAACAGAAUCUGCCGAAGUACUUGACUGACGACGCUUAUAAUACAUCAAGCGCAAACUCAUCAAAAGAAUUAGCACUAGAUUUUGUACUGUUGUCCAUGAUUUCUGAACCAUUCUCCGUGUGCAGCACUCGUAAAGAUUCGAAAAUACUGGAGAUACUGCCAAUCAUCUUCCGAUGCUGGCUGUACAAUGGACAGAAGCACUAGCACCAGAUUCACAAGUGGUAUCGACAGAUCUUGAAUAACUUCGAAAUGUAUACAUAACGCCAGGCUUGGAAGGUCUCCGACUGUGAAAAUCUGAACCGCAUUUCUAAAAAAAAAAACGCUCAGAUUUGUCGAAAUUCGUUCUCCAUCACCAUUCUUCAGGAAAUACAGCCCCCAACCAAACUCAGAUAUAGAGUAUUGCGUCGAAGUUCGUCUCUAACAUAUAGCAUUUCCGUCAUGCAAAUUAACUUCUCCAAAAAGAGCGUCUUCUUCCCUGAAAGAAAUACAUACAGGUCCAAAUAGUCACCUCAUUGUGUUAGUGUUCAUCUAAAUCACUAGCUUACCAGGCUUUCACUAAAUAACUCAUCAAUUAAAAAGGAUCAACAGAUUCACUUUCUCAAUGAAACAAGUCUGCAAAAUGCCAAAAGAGGAAAGGUGCAAAGAGCAGAAUCGUCAAAGGAACUAUUUAAACCUUUCAAGGGUUGCAUUUGAUUCAGCAGAAUGAAGGCCCUUCUCUCCUACUUUUGUAUGAGGUGAACAUUCUCUCAAAAGGUCACCAUAGUUAUAUCCCCCAUUGAUAACUGACAACCAGCAAUCGAUCUACACAAAAAGCUCACCAUGCAUGACUUUCUCAAUGACAGAAUAUGUCUAGUAAAAUGCAAGGCACUUCAAGAGGCACUACAAGGACACAAAACGCUUGUAUCGCGUUCAACAAAAUUACUGCUUGAAACGGACUGCUAGGAUUAUCACCCAGCAUCCAUCCAUAAAUCAAUCUUCUUCACAAAGUACAACAACCCUGCAUAGUAUACUCAAGCUAAUGUCAACUGAUUUGGUUGUUCGGUUAAAUAAAAUGCUACAUGCGGGAUAGCAUGAUAUUCUUGUACAGAAAUAUUACUUUUCAAAUUCACACACCUGAAACUUUAGAAGUGAUGAACAUUCCAGACGUAGGCCAUGACAAGUGGUGAUGUGGAAUGCCGACCACCGAGUAUCGCCUUGAUGAUGUAAAUGGUUUGGGAUGAUGCCAAUAUCCACAAUUUCACUUCUCAUAAUUGUUCCUUGCGGCCUUAAAUCUGCACCAAUGAGGUCUUAUUAGAUUUUAAAACGAUAUCGUCUUCGAUUAAAACCAAAAUGAUGACUACUGAAAAAAGUUGAACAAGGAAAGAACUAGUAGCGAUUCAGUACAUGUCGAAAUCUCCAAUAUGAUUAUUAAUGAGUAGAAUGUGUAUGAACAUUGAAGCCCUGCCAAAACAUGACGAGUGGCUCGCAAAGAGCAUUAUGAUAUGACAAGACUUUGUUUUUUCAAACGUGACCAAAUCACCUCUGUCAAAAACAUGCAGGAAAUAACACGUAAGCAGGAGACUGAUGUUAACCUGUUGCCCGUAGGAAGAAGCAAAUAGAUGAUCCGCGAAUGACAACAAAGCGCAGCAACCAGUCAUCAACAUCCGUGUCAUCCACAGAUGUUUCCAUUGACAAAGCUGUCCAUCUCUACAAAACAACACAAUAUUUUUUUCAUAAAAAUGCUUUCCAGUUUUCUGCUCAGUACACGCUUCUAAGACGUCUGAUAGGAUGAAGAGAAACUGUACAAUUUUCAACCAUACGUGGCUCUUUUUCAAAAACAUGAGUGCAUACAUGAACUAACUUUCACUACAAUUACAACUAUAAUAAACUUCAAGCCCAUUUUUCUUGGUCGCAAAUUGAAAUAAAUAUGUACUCAAUACAUAAACUCCUGAACAUAUAUGGUUUCUUAUUAUGCGAACUUACUGUCCGUGUGUGGAGAUAGCAGGAAAGCUGGGAGGUCCGUAGAACUUCAUCAACAUGAUCCAAUCUGCAUAAAGAUGUCGAACAUAAGUGACAUUGUUUUGUAUCAAAGACUACAUCUCGCAUGAAAAAUGUAAUCCAGUUUUCCAAUCUAUUAACAAGGCUGCUGAUUUCGGAUGCAACCACAGGACAUCACCCCUUGACGCAGAUUUCUGAAUUCGACAUAACUAACAGGUUCAUUUUGAUUCAUACGGGAGAUCGUCACACAUAAGUUACGACAGCUUAUAAACAAUUACAUGAAAUAACAUGCUAUUGAUUAGUUUGCCUAUAUGUAGCAACCACCGAAGCAAUUAUAAACAUACUGAGCGAGAUGUAAGUUUUCCCUCUCUUCAGCACCCACGAUUUCUCCGCGCAAAUGCUGCACUUCUCUUGCGAGAGCCUCUUCCUGAGAUUAACACAAAAGACCAGAAUUUCAGGUUAUUUUUUAAGUUACAGUAUCCUAAAUUGGAAUAAAAGAAAAUCUUAUCACCAAUAAUCAACAAAUAGCCAGUAGGAUUAACCAUUAGCCUCUUUAAUGUGGCUGCCCCGUUUUGUUAUCAAGAACAACAAUUAUCAAGGUCACGGCUACAUCAGGAAAAUUAACCUGGUCAUCUUUUCCCCACUGGAUUCUUGGCAUUUUCCAUUGUUUUAGAGGAGAAAAUGAUGUUUCGUAAUUGUCUUUGAAAUAUGAACUUUUGUCCGAUCUGAUUCCAAGCAAUACGCAUUUCUAAAAAGCAUCAGGACAAAGCCAUCAUCGUGGAGAACGAUUGGAAAAGUCGGGGAAGUGGACAACCAGAGGCCAAGAGGUGAAGAAUGAGGCCAAAACAGAAGGACGCGCAAGAUUUCUAAAUAUACUGAGGUUCAAUUGAAAGUUUUAUAUAUAUAUAUAUGUAUAUAUAUAUAUAUAUAUAUAUAUAUUAGAAGCUAACAAAUUCCAUAACUGCAUGUAACCGACUUCCAUACCUCGCACUUUGCGGUGUCCCAGGUGGUGUGGUGCAGCUAGGUGUACUUUUGACCUUGACGUGAUUUGGCCAAGACACCAGAGGGCGUUCACCUUGAGUCAUUAGCCACCGUCUGGCUAACUGUAACACCGAAUGCUGCUUCAAGUCAAAACCAACUACUACUGUAAACUACUGGCCUGAUACUUAUUGGAGAUAAUACACCUGCAUUAGAAUCGAAGAAUUGACCAAUAACAGAGGACUCCAAAGGAAGUUAGUAAACUUGAACUUCAGUUAUCAAAAUGCAAUGAUUGUCUUCUCAAACAGACAACAAUCUUAUAUAUCAGAGUUUGACUGGGCAUUAUUAAAAAAAAAAAAAAAAAAAAAAAAAAAAAAAAAAACCUUCAGUAAGAGCCAAUCUUGAUCAGUCAUAACAGCACAUGCCUGAUGACUUCGUUGCAAGGUUAGUAGGCCCAAACCAUCAAUCCCUUCACUUGUAAAUUUGCCGGAAAUCUCUGUUUGAAUACCACAGAUUAAUUAGAAACUCAAUCUAAAAGCAAUGCGUGCAGCGGUGAAUCUGAAAGCAAAUUUUCGAAGCAUGGAAUCCGUGCGUGCCGAUCGUCAACAUUGCUCCUUUUUUUCAAUGCGUGCUGUGGCAUCAACUCACUACUCUUACAUUUUUAAUCUGAAUCAAUUCAGGGACUUUCAGAGAUUAUAACAUAGACGAACUACCUUCAAUCGAUUAGGCUCUGCCAGCACAAUAUGCUGCAACUAAACAUUCACUUCCUCAACAGACCAUUGAAGUACAACAGUAAUCUGAUCGGGAAGUAACGAAGGCAAAAGCAACUGUGAUGUGUCAACAAUCCACGAAUCGUCUUGUAACUUGCCGUGUUCUUCCACAGAAAGAGUCUGCAAAGGGGCUACGAUGCCAGGCGUUCCUGCAAGAAAUUCAUAGCAUUAAAUAAGGAACAAUCUACGGAAACCUAAAACUGACGAAAAGACUGGCGUGUAUAAUUUCUACAUGCGUGCAGAGCAGCGAUCACAAUGCGCGUAACAUGUAUAUGAAACAUUCAUAUUAAAAAUAAUAUGAAAAUGAAAAAAAAAAAAAAAAAAAAAAAAAAAAAAAAAAAAAAACUAAACUAAACUAAACUAAAAAACUAAAAAACUAAAAACUAAAAACUAAAAUAAUUAAAAUCAAAAAAUAAAACCAGAGGCGAUGUCAAUAAAGAUUCAACACUACUGGCGACAGUUAUAGUCUGGUUCCUCUAAUAUCGCCUCAUCUCACACGCGCUUACUCAAACGGAUCAGAUGUAGAAAAGCUACACGACGGAUUAUUAUUCCGUUAAUUCGACAAAGAUGGACAGCCGAUUCCCAAACUUCACAUCCUUACACAGAAAACCCCCGACAAGCAAGACGCACCAUGAAUCCCGCUCAAAACCUCGUUUCGGCACCAAUCCAACUCAGUAUGCCAGAGUAAACGUCCUACUCAAAUGCAGCGUCUCCACAAACCGCCGCGAGUAAUGAAGCCCUGUACCUGAGAGAACGACAGCUCAUUCUUCAAUGUCAUCGAAGCUUGUUCUCGCCCUGUUACUCCUCCCCCUUGGCACCGCCACUCCCUUUCUCUCUCCCUCUCUCCCACGCCCUCCGAACACUCAGCCUGAUAACUCACCACUCGUCAGUUCAUCGCAAGCGAGCCCUCCCGCUUACACGCGCCGGUGAAUACGAAUAAAACCAGGAAUUAAUCUUUCUUUGGCAACAUAUUCCCUCCUCUCCUCCUCGCCGUUCCUUGUAGGAUAAGAAGGGUGCAGCAGCCACACGGAUUAUUGAGCCUGAAAGUGCUUGGACUCGCAUUUCUGUAUUCUGCAGUGAAAAGGCGCAAUCCUCGAGGUUGAAAUUCCAAUACUGGCACACACCUGCUUCAACAUUCAGACGAAGAAUCUGCCAUUUCAAGUUACGGGAAUAGCGCAAAUGUCGACAAAAACGUAUUUGCGUACGUCUCACAUGCGCGUUACUCUCGGGUUUGAAGAAUUUGGAUGACAACAAGUCCGGAUGGAUGGAUGGAUGGUCGUGUGGAUGAAUGAAAAUGUGGGAGCAUUCAUUUGACAUUUUACGUUGAAUUAUUUAUGAGAGUGUGGCUUCAAUACUUCUUGUAGAGGUCUUGAAGCCACUUUUAAAAACAUCUUUGCAAAGAAUAAUAAAAUAUUGCUCUUUGAUGGGUUUCGAAUAAUUCUCCACUUCACAUAGAGUAUCUCUAAAGGUCCUUUGUACUGCGAAAAAAGAUAAGCUUUAUUCUUCCAUCAAUGAUUCUUUCACAUGAAACAAAAUCAAAGGUUUAACUCAUAGUGGUUAUUUUAAAGUUUCAUUUUCAUUGUCAACGACAUUGUGAAAUCUAGUGUUAUUUCAAUUAGUCUUUAAGUUGUUGUUUGAAAUUAAUCAGCAAUCAUUCAUUUAAAAAUAAACUAGAAUUGAUUAAUUCAUUCAUUUCAAUAAAUAUCUGGAGGUUUUUUUGUAUGCUCAAAAAAAGUGAUCAACUCAACAUAUAUAUAUAUAUAUAUAUAUAUAUAUAUAUGUUCAUAUGUAUUAAAUAUCACGGUUCAUUUAACAAAGAAUUCAACAUGAGUUCUAUUAUACGUAGAUGUAGUAUUUUUUAGCUCAGAAACAAUAUUUCCAAUAUUUUUACAUAUUGAUAACCAGCCAUCAAAUGCAUGAAGCUAAUUAUUUCUUAGAUAAGUUAGAAAGUAAACAUAAUUUUAAAUGUUAUUAGACCACUCAUGAGGAACUUAAAAAGUACAGUGCACAAGUUUAAAAUGUUAAAAGCUGUAUUAAAAAUAAACUAAAAAUAAUGUAUACAAGUAUUGAACAUAUCUGAAAUAAUUAUCCACGAAUUUUCAUUGAAUAUAAUAAACAAAUAAAUAAAAUUGACCUCAAUAGAAUAAUCCUGUGUGAAAACACUACACGUAGCUAAAGUCGAAUUUACUACUCUAAAAAAUAAAAUUACUAUGUUUCAGUUGUUUCUGAGCUAUAGGCGCCAUGAAAAAUAGUAUAUCAAAACUCUGAAUGCCAGUAAUAUGACUUUUUCUGAUUGAAGAUGAAUCAAACAAAUCCAUUAAUAAUAAAAUUGUUCUGAUGUGUGAUUUCAGUAUGAAUUGUUGAUUUAUUUUUAUUUUUAUUUUUUCCUGAAUAAAACUUGGUUAAUUUUAAACCAACUCUGAAAGAUAAAACAGCAAGUCGUUGCUCCCAAGACUGAAAAGGCUGCACCAUGAGCAUGAGCCCUACUUUUCUAUUCUGUGGGGUGCUGUUCAAAUCAAACCUUUAAGCCACCUUGUUGAAAAACAUUGGGAACCACGCUCUCGGCACUGCACGCAUUUCGAGUAUUGCUUUUUGACAUAUUAUCCAUAUCAAAUAUUGACAUUUGUUACACAUGCCUUCUUCUUCUGCUUAUUGAUUUCUUUCAUCAAGUUGGGUGCUUGACUUAUCUCGAUUUCAGAAAGUAUGCAUGGUAACAAGUGAAACGUGUGUAUAAUUACAGGAAGUACAUGAGACCAUGUAUUUGUUCAUAAUAUUUAAUAUGAUACAAUCCUGUCUGAAAAUUAAUCUUUUCCAUUUCUUUCUUUAGAUUUCAAUCCAUUCUAGUGACAUUUGAAUUUUCCUGUUUUCGGACUAAAUCAUUAUAGAAACUUCUGAAUCUUAUGAUUUAUUUAAUUAUUUUUGUUUAUUUAAUCUAAUAAAAAGUACCACAGAGUCUUUUGUGGCAAUCACUGAAUUAUUUUAGCGAAUAGUUCUUCUUCUUCUUCUUCUUAUAUAUAUAUAUAUAUAUAUAUAUACACACACUGGUAACAAUUUGAUGGUUUAUUGAUAUUGUGCAAGAAAGUAGGGAAAUUUCGGUAAAAAUGAUUAAAUUAUGCAUGUGAGAAACCAAAUAUGGAAAUUGAAGAUUCUUCCACAGAAUCACAUCAGUGUAGAUUGCAAAUAGAUAUUUUGUAGCAAAAGGAAGGUAUUAUUUAAUUAAGAGGUGUGAACCAAUUUUAUUGAGAGAAGAAUAUUGGCAAGUGCUGGGUACGGAUUUUAAUAAGAAUUUUGGACUCGUUCUAAAAAAUUCUCUAAAAAUGUAAAAAUAGAAAUAGCAUCUGAAACGAAUAUGGCAUAAAUAAACAUUCAGUUUAAGUGAAGAUGGCGUAAAUAAACAUUCAGUUUAAUUUUUGAAAUAAAUCCUGGCUUGUGUCAUCACCCAUCUAGUGUUUUUUUUGUGACAAGUUAAGUUCAGGAGGGAGGGAGGGAGGGAGCAACAACCAUUUCUCAUUUCUUGCUCUCUAGUCUUCGGCAGGUGCCACUUUUCUGCUAGAAAGUUGUGGGAUGCAUCAUUUAUACAUAGUACAAUACAGAUUUAAUUAUUUAAUUAUUUUUAUGUUUCUUCACUUCCUGGCCACAUUCAUCAUGUCAAUUCUCCUGUGCCUUAUUGAUUUUUGACUUAAAAACAUUUCCACAAAAUUCUUCGCAAUUUGUGGUACUUCUCUAUUUUUAGCCUCCGCUGGUGCAUACACAUUGGUUAGUAGAUCGAACUGUCGGUAUGGCUUUUCAUCCAUCCACGAAUUCAUUUGUUCAUGCUCUGCCCACGUUCAGCAACCAUUGUAUAGAGUCUCUCUCCCAGUUCAGUGAAGUGGGUUUGGGUGGCGUCAGAUCGCGGGAAUAGUUGCGGCGGUGGUCGCGGCACCGCGGAUUGUAAGUUCAAGCAACGGUUUCCACGAAGGGAGGCACAGGACAGCUGCAGCCGUUUUCGGUUUCUCGUUGAGUUAUGCUUUCAAGGCGUAAUAGUAUUCGGGGUCGUGGCAGUGUUGUGGAUUGUGCUCGGACGUCGGAGGUUGUGGGAGGAGUUUGUCUUGUUUUCCUUCUGAUUUCUUUUUGUGUUCUUAUGCGUUUCAGCUCUUUAAUCGGGGUUGUUUGUACCACUGGUGGAAAAUGCGGUCAGGGUGACAUUGGGGUAACUCCAAAGCCGUUCGUGCUUUUUGAAACUAGCUGUGGCGCUGUAGCGAAUUGCCUAAUCGAUGUUCUCACCAUAGCCAACUCUUCGAAUGGGAAACUCUUUGCACUGACGAUCAUCACAUAGUUGGUUUUUAACUUUUGUACAGGUGGGUAUUGUCUGCUAAAUUACGGGAAUUGAGACAGCGUGGUACAUUUCAAAGGCGCUAUGGCAGAGUACCUGCUGCAUGGAACUUUGCUAAUCAAAAUCUAUGGUGCUGAGGAAAUUGUGACACAAGAUCGCAAGACGGGUAAAGCUCCUGGGUUUAUCCGAAUGGUUCGUCUCGGCACCAAACCCUUCAACUCCGCACCAGCCUAGAGUUCUUGUAUUAGAUCAUUGGUAACAUGGGCAGUGUAUGUGCUCCGAGGGUUCGCUGAUCAUCCGAUUGCAUGCUCCAAUCAUUUGAGGGGUAGCCUUUGUUGGACCCAGAGGUUUGGUGCAGUGAGAGCCGAUGUCGUGGUUAAUUUUACAAGUGACAUACUUAUUUCACGUGCUAAAUCAACUAUGAUGAAAUUGUAUCGGCAGGUUGUUCAGACUUCGGAAAACUUACUCGGAUUUGGGAAAGGAUACAGUCAAUAUUACGCUACCGUGGACUUGGGAAAAACUAGAGUUGGGCGGACGCGUGUUCUAGAAGGUAAUUUCAAAGAUCCGGAAUGGAACGAGACAUUCAGCAUCUUCUGCGCACACACUGUCUCUCAUCUGGUGGUUUCCAUCAAGGAUGCUGCUGUUGUGGGUACUGCUGUGAUUGGCCGAGCACGCAUUCCCGCAAUCGAUCUCCUCUCAGGCACUUACUUUUCUCACUUUCAAGAGUUUCUAUUGAAAAUUACCAAUUAUUGCCCUAGUCUUUUCGUCUCUUACAGUUUUAGGACUUACAUAGUACAUUACGAUUAUAAGCUUUGCAGCUCAUAAUAAUCAAUGUUCACUUCAAUUGUCCUCCACAGUAUAUGGAAACGUGUGUAUAAUUUAUGCUAAGAUUAAUAUGGGUCGGCGAAGGUUUGGUUAUUGCUGUUGUACUUGGUGCGAUGCAUAUUGUUAUAUCUAUGGCUGUAGGAUCGACCUUCAUUCACUAUCAUUGGCGCUCCUUUUUAUAUUGUAGACAAUCAUGUGUGCACUGGUUGUGUCGAUGACAACAUUUUUUGUUCUAGCAGGCAAACAAAUCGAAGACUGGUACCCUCUUCAUAGUGACUCAACUGGUCAUCUCGAUGGUGCACGAUUACGGUUUUCUGUACAGUUUACUAGGGCUAUUGAAGACCAAUAUUGGGGGAAGGGUAUUCUAGAUCGACAGAAUCCAGGUUUGCCGUUUAGCUAUUUUCCUCAAAAAAAAGGGUGCCGGGUUACACUGUACCAGGAUGCUCAUGUGACCGACAACUUCCUACCUCCUAUUUACCUGGGCCACGAUCAGAUUUACCAGCCAUGUCGUUGUUGGGAAGAUAUGUUCGAUGCAAUUCACAACGCAAAGCAUAUAAUCUACAUCACAGGUUGGUCAGUCUACACUGAGUUCAAACUUUGUCGAGAUCCUCAGAGAGUGGUGCCAGGUGACGAGGGCUUGACUCUGGGAGAACUGUUAAAGAGGAAAGCUGACCAGGGAGUGCGAGUGAAUUUGAUGGUAUGGGAUGACCGAUCCUCGAAUUGGGGAAUAAUGGGUCAAAUGGCCACCCAUGAUGAAGAGACAGCGAACUAUUUCAAAGGCACCGGAGUAAAUUGUUUUUUGUGUCCAAGGAGUGGUUAUAGCAAAUCGACUGUACUGCAGACAGUAAAAACUGUAGUAAUGUUCACACAUCAUCAGAAGUCCUUGAUCGUUGAUGCAAGUAUGCCAAGCGACUGUAUCACAUCGCAAGAACGAAGGUUGGUAAGUUUUGUAGGAGGAUUGGACCUUUGCGAUGGUCGCUACGACGAUCAGUACCAUUCUUUGUUUCGUACCCUUGACACGGUGCACAGCACGGACUUCCAUAAUGGUGGCUUUGCAGGUGCUUCCAUUGAAUAUGGGGGACCUCGUGAGCCUUGGCAUGACAUACAUUGUAAACUGGAAGGCCCAAUUGCUUGGGAUGUUCUCUACAACUUCGAACAGAGAUGGAGAAAACAGGCUGGAGAGAGUUUAGAGCAUUUGCUUUCUCCUGAUGCCAUUGAGCGUGGCCUACUUCCUAUAGCUGUCACACUUGAGGAUGAUCUCGAAACUUGGAAUGUACAACUGUUCCGCUCCAUAGAUGCAGGUAUUAGUCUGUCGUCAUACCGUAUAGAUCUUUGACGUCUUGUAAACGUUUCUACAGAAUUAGCUAAAUGUGAUAGUUUCUGAUAACGUAUAUUUUUUAUUUGGUUGGUGCAAGUUCUCGCACCACUUCAUGAGGCCAUCAAGGGCUGCAACUCGGAUUCUUAGCUCAUGAGAAGCUUAUUGGACCCGCUACCGUACCCAGCACAUGGUAUAAGAUUUUGUGUACACCUCACCUGCUACUUAAAAGUGAAGAUUGGAUCUGUUAAUUCGACCUGUUGGAUGAAUGCAGGUGCUGCUUUUGGUUUUUCAGAUGAUACUGAAAAAGUUGCAAAAUUGGGCUUAGUAAGCGGGAAAGAUAACACCAUCGACCGAAGUAUUCAGAACGCCUACAUCCAUGCCAUCAGAUGUGCAAAGAACUUCAUUUACAUAGAGAAUCAAUACUUUGUGGGCAGUAGUUUUGGCUGGGAUUCCAGCCAGGAGGUUGGGGCUAACAACCUUAUUCCCAUGGAGCUUGUUCGGAAGAUUGCGAGUAAAAUUGAAGCUGGCGAACGAUUUUCGGUUUAUAUUGUGAUACCUUUGUAUCCUGAAGGCUAUCCUAGCGGUGACGCUGUCCAGGCAAUUCUGCGAUGGCAGCAAAAAACGUUUCAAAUGAUGUACAAAGAGAUAGCAAAUUCAUUGCGUUUAAAAAAGAGAACUGACCUGCACCCCAAGGACUAUCUUAGUGUGUUUUGCUUAGGAAACCGCGAGACUAUUCUGCCGAACGAAUAUGCACCAACGAGCACACCUCAGGACUUAUAUUAUAAAUCUGCCCAAGAGAACCGUCGUUUCAUGAUUUAUGUGCAUUCAAAGAUGAUGAUAGGUAAGCUCUUACAUCUUCGACCUUCACUUAGAGUUAUUUCUUGGAUUUUCUGUGUGGAGAUUCUGAACCGUAGAGCUAUCUGGCAGUUAAAGAAUACAAUUCCUUCCCCUAAUAUACCCCACUUCUAGCACUGUUUUUUUUUAUCUUUUCGUGGAAGUAUACGGCAAGUCGACAGAAACCAUGCUGUACAAAGUUAUCACUUUUCCACUUUAAGAUGGCUUCAUGUGCUAUGAGUAUUUGUUCUCAGUUACGUUUCUUGCAGCGGCAAGAAUUCCAUCAAAACUAUUUGGUGUCUUCUAUUCUGCUCCAAGGCCAGCAGGUUUGUUUAAGAUGCAUUUCACGGUGUUCAUCAAUCGUUUGUCGAUUUCUUCUCAUGGCAAUGUGUAAUUUUUGCCUGCAGUGGAUGAUGAGUACAUCAUAGUGGGUUCUGCCAACAUCAACGAGAGAUCCCUGAACGGUUCGCGUGACUCCGAAAUUGCCAUGGGAGCUUACCAGCCAUAUUACCUUGCAACGAACAGCCCCGCAACUGGUCAGAUCCAUGGUUUCCGUAUGGCGUUGUGGUUUGAACACAUGGGUUACUUAGACAAUUACUUUCUGCACCCAUCGAGUUUGGAGUGCAUUCGCAAAGUGAAUCACCGGGGGGACGAGCUUUGGAGUAUGUUUUCUCAAAAAGAUGUGGUUGAUCUCCCUGGACAUCUCAUGACGUAUCCAUAUUCUAUAGGUCGUGAUGGAUCCGUUUCAGAGCUACGUGAUGCUGAAUACAUUCCUGAUACCACUGAUGCCAAAGUAUUUGGUCGCUCGUCGUACAAGCUCCCUGUUACGAUAACUUCUUAAAAUUUUGUUCCUUUUAAAGCAUGUAUAUUGUGCGGGUUCAUGCCUCUGGCUUCAAGUCCUUUCAUCAUCAAAGCAUUCUACACAGAAGUAGCGGUACCAGAUUUCCCUCCAGUUGUGGGGACCUUUAAAAGCAGGCUUGAGAUUCGGAAAUAGUUCAAUUGGUGUAAUACGUGAGGAUGCACUGUUCAAACCGUUAGCCGCAUGUAGUCAUGCCAAGUAGCCGGCUGCAUUACCUGCUUAGCUGGGAGUAACGGAGGUAACUUGAGGAGGUUGGUAGUGUUGAGUUCUGUUUGACUAGGACCAAAACUUUGCUUCUUCCCUCAACUGCUUCAGCAACUUAGUUCUGUACAAUGUAGGCUUGUGAAUACGAAUAGAGUUUGUGAAUCAAGGCCACCAGGUUUUAGGUUGCUGAUCCUGAUAGUUGCUGCAGCUCAAAUUGCAUAGCACUCAACAAUGUAUCUUGCCAAAAUGUUGUGUGCCCUCGACCACUAGCUGUAGGAUAUUAUUGAAAUGCUUAGACAAGUGUUUCAUAAGUAUAUUACUUUACAUAUUAUUUCAUAUACUAGAAUCACCCCAUAUUUACUAAAUUUUUUAUCCAACCAGAUUCAUUCCUCCAUCAACUGUGGCUGCCCAAACGCUGCAAUUUCAUGUGGUGCCUAAGCAAGGCACUUCUACAUGCUGCCCACGUUGGACAGCCAGAACCCUGAAGGCAAUCUUCAUGCAACCAAAAGCCAAUCUUAGAGUUGGGCAUUUUGGAUUCAAAUUUGAAGACUCUCAAAAGCCAAUCUUAGAGUUGGACAUUUUGGAUUCAAAUUUGAAGACUCUCAAUUAAAUUGAAAGGCAACGCAUCCAAUAGAAUGGCUAUUUCUGUUGUCCUUAACAGCAACUGUGUGGGCCUCGUUUGGAGCAAGAGCUAAGACUUCUUGGUUGUGGUCAUCCAAUUUAAGUUCGUCUUUGUUCCUACCAAAUUGAUGUCUUUUCCUAACCAUGCUGCAUGGUUGUGCUAGUUUGUUGUGGGGGCUAAGGAAGACUCUCCCCCUUCUUUCUUUAUGUUUUGUUUUGUUUUGUUUUCUCUGCCUCCUUUAUUUUGAAAGUUGAGAUGGGAAGAGACAGGGUGUUUUAAUGGUAAAGAGGUUUUGUCCAUAUUGGCACACAACACCACAUAUACAAGCAGAAGCAAUUGAUUGAACAAGUGUUGAAAAGACUUAUUACAUUGGUGGAAAAAAAAUCAAAAAAUCAAAAAUAAAAUAAAGAAAUAUUUUAAAAAAUAUAGUGAAAUAGAUAAAAUUUUAAACUCUUGAAAAUUUCAAACUUGAAUAUACAUUUUCUAAUAUGUUAAUAGACUACACAUAUUAUCCUUGUACAAAAGUCUCAUAUUAAAGUGUUGUAGAACAUAUUAAAGUAUUGAAUAGGAGAGUUAUUAAAGCCAAACCUCCUUGCCAUUUCAUCAUUGAUUCCAUCUAUUCUCAUCUUUGUCACGUUAUUCCAACCUCCACUCAUUUAUUCCUAACCUUCUUUCCUUGUUUUUUGUCCCUUAUUCUUUGUUCUUUCAUUCUUUGUCUCUUAUUCUCUAUUCUUUGUUCCCAAAUCCAUAUUCUCUAUCUCUAUCCCUUGUUUCCAACUCCCAUUCAUUUGUUUCUAACUCUGUUUUUUUGUUCUUUGUCCCUUAUUCUUUGUUUUCCAUUUCCAACUCCAUAUCUCCCAUUUCUUGUCUUCUAUUCCAAAUCACCUCGUUUAAGAGGUUUUUUCAAAUAAACAUUUUGAAUGUUAAUUAAGAAAAAUUGUAUAUGUCACUAAAGAAAAAUUCUAAAGUAUUAUUGAAAAAUUAUUGAUAGUAAAAAUAUGCUUUUAAUUUCAAUUCUUUCUUUUGGAUUUCCACUACAAUAGUCAAUAAAAUUUUGUGAAAUAUAUAUUUGGGUGAAAGAAGCUAAAUCAAAAUUUAAAUUUAUUUAAAUUUUAAAAAUCAAUUAUUGCCACAAAAAUGAUAAAUUUAUAGAUUUUUUUAUAUUAAAUAAGGUGGUUUGAGGUAAAAUAUGGAAUAUAGAGGAUAUAGGAUUAGAAAAAAGGGUUGAAAAUAAAGAACUGUGAAUAGAUGAUAGAGACACAUGAUGGACGAAAUUAAUCAUGAAAUAGCAAAGAAGAUGUGAUUUUAUCAACUCUCUUAAAUAUAAUGAUUUACAACUAUAUAUAUAUAUAUAUAUAUAUAUAUAUUACAAAUACACUACAUAUGAUAUCAAAUAAGAAGCUAAGCCAAAAAAAUUCAACAUAAAAGCAAACAAGAACUUGAUUAAAUUAAAUAAAUACAAGAUUAAUACCAAGAAGGUGAGCUAGUGUUCCAAGAGAUGUAUUAUUGAGAUUGAGGAUCCCUUUAGCCUUGGAUCUAAUAUAUACCAAGUAUUCAAAAACUUCUUAAGAAGUUUUUAUAUUGCUUGAAGAUGAAGUAAUCUUAGGAAGCUUCAUAAGAAGUUCCAAUAUUACUUGAAGAUUAAGCGAUCUUAAGAAGCUUCAUAAAAAGUUCCUAUAUUACUUGAAAAUGAAGCAAUCUUAAAUAAACUUCUUGGCAAGCUUCAUAAGAAGUUUUCAUGUUGCUUGAAGAUGAAACAAUCCUAAGAAGGUGCUUAGAUAACUUCCUUAGUUCUCCUAGAACUUUGUAAAACUUGCCAAAGUAUUUUAAGAACAUUCUAAGAAUCUUUUAAAAAUAUUUUUAGAAUCUUUUAAAAUCUAUUAAAAUAUUCUAAAAAUAUUUUUAAAAACUUCUUGUUGGAUGUUCAUAAUAUUAUAUCCUCUUCUAACUCCGAGUUCUACAAGGAAUAUUGAUUUUAUAUUUAAUUUUUUAUGAUAUAUACAACAUCUUAGCAAUAGCUUCGUAAAGAAGUCAUUCUAAAAUAGAUUUGGAUUUUUGUAAAAGGUACAAGAGUUUCAUAGAUGAAUUUGGAUUUGAAGAUAACAUCAAUGAAACUCUUGUACCUUUUAAAAUGUAUUAAUUAGAUUUUUUACUAGUUUCUAUAUAUGCUCAUGGAUAUUAUAGCUACAUCAAUGAAUAAAAUAUUCUAACUUAGCUUUUUUUUUGUCAUGAAUCAAAGAUCUUUUCUAUCUUAUUUUUUACAUGAUUAUCUAUUUCAAUACAAGAUAGUGAUGGUUGUAUUCUUUUUGGAAUAGUUGAUUUUGAAUAAGCCUCCAAGAAAGAAAAAUGAAAGACAUAAUUUAUCUUUAUAGAUUUACAUAGUUUCAACCAAUAAGCUAGUACAUUGAUUUACUUUUGAAUACAAAAUCGCCCUAGUCUUUCGUAAUCUAACUUAUUGUAAGACUGAUUGAUCUUGAUAUUUUAACAAAAAAACCAUACUUUAUUUCUAACUUAAAAAUUAAGGAAUUCUUUUCUAAAUUUAUCUAAAGAUGCUUUAUAAGAAUCUUGAGUUGCUUGUAAAUUGACCCUCAAAGUUGUUUGGAACUGUGACAAUUAUUUUGCAAGAUCUUCAAAUCUUGGAUUUUCAUCUUUUAAUAUACCUAACAAAUUAAACUUUGGAUACUAACCAUAUUUAGAAUAGAAUGGUGUUUAUUAAAUCAAAGCAUAAAGGAUAUUAUUAUGAAUAAAAUUUACUAAAGAUAAUACAAGGUCCAAUCAUCUUAUUGAUAGUUGAUAAUAUAUUGCAAAUAUUGCUCCAAAACUUAAUUGACUUGUUCUAUUUGACAAUUUAUUUGAGGGCAAAGGACAAAGGAAAGUUUGAUAUCCACCUUCAAUAUCUCAAAAAAUGAUGUCUAAAACUUUGAUAUAAUUUGAGAUCUUUGAUAAAAAAUAAUGUUAUCAAAUAGGCCAUGAUAUCAAUAUAUAUUAUAAAAAACAAGCCUUAUCAUUUCUUUUCCAAAAAUUACCUUUUUUCAUGGAACAAAAUAUGCCAUCUAUGUAAGUUGAUACUUAAUAAUGUAAAUAGCAUCAAUUUUAGCUAAUGGCAAUAAAUCAAUAAUGAAAUCCAUUGAUAUUAAAGACCAUAGUUGCUUUGGAAUUGAUAGUGGUUAUAGAAGUCCAUAAAGAUGAUGUCAAAAAUUAUUGGAUCUUGAACAAAUAUUACAAGAGAGGACAAAAUCCUUUACAAUCUUUCAUAUUUUAUACCACCAAAAAUCUCAAGAGAUAAGCUUUAAUAUUUAAUUAAAUCCAAAAUGUCCCACAAUUAAAAAAUCAUGAUAAGAUUGAAGAAUACAAAAUCAUGUCAAUCCACAUAGAAUAUAUAAAUAAUCUUCAAAAUACAAAAGAUCUUCUACAAACUUAAACUUAUUGUUGUUAGGGCAGUGAUUGAUAUUAUAAACUAAGUCCUUAGUUGAUGCUACAUUAAUUUAUUGAAAAAAACUAGAAUCAAUAGGUGUAACCAUAGAAGUAGUACAUAGACAAAAUUAUUCUAGUUUUAAAAGAAUAGUAUAUUGUUGAUUAAAGGCUCUUUCUCUAGUCUUCAGAGUAAGAUAUGAUCUCUUUUAUAAAGCAUCUAAUAGUACUUGUUAUUUUUCUAGUUAAUAUAUAAUCACAAAAUCAAAACAAAAUAGUGACAUAUUCCAAUAAGCUUGAUUGUAAUUCAAAACCAAAACUGAUAUGAAAUACUCCAAAUUCUUGUGAUUUGUAAAUGUAAUCAUAAGAUACAUAGCAUCUUUUAACAAGUGAUGCCAUCAUUGGAAAGAGUCUAUAAUUACAAAAAUUUCUUUAUCAUAAAUUUUAUAAUUGGUCUUUGUAGUUGAAAAUCUUUUAAAAUAGAAAGCAACUAAGUAGAGCUUCUCAUCUUUUUCUAUUUGUGAUAGUACAACUUUUAAUACAAAGUUGGAAGUACUAAUUUCCAAAUAGAAGAUCUUUGUGAAAUUUGGAUGCAAUAAAAUUGGAGCUAUAGUAAAAACUGACUUCAAAUCUUGAAAAGCCUUUUUUGCUUGAGGUCCCUAUAUCAAUUUAUCAUAGGAUGUCAACUGAGUGAAAAGAGCAAUAACUUGGGAGUAAUUCUUCAUAAAUAUUUAGUAAAAAUUAACAAAUCUAAGAAAAUAUUAUACAUUCCAUAUUGUCUUUGGAUUUGCUUACUUUAUUACAGCUUGAACUUUCUUUGUAUCUAUCAAUAGACCUUUAUUAGAUAUAAUAUAUCCAAAAAAUUCUACUUUUGGUUGAUAGAAUAUACAUUUCUCCUAUUUGGCAUAUAAUCUUGUAUCUUGUAAUUUUUACAAAACUAACCACAUAUGUUCUUCAUGUUCUUCAAGAGACUUAGAGUAGAAUAAGUUAUUAUUAAAAUAAAAAAUAACAAACUUAUCUAAGAAUUCUCAAAAAAAAUCAUUCAUCAAAUAUUAGAAUUUAGCUAAAGCAUUUGUCCAUCCAAAAGAUAUGACAAUAUAUUCAAAAUAUUCAUACCUUGUCUAAAAUGAUGUCUUCCAUUCAUCUCUUUUUUUAAUCAACGCCAAAUUAUAUGUUGAACAAAGAUCUAUUUUGGUGUAGAUCUUAGCUUGACUGAGUUGCUCUAAAAGUCUUGAUAUCAAUGCUAAUGGAUAAUGAUUUUUAUCAUUAAUUUAUUAAGACUGCAAUAGUUAAUACAUAUUUGCAAAGAUCUAUCUUUUUUCUUCAUGAAAAAUAUUGGUGCACCUGUUAGAGAUUUGGAAUGUUGAAUAAAGUUUUUUUAAAGAUUUUUAUUGAUGUAAUUCUUCAAUGCCAAAAGCUUAUUCUAUGAUAGAUUAUAGAUUGGACCAAAUGGUAGUUGAGCCCUUUUUUGAAGAUUAAUGGUACAAUCAUACGGUUGAUAUUCUAGCAAUAUGUGAGUAUUUUUUUUUUUUUUUUGAAGACAUCUUGAAACUCUUUGUACUACUUUGAGAUAUCUAUUAGCAAGCUUGCUUCUUCACAAGCUAAAAUUGCAUAAAUAACAGAUGACAUUUCCUUCUUUGCCAUCUUCAUAAAAGUCCUUGCUUUCAAAAAUAAAGGCUUUUUUGUUGAUGACUUCAUGAUAGGUUUUGUCCAAGAAGAUUCUAUAAGAAAUUUAAUCUUAUACCUCUAAGCUAUAGAUAUGAUACCUCUAAGUUAUAGAUAGAUUAUAUCUUUUUUACCACAAAAGUCCUAAAAUGAUAGGAUUAAAAAAGAUUCUAAUAAUAUUAAAUAUUAUUUUAUUAAUAUGGCCUUCAAAUGAUAUUUUUAAUAGCAUAUAUUUAUGAAUUAUUUUUCCUAAAGAUAAAGGUCAACUAUCUAUUAUUUCUAUAUAUACAAGGAUUGAUUUUUGUACUAGAGGAAUUUUAUGAAAUUUGAAAAAUUCUUCAUCUAAAAAGCAAAGAGAUGCUCUUAAAUUUAAUAAGGAAUUUAUUUGAAGUUUUUGUAGGCCCAGAAAUAAAGACAUAAUAAAAUAAUAUGCAAGUUGGAUAGAAAGACAUGAACCUUGAUAAAUUUGAGGUGUUGAAAUGUUCAACCGCACAGUCCUUAUUGUAGUUGGGCAUCAUUGUUUUCCUGUACAAUCGCACUCCUAGUCUUGAUUGUAUGUUAUUUCUUUGGACAAUUUUUAGAUUUGUGACCUUUUCCAUCGCAAUAUAGAUAUGGAUCUUGUUGAAAUUAAUAUUUUUUUCUUUUCUAUAAAUAGUUUGAAUUAUAUUACAUCAAUUUGUAUAUUUUUAGCUCCUAAGUAUAGAAGUAAUAUAUUUGUUGAAGCAGUAGAGUAAGAAUUUCUAAUAUGUUGUUUUGUCAAAGGUGACAAAUAUUGAUCUUGGUAACAUUGAAAUAAUCAAUUAUUUUACUUCACAACUUGGCUGAUAGCUUCAUUAAGUGUUUGAGGAUUAGAUAAUGAUAAUAACAUGUCUUUUAUAUUAUCCUUUAAUUUCUAAUAGAAUUGGCUCAUAAGAGCUUCUUUAUUCCAAUUAAUGUCACAAGUUAAUUUUCUAAAAUUAAAUAUAUAAACUUAUGUAGAACAUGAAUAUUGAUGUAAUGAAAAAAUCUUUGUUGUUGCCCAUCGAGUCUUAUCAUGUUUUCCAAAUGCCUCCAUAAAUACUUCUAAAAAAGCUUCAAAGUUGCUCAAGAUUGGAGAUCUCUUCUCAAAUAAAAGAACAAAGUAAGAUAAGACUUGUUCUCUUAGUAAGGUUUCAAGUAAAUUGACUUGUAAUUAUUUUUUUGGAUAGCACUCAGAUUGUAGAAAAAUUACCAAUUGAAUUUGGUUAACAAAUCCUCAAAACUUUGAGCGUGUGCCAUCAAAUAUUUUUAAAAGACUAAUUCAAGGCUUCUUAUAUUGUUGAAUAGGUAAAUUUCCUUAUUAAGGUACAAGUGCCACCACUUCCUUGAAUUUAGAAGCUUGAGAAAGUAGUUGCGUUAUAAGUUGACCUUUUCCAAGACUUGCAUCAUCAUAAAAUCUUGCAACAAAUUUCUCAAUUUUAAUAGUUCUAUGAGCUAAAGAAUUCAAUGUAUUUAUAAUAAUAUCUAACUUGGACUUGGAAGAUUCAACUAUAUUAACAUCUUUACCUCCAACCAUCUUGAAAAGAAAAGAAAAGAAAAGAAAAGAAAAGUUUCUAAAAUGAUAUCAAUUUAGAGGAGGAUACUCUACAAUCUCUAAAGUGCUUAGAUACUUUCAAGAAGAGGAAUAAUUCACUCUCUAUUAAAAAUUAUUAAGCUCUAAUAUUGAUAAGUACGCAAUCUCAAAAAAUUAUCAUAGAUAUACUUUACAUAAGACCAAAUAAAAAGCUGAAUUAAAAAGAUUCAACAUAAAAGCUAAUAAGAAAUUAAUUAAACUAGAUGAAUAUAAGAUUAAUACCAAGAAAGUAAGUUAAAGCUUCAAGAGAUGUGUUGUCAAUAUUGAUGAUCGUCUUAGCCUCAUUUUCAAUAUAUACUAGGUAUUAGGAAACUUCUUAAGAAGUUCUCAUAUUACUUGAAGAUAAAGCAAUCCUAAGAAGCUUCUUGGAUAAUUUCUUUAAUUCACUUAAAACUUUUUAGAACUUGCUCAAAUAUUCUAAAAUUCUUCUAGAAAUAUAUUUAGAAUCUUUUAGAAUCUAGUAGAAUAUUCUAAAUAUAUUCCUAUAAACUUCUUGUUGGAUGUUUGUAAUAAUAUAUAUAUAUAUAUAUAUAUAUAUAUAUAUAUAUAUCAUUAAGAAUGAUCAAACUUUUAAAAGAAUAUAUAAAUAUCUAAUAUAUAUUUUUUAAAUUUUUAGCACUAAUUUUGAAAGAUAAAAGCACUUAUAUCAAAUUUAAUAUAACUACCUCUAAGAGAUAGUUAUACCAUAAAUUCUCCUCUUAUAUCAAAAGAUAUUUAUACAAAGGAAUUUCAAGCAAAUUUCUACUUCUAAAUACUUUUGCCUUCUUCUUUUUCUGCUUUCUUGUUCUUGUUUUUUCCAUCUUUUUCUUUCACUUCGUAAUAUUACCUAAUAUUAUUACUAUUAUUCUAUAUCUCUUGAGCUCUUUCUUGUUAAUAAUUCAACUUAACCUCCUAUCAUUCUUUAUAUUAACUGUGCUCUUCUCUUCACAUACUACCAUAAUACCUUGGCUUAGCUUCUUCUCUUCUCUCCUUUCUUAGAUUUAGUAUUUUAACACUUACUACUUUAAGAUGGCAUUGAUAUUUAUUAUCCCUAAACCAAAUACUUACUCAUACUAAAGCUUUAUUAUAAAGUUGGACCUAUCAUGGUUGUCAAGUUGUGUUUCAAUUUUUAGAAGAAAAAUAUACUCAUUUCAAAUUAGAUUUCCACAAAUUCAAAGUAAAAUAUGUUUAUUAUGCUAAAUUUAUCUCUUUUACUUUGUACUGACUUCUCCAAAAAUUGAUAUAUAUAUAUAUAUAUAUAUAUAAAGGAUUUGGUCUAGGUCUUAUUCUUGUCUCUCAUAGAGCCUUGUAAUUUAUGGCUAUGAGAAAGGUAAAAAAUUCUUGAUUUCACAUUGUAUUAAGAGAGUGCCAUGGUAGCCUUUAAAAUUUUGGAAAAAAAUAUAAAAUGCAACUAAUAUUUUCUUAUAAGUAAUUUAAUAUAUAUAUUUAAAAUUUAAAAUAUUUAAAGUAAGAAAUAUAUCAAAUCUUAUCAACAACAUUUUUGAAGUGACAUUAAUUGUUCUUUCAAAUUAGCAGGUACAUACAUAAAUUUUAAUAAAUAAUUUUUAUAAAUUUUUUUAUAAAUUUUUUAUAUAAAAUUAUAUAUAAAUAUUUUUAUUAUUUUUAAAUUUGAAUUUUUAUCAUUUUAAUAUAUUUUUUAUACAAUAUUUUAAAUAUAAGUUUUUAAACUUUAUAACAUUUUAUAUUUUAUAUUUUUACUUAUAAUAUAAUAUUUUUUUAUUUAUUAGUAUUUUUUAUUUAAAUAUUUUUUAUUUUUUAUUAUUUUUUCUUUAUUAUUUUAAUUAUAAGAAGAGAUUAUAAUUAUUGCUUUAAAUCUUGAUUUGCAACAAAUGUAAGCCUUAUUGACCAAGUUAGGAUUGAUGUUCUAAUCCCAAUAGCUAUAGUAGUCAUAUAAGCAACAUGUCUAAUCUAUCUAACCAAUUUAUAUAAGAUGCAGUAAAUAAGGUAGGUCAUAUUUUUAAAUACUAAACAUAUUAAGUUAAAUAAAAACAACAUAAACUAAUGUUUGAUUAAAAGAAAGAAUUUGAUAUAAUUAAAAAAUUGGAUGUUUUGAUAGAUAGAUAGAAUUCAUCUAUUGAAAUCUUAGAGGAAUAUUUCUUUUGACAUAAUUAUAUAAAAAUAGUAGUUAAAUUAUUCUUAUUUUUUAUACAAAAGAUAUUAUAGUUUAUCAAUUUAAAAUUUAAUAUAAAAUUUAUUAAUCAUAAGUUUAAAAAAAAUUAUUCUAUAGACAUCUAUUUUUUUUAAUUGCAAGGACAUUCUUCUUAUAUUACAUUGAUAUCCCAAGGCUACACUAAUAAUACACUAUUCUUAUAAGUUUUUCAAUAAUUUAGAUAUUAAUGAAAAAAUAUAUAAAAUUAGUAAUAAAAAAUAAUUUAUAAAAUAAUAAUAUGAAUAAUAAAAAAGCUAAACAUGUAAAUAAAUAAAUUUUACCUCAAGAACUUAACUUAUUAAUGUUGUAAAACCAUUAUAUUUGACAUGAGUAUAACAUGAAGGACAUGAAUCAUAACAAAACUCUAAAGUAAAUUCUUCUUAUAAUUGCCUCUUUGGAUAUUACAUAAUUAUUAAUAAAAAAAAAGAACAAAUUUUCCAUUUGUACUUUAAAAUCUCCAUUCAACUCAAAAAAAUGUUAAUAUGUAAUAUCAAAAAAUAAAUUAAUCUUAUUAAGUUGAUAUUUUAAAAUAUAUUUAUAAUAUAGAAAAAAGUAUAAAUUGUAAGAAAAUUGGUUCUAAUGGAAUAAAAGAAGAUUAAAAUUAUUUAUUUUCAAAGUUAUUUUAGUACAUAGGUAAAAAAAUAAAAAACAAAAAAUAAAAAAAUUAUCCAAUAAAUAUAAUAAUUUCUUACAAUGUUAAUAGAAUAAGAUUGAUAGAUAAAAUUCAAGGUAAAAUAUGCAAUGAAUUUUGUAAUAAUGUAGGCUUGAAUAAAGUAAUUCUUAAUAUUCAUGUUAUUUUAGCAUCUUUUAGUAAUUAAGUUACAAAGAGCAAUAAAAUAAUAUUAUAUUUUUCAAUUAAAUUUCUUUAAAUAUUUCUUAAAAUAGACUUUGUUGCCAACCAUAUUGGUAUAAACAUAAUUGUAAUAAAAUAUUUGGUCUUAUUAGAAGUUAGUAGAAGGCCUUUAUACAUGCUAAUACCAAAAUUUGGCAUUCUAAUUAUUUAGUUAUAAAAUUUGAAUCUUGCUAAUUGUCUAUGUAAUAAAAUAAGACUUAUUAUAAGACAGUUUAGUUUAUAGAUUAUUGAAGCAAAGAUUCUAAUGAAAGAGUACAUUGAAUAUUUUAUACUACGAAUUAUACUAAUUUUUGAUAAAUCAAGUUUCUUUUGCAUCACACUAAAAAAAAAAAAAAUUGCAUAAUAUAUGCAAUGACUGUCAGCAAGGCAUAGUAACAAGCAUUAAAAUUAGUAGGUUUAUACAUAAAUAAAAGAACCUCAAUAUUUGAAUGUGUGAAAGUAGUCCAUGGAAUUUGGCUUGUGUUUACAAUCCUAAGUACUUUGUAGAAUAAUCAUAGAAACUUUUUGAUUGAAAUUUUCAAAAAAAAAUAUUAUGAUCAAUAAUUAAUGAAGUGAUUUAUAUUUCCACUUAAAGUGCCAUUGGAUCAAGCAAAGACACAUUGUAUUAAAAUAACUACAAAAAAACAUCAAAGUUGUGUUUCCACCUAUAUAUAAGGCACUUUUGUCAUACACUGUAGCCAUUCUUUAUCCAAGGCCUAAAUACCAAGAGCAAUUAUAUACAUAGAAAUCAAAUGUAUACUUAAAUAACAUCUAAAAUUAUAGACACUUCCAAAUUUUCAAAUUUUAAUCCUACACACUGCUAUAGGUACUUACCUACAACUUUCUAGAUUAUUUUUUAAAGAAUAUUUAUUCUUCUGUAUUAUGCUUUGAUGUUCUUUUUGUCAACUAUGGUACUUUAAUGAACACUUUGAGUACUUAGAAGAUUUAAGAAUCAACAUUUCAUUCUUUGAUGCUCAUUUAUAUUACAAUGCUUUAAACACCAAUAACAAUUUAUAAAUUACAACUUACAAAUAAUUCACAUCUUUUACAACCUCAAGCUAUUCAUCUCCUCAAAAUACCAUUUUCAUUUGAAUUUUGAUUGUAAGUACGUGAAACCACAAAAUUAAACAGUAUGAGAUUAAUGGUGUUUUAGUAAAGCUACUACAAAAGACAAGAUAGAUAUUUCUUAUGUGUAGAUUAUUAAAGAACAAGCACUUUGAAGUCACAACAUUUAGCAUCAAUAAGGUUGCACACAAAGAGAUUAUGGAGUAAGAUAUGUUUUAGUUCUAACACCCAAUACUUAUAGAUAGUGGUUUUUGGCCAAAAAGACAACUUCCACUCUUUGACUUUUGUACAUAUAGUCCUAGGAUCCUUUUGACAACUCACUAACCUUGAAAGUAUCCUAUGUCAUGCACUAAUUAUUCUUACCUAUUCUUUGGAUAUUUACUAAUUAAUACUUUAUUCUCUUGACUUUGAUUCUUGGUCCUUGACCUCAACAUAUAUCCAUAGGAUUUCCUUUCUAUAUAUCAAGAGUUGAACUUUUGACUAUUAGCAAAUUAUCUUAGGUAAUAUCCUCUAUGAGGUAAUUUAUUCUACUUUCACUUUGACUUCAACACUCCCACUUUACUAUUGGUUAAACGACUUUCAAUUCUAAUACAUUUGUCAACAUGUGGUCUCUAUCCUUUACUAAUGCCUUUGGCAACAAAUCAGCAAGCAUAUCUUUUGUUGUACAAUACUUCAUAUCAAUCACUUCCAUUUCAAUCUUCUCUCUUAUGAAGUGAUGUUGAAUGUCAAUGUAUUUGGUCCUUUAAUGAUGCUUGAAAUUCUUUGCAAAUGCAAGACAUCCUUGAUUGUCACACUCUAUUGAAGUUGCUUCUAUUUGCACAUCUCCAAUGUCCUCCAAAAGUUAUCUUAGCCAUAUUGCUUCUAUUGCACCAUGGCUUGUUGCCAUAUACUUUGCUUCCAUCAUUGAUCUUGUAAUUGUUAGUUGUCUCUUGCAAUUCCAAGAUAUAACUUCUACUCCAACAAAAAAUACAUAUCCUGUUGUUGAUCUUCUAUCAUUUGUAUUUCCAGCCCAAUCUACAUCACAAUAACCAUGCAAAGUAAUGUUAUCACCUCCAAGGCACAAUUUGAAGUUCAAAGUGCCUUUUAAAUACCUCAUGAUUUUUUUGAUGGUUAUCCAAUGGAUUGAUCCAGCCUUUGACAUGUGUUGGCUCACAACACUCAUUGCAUGUACAAGAUCCAUCCUUGUAUCAAUCAUUCCAUAUAUUAGUGAGUCUACUAUUGCUUUAUAUAGAACACCUUAUAUUUGUCCUUCAACUUCAGCAAACUCUUCUUCCGUGAGCUUUAUCAACUUCAAAUUAGCCUCCAAAGGUGUUCCAAUAGACUUGCACUCCUCCAUGUUGAAUCGUUUCAACAUCUCUUUAAUAUACUUGCUUUGGCUAAUUGUAAUGGUUUUCUUAGCAUGAUCUCUUAUAAAUUCUACUCCUAAACAAUAGUGAAGCUCUCCCAAAUCACUCAUCUCAUACUCAUUUUCUAAUUUUAUCUUCAAUCAAUCCAUCAUCUUCAUAAUAUUGGUUAAGAUGAUCAAAUCAUCAACAUAUAAGAUGACAAUUAAUAUGAACUCAUUUGAUAGUAUGACAUACAAUGAAUGAUCAGCCUCACUCCUUACAUACCCUUUAUUCACAAAGAAUAUACCAAUGCAUUGAUACGAUGCUCUUGGAGAUUGCUUAAGCCCAUAUAAAGAUUUCUUCAACUUACAAACAAGAUGUUGAUUGCCUUCUUAUACAAAUCCUUGAGGUCGAUCCAUGUAGAUUUCUUCUUUCAAGCUUCCAUUCAAGAAUGUGGUCUUCACAUCCAUUUGAUGCAUUUAUAAGUCUAUUGCUGCCCCAAUUGUCACAAUGGUUCUAAUGGUGGUGAAUUUUCCCACAAGAACAAAUGUCUCAUUAAAAUCAACACUAGCAACUUAAGAGUAGUCUUUGGCAACCAUUUUAGACUUGUAUCUCACAAUAUUAUCCAUUGCAACCCUUUUCAUUCUAAACACCCACUUACAACCAAUAGACGAUCGAUUUGGUAGGAAUUGAGUUAAUUUCCAUGUUCUAUUCUCCAUUAGUGAUUUGUAUUCUUCUUUCAUAGCAUUCUCCUACUUCAUAGCAUCCAUGGACUUCAUUGCAUCACACAAAUUCAGUAAGAAGAGCAACAUUGGCAUGUUUUUCACUUAUUUGAGGAAAAAUGUGGUCCUUCUACCAUUCACCACGUGGUUUUUUUUUCUCUCAAAGCAUAUCUCCUUUCAUUUGGAGAUAAUUCAUCUUCUUGCACUUCAUGCUUUCUUUCAAGCUUCUUCUUUCUUAAAGCUUAUUUUUUUUUUUUUUAAAAAUAAAUACUCUUCAUCAUCAUCAUUACCAUCAAUAUCUUCAUUGUAUUCAUUACUGGUUCUAAUAAUUGAAGGCAUACUAUGGUCUACCUUCUUUGGUACUUUAUUUUAAUUUGUAUUUCUUCCAUCCUCAUUGUCACUAUUAUCUUCUUCUUCUUUCUUUGCUGAAAUUAAUGAUGUGUCCAUAAACAUACCAUUACUCUCACUUGAAAUAUAUCUCCAAGUACUCAAAAGCACUCUUAUACUCCAAAAACUCAACAUCACUACUUUUAAUGAUCUUCUUGAUUUCUAAACAUAUUAUCCUAUAUGACUUUAUACCUUCACAAUAUCCAACAAAUACAUAUUUUGUACUCUUUGCAUUAAAUUUGGACUUCAUGUAAUCUGGUAUCUUUACAUAAGCAAUGCAUCUAAAGACCUUAUAUGUGAAACAUAAGAUUUCUUGCUAUUCCAAGCUUCUUAUAGAAUCAUUGAUGUCAGUACACUUAUAGGGCAUCUAUUCCUUGUGUGCAUUGAUGUAACGAUGGCUUUAGUCCAAUAAUCAUGCCCAAGGUGUUGUGCAUAAAGCAUACUCUUUGUUAUCUCUAUAAUAUUACAAUUUUUUCUUUUAGCAACUCUAUUUUGUUGUAGAGUGUAAGGAGUAGAGUUUUGUCUUACAACACCUUGAAUUUUUAAGAAUUCAUCAAAAUGCUUUGACAUGUAUUCACUUCCAUUGUCCGUGCACAAUUCUUUGAUCUUACACUCACAUUGUUUCUCUACAAGUCCCUUAAACUCCUUAAACCUUGAAAAACAUUCACUAUUAGCUUUAAUGAUAUAAUUCCAUACUUUUCUUGAAAAAUCACCAAUGAAUGUAACAAAGUACAUUACUCUUCCAAUUGAUGGUAUCUUCAUUGGUCCACAAAUAUCAAAAUACAUAAUCUCCAACAAUUUGGUUGCACAUGUUGCAACUCUAUUUAGAAAUGAAUUCCUUUAUUAUUUGUCUUAUAUACAACCUUCACAAGCAAGUGUCAUGGUAUUGUAGCUGAAAUAACCCAGAUCUAAGCCACUUACCAUAGAUUGAAGCUCCUUCAUACAUUUGGCAUUCAAAUGACUUAUUCAUUCAUGCCAAACUCGCAUCAAAGGCACCUUCAUCUCUCGAGAGUACCUCCUCUUUUGUACCUCCAUAAUCUCGCUUUACAGUGGUACCUCCCCAAAAUCCUUAAAUCCUUCAACAAUCUUUGGCAAUGGUUUCUCCCUCAACCUAUCUCGAUUCCGUUCAUGGUUAGGAGGUACUGUUAGAAAUUGUACAGCUUUCCUCCCAUCCUCGCUACGUACCCUUGCAUAAGCAGAACCAUCGUCAAGUACCUUUGUUUCCAUCCGUGUUGCCAUGAUAUAAGGUUUUCCUAAAAUCAACGGAUAAGACGUUGUAUCCUGAACAAAGAAAUGUUGCUCCAUCGCAACAUCCCCAAUUCGAAUUUUGACAUCUGGACAAGCUCCAUAUAAUUCGCCCCGUGUGUUAUUAGCUGCUCGAAUUGCCCAUCCAUGUUCCAUAUCAAUUGGCCAUUUUUGCUUCUUAUAAAGAUCUUUAGACAUGAGAUUUAUUUCAGAACCAUGGUCGACUAAAGCAACUACUGGUUCUUCUAUAUCUCCUACUUUCACCAAUACCUCGGUAGUUGCCCUUACCCAAUGCUUUCGAGUAUAAUGAUUCAAAGUUUCCAUUUCUUUGUCACUAGAAUCUUCAAAACGUACUCGCUGAUUAUACCCAUUCUUUUCAUUUGUUGGUUGCUUGUAACCAAUAUCAACCUCUUCUUCAUCUCUACAUAUUCUUGCAUCAAUAGCAUGACUCAUUCCAGUUUCGCCCAUUAAUUGCCUCUUUCGCUUAAUGCUGUCAAUGAUAACAUCAUAAAACUCCUUCUUUGCAAUUUCCAAGACUUCUUUCAAUGUGAAUUCCACCUUAGCAUUUAAUAUACGUUCUUUCAGCACCCCUUUCAAAUUUGUUGCCGCUUCAAUGUCAGAAAGUAGCUUAUAAGCAAUUGAUUUGCCCUUAUCUUUUGUCUCCGUUGUUUUUUCUCGCAAUGAUGCUGAGGUAUCCUCUACAGGCAAUUCUUGUGAAGCUGCCUCCCGAGCCCUGUCUCCUCGAGUUUGCCUCUUAGAAGAAUUUCCUUCUCUAGUAUCAUCAAAAUUUCCUCAUCUCUUUUCUUCCAUCAAAGCUUCAUGUUGGCUCUUAGCAAUAUAUGCAUGAACUGAAAGAGACUCAACAAGAUCCUCCCAACCUGUUCUACCUCGUAUUGUAGCUGCAGUUCUCAAUAACGCUUCUCGAGGUAAUUUCCCUUCUUGCAUUGUACAAACGGCAGAAGCCCAAAACUCACUAGUUUCCGUACUUCCACCAAUUUCAUCGUCUACUCUAGCACCAUAACUUGCACUUUCUCGUGCUGCUGUUUCAUGCUCUUUUAGGUAAUCUUGAACCAAUGCUCUCAUUCUUCCCUUGCCAAAAUUGGUUUGAAGAAGAUCCUCUCUAUUUUUCAAUGUUAUCUUCCCAUCUUUUCAGCAAAUAAUUCCCUGCCGUAUCAUAUUAUUAAAUUCAUUGCAAUCUUUUCUAGUGUGUGAAGCAUCAUCACACCAAAUGCAUCUUUGUACAUAUCCUUGUUUUGAAACAUUCUUCGAAUUGUUUAUAGAAGUAUUCUCUUCAAGUCUUGCCAAUUUGAUUUGAAGAUCUCGCAUUCCUCGUGUAAUUUCUUCCAUCCCCAUAUCUGCUUUCUUUGAUAAGGACGUCAAAGGUUGAACUGUAGGCAUUGUUGGUGGAGUUGUACAUACUGGAGCUUUCGGUGCUUGUACUGUUUUCGGAAUAUUGCUCCUAUCCUUCCUCCUUUCUUUUUUCGUAAGUAACCCCACCACAUCUUCAACGUUCUUCCACUUCGUUGUCAAUCCUUCAUCUUCUUCUUUGUCUUCAAGAAGGGGUUCUAAUUUCUCUUGCAAUUCCCCAUCAGCAGCUUGAAGAAAUAGAUCAACUUUGUUCGGCUCCAAUGUCAAUUUUUCUACCUUCGAUAAUUGAGAGUACUGCCUCUCAAAUUCCCUUAGUAGCUUUGUUGCUUGCAAAUUCUUAUUGGGCCGUUCAAUCCAUCCAAGAAACAGCUUCUUAGUAACGCGAUCAGCAUCUUCCAAGAAAUAUUCAUCUUUCAAUGCAUGUGAAAAAUCCUCCCAUGAAUUCCCAUAACGAUCCGUAAUCGAUGUAAUGUGGUCUCUUAUCUCCGAUAUCGUGGCAAGUCCAAAUAGUGCAACCAUUUUCUUCUCAGAAACCCGAUUUAAUUCCAUUUCACGAACAUAACAUCUUAAAUACCUUGAAAUAUUCCUCCCAUCAAAUUGAUCAAUUUUAUUGACCACUGCUUGCAAUGCUUUGGUUGCCAAAGCUUCCUUUCGAUCGUUGCUUUGCUGUUGCUGCAUUGACAAUGAGAAGGCUUGAAACAAACUAGCAAUAGACGGAUCCAUGUGCAUACCUUGUCCUUUAGAAGACUCCCCACCAGAAACUCCUCCCAAAAAUCCUUCAAAAUUUUUAUUUUCAUUUUCCAUAAAAUAAAGAUAAUAUCAACCGAAAUCCAAUACCUUCCACCUCAAACUUUCACGUCGGGUUCACCACUUUUUGUCGUAUUACGUGCUUUCCUGCUCGAGAACGCGCCGGGCGUCUGGCUGUAGAAGGUAGUAUGGAGAUUCCGAUAGUCAAGUAGUCUAUCAGUUUUGACUAUUGGAGUAUAAACGAUUGCAAGAAUACACCGUAAAUCUAUACGGAUGCCCUUCGACUGCUUGUCGAAGUCCUUUUUGCCCCAGCCGAUAGGUCUCUAGACGUUACAGAGAACCCCAAACAACACAAUCUGCUAAUCUCCGAUAUCGCUUUGUACUUACGAUCUUGUAUCCACUGACUGUCUCGUUAGAUUAACCCAACAAUUUUCAUUCACUCCACAUACUCAAUCCUAUAGACACCCUUUUAAUCCUUCAAUCACAGACGUAAUUCGAUUUCACAAAACAGUCAAGAGUAUUCAAACCCACUUCAUUAAAAUCCCGAUUCACCAUUACAAUACUGACUUCAGCAAUGAUUGCCUCAGUCGUCCCAAAACUCUACGAAGAAGAAAAAUCCAAAUUCUAUGUCUUUCCUUCCCCGACCCGAAGCAUGUAGCUCCUCUCUCCCUAAUCCCCUUCCAAAAACUCCCCCCUAACCUUAUCCUCUGAAUUUCUUCAAUCUUCCAUCUUAGAUCCGGAAUUGGCUCCCGCCGUCAGAGCUUAGAUCCGGAAUUGGCUCUCGGCAUCAAGGCUUUCUCCUCCGUUUUUACCUUUAAGAGAUCCAUUUACCGCAAACAACGUUCCUUGAAACGGCACAAAGAACAGGGCACACUGAAACAAAAUCGAAACCCCGUACUCGGGUCCACAUUGAGUCGCCCGACCAAUUCAGGUCUCAUACUAGGUAAGAGGACCCGGAUUGGAUGUCUUGAAAUUGGAUCCAAUUGGCUCUUUGAACCAGACUGGCUGAGGCCCGUAAUAAGACCUGGAUUUUUCCGUAACUAGACUGCAUUGGGUUGCCCGACCAAUGCAGGUCUCAUAUUGGGUAAGAGGACCAGUAGUAACCUGGAUGUUCCCGUAACUAGACUGCAUUGAGUUGCCCGACCAAUGGAGGUCUCAUAUUGGGUAAGAGGACCCGGAUUGGAUUCUCGAAAUUAGAUCCAAUUGGCUCUUUGAACCAGGCUCACCCGUCGCAUGAAUUGGUCCUUUUCCUUCCUGGUGACUCCCGUUAUUGGAAUCGAAAGAGCAUUUCAGUAUGCCCUGGCUGACUGUAACAGGGUGACUGAACCUGGCCACUCAGUAUUUGCACUGGAGUUGGUCGUUGCUCCCAAUAUUCGAGGUAACUGAACAUUAAUAAAAGUCCCCUUUCUUUAUAUUUUCACGGUAUACUCCUGUUACAACACGACAUCCACCCCAUCUGAACCUGUGCAUCCUCCGGUAUGCACCAAUUUACCCAAUUGCUGUUUGAUUCAGAAUAUAUCCUCUACGUCUUUGUCUUGUUCGUCUUCGUCACCUUUAUUAUCCAAUUCACUUUCAUCUUCUUGCUGCUGAAUUUCUAUACCUUCAUUAUGGUCGUCCACAUUCAUCUCUGCGUGUCUUUGUUUAAAUAUUUUUACUCGCUUCCCUGCAAUUGGUAUUUUCAAUUUUGUACCAUCUAACUCCCGUAAUGAGUAAGUCGCAUUAUCAUGAACUGUUGUUACCACAUAUGGUCCAAACCAACGUUUUGAGAAUUUUCGCAAGGUACUAUGUUGAUUAUCCAGACUAUUGUCAUAAACAAGUACCCAGUCACCUUCCUUGAUUGCUUUUGGUCUCAAUCGAUGUUGCUUAUCGAAUCACGCCUUGUUUUGUAACCUUGCUCUUUUUAACCUUUCCAAUGCUAUCUGGACAUCUUCCGUUCUUUGCUCCAAUUGUCGAAUCCUAAUAGCAGAAAGUUCUUCUCUUAUCAAUCCGUUUUCCCAUGGUAGCAUACUCCAAGUAAGUACCUUUUCUUCAAUCGGCAUAAUUGGUUAUUGACCUAUCAUAAGUUCUACUGGCAUAUAUCCUGUCACCGAACUAUGUGUUGUUCGAUCAGCCCAUAAUGCAAAUGACAAAAGCCGUGGCCACUCUUUAACUUUCCCAUUACAAGCUUUAACCAAUGCUUUCACAAUCGGUGGGUGACCGCGUUCGCUUUUUGCAUUCCCUUCCGGAUUAUAAGCAGUAGUCAGUGAUAGUUUAACUCUACAUCUUUCAAAGAACUUACGAGCUUCUUGUGCAUUUAAUUCUCCACGAUCUGCAGUGAUUUUUCCUACGCACCCGUAGCGGCAAAUGACAUCUUCGAGCAAAAACCUACAAAUCCCCUUUGUAGAUUUUAUCCUCAAUGCUCUUCCUUCUACUUGAUUUGAUAAAUCUUCACGAGCUAAAACCAAAUAUCUCAUCUGCCAUAACCCAACCGGCAUAAUAACCAAAUCAACAACCCAUUUAAAAUGAAUAGCCAGGGGAUACGUAGGAUGAAGACCAUCUCGAUGUCGGAUAUUAGAAUACGAUUGACAGAUUUCACAUGACUCUACAAAUGAGAGCACAUCUCGAUACAUAUUUUUCCACCAAUACCGUUCCUUGAGUUUAGCAAAAGUAGCCCAGAUUCCUCUAUGCCCUGCCCAUAAACUAUCAUGAAACUCCUUUAAUAAUUUUAGUUUUUCUUCCUUUUUGCCUAUCACUCGCUGUGGCAUCCCAAUUCCUUUCUUUGGUCUCUUCCAUAAGAAUCCAUCUCGAAGUAAAAAUCCAUAUGCUUUUUUUCUUAUUUGUUUGAAUUUUUCUGUAGACCAAUUCUCCUGCUUAGACAAGGUAUUCAAAUAAUGACCAAUAUCCAAUAAUUCUCCUUCAUAAGAUUCUUCAAGAAAUAGCUUGUCUUCUCUGUUGAGAUUUGAUAUUGAAUAGAAUUUCAAUCCGACAUCAUCAAUGUCUUCAACCAUUUCGUCCUCCCUCUCGUAUCUUGCUCGAGAUAGCAUGUCUGCUACUAAAUUGUCCUUUCCAGUGAUAUGCUUAAAUUCUGGAUUUAGUGACUUAAUAUAAGCAAUCCAUCUCAACAUUGCAAUAUCUGGCGUUGAACAGUUAAUAAUCAUUCCAAGCAAUGGCAAGCAAUCUGUUUCAAUUACUACUACUACCCCAAUCAAAUAGUCCUUUUCAGCUUUCAUUGCCGAAACGACUCCCCAAAGUUCUCUUUUGACUUGCGAAUAUACACGUUGACGAAUACUUAAAACUUUAGCCCCAAAUCGAACUGCAAAUCUAUUCCCAUUUGAAUCAUCUUGAUCCACAGCCCAUCCAACGGCAAUUGGACUAGCGUCUACAGUAAGAAUCACUGGUCUAUUGCACUUAUAAUCAACCUUCCUCAAUAUUGGAGGUGACAUCAAUAAUUUCUUCAAUCUUUGCAUUGCCUGAAUAUGCCUUUCUUCCCAUUUAAAUCGGUAACCCUUGCGUAACAUUUCAUAUAAUGGAUCCGCUAUGUGAGCAAAAUGAGGGAUCCAGAUUCGAUAAAAUACACAUGCACCCAAAAACCUGCGAACCUCUGUUAAAGAAUCACAAUCCUCUUUCAUCCUUCCAAUUGCAUCAACUUUAGUCGGAUCUGGUUUUCUUCCGUAAGAUCCACAUAAAUGUCCAACAAUUACAACCUCUCGUACUCCAAAUACGGACUUCAUACCCGAUAAUGUAAGAUGAACUUUUCCAAGCCGAGUUAAAAUCUUUUCACAAUCUUGUAUAUGAUCAACAACAUAUUUGCGACAUCCCCUCGUGUCUAAAGUUUCAUCCUUCUUUCCUUCUCUGCACCCUUUUAUAGGAACAUCAUCCAGAAAAGGCAUAGUCUUUUCCAGAAUAAAAUCUCUCAAUACCUUAUUCAUCCCAUUCAUCAUAUGCGCAAGUGAGUUGGUCGCGCCUUGAGGAAGAGUGCACAUUCUAACCAAUCCAAGUGGUGUCCUCAUUGUUGUCAUAUCUCUACUUCCUUCGGCAAGUUGAAAUUGAUCAUAACCUGAAUACAAGUCACCCAUUGAAUAGAUCGCCCUUCCAGCAAACGCCUCAGCAAAUUCAUCCACAAUAGGUCCAAUUCCUGCAUUCCUGACAGUUACUGCAUUCACCAGUUGCAUAUCUUGAAUAAACUGUAGUGACCCAUUCUUCUUAGGUACCGUAAACCAUCGACUAGAAUACUGCACAAAUGAAGGUUCCAAUAUUUUCAUCUUUAUCUUUUCUUUUAAUAGUUCAACCAAUUUAGGUAAAUGUGCCCUCGGUACUGAAAUCGGUCUUAGAUUCUAAGGUACAUGUGGUACAGUGAAGAUAACCAUAGGCGUUACUAUAUUUGGAUCUAGACACCCAAUUUCAUGAGAUUCGAAGGCAAACGAUCUACCUUGUUUAGCCAACAUCUUUUUGAAGCAAGUAAUUUCCUCCGGCAAUAAAGAACCAUCAGAACCAAUUUUCAAUUCUUCAAAAGUCUCUUUAGUAAACUAAUGUCCAAUACUCAUUGGAUCUCUUAAACUUGCUUCUUUUGAUGCUUCUCCCAUUUCUUCUUUAGAAUCCUCUGGUAAUGGUCCGGCAACAGGCUUUACCUUCUUAUCUGCCAUUUUAUAUCUCGUCUCUACUGUGACUUCUGGUGCUUGAAAAGAUUCAAGCAUGGUAUAAACCUCUCUCGAAUGAAUCUCAACAAUCUUAUCAUUAUCCCCUAACCCAAUAGAUGUAAUCAAUUCCAAUCAAUCUUCUAGUCCAUUUUCUUCAUAAACACCCAAAAUCCUCUCAUCAUCUUGCAAUGUACCUAACUUGCGUAAUUCUCCUUCAAUAUCAUAUAACCUUUUUCUUUCUUUUCUUUUAAAAUCAUCAACUUUCUUAUACAUAAUAUUUCCAUUCUCCAAUAUACCAAUAAAACUCGCAUCAAAGGCACCUUCAUCUCGCGAGAGUACCUCCUCUUUUGUACCUCCAUAAUCUCGCUUUACAGUGGUACCUCCCCAAAAUCCUUAAAUCCUUCAACAAUCUUUGGCAAUGGUUUCUCCCUCAACCUAUCUCGAUUCCGUUCAUGGUUAGGAGGUACUGUUAGAAAUUGUACAACUUUCCUCCCAUCCUCGCUACGUACCCUUGCAUAAGCAGAACCAUCGUCAAGUACCUUUGUUUCCAUCCGUGUUGCCAUGAUAUAAGGUUGUCCUAAAAUCAACGGAUAAGACGUUGUAUCCUGAACAAAGAAAUGUUGCUCCAUCGCAACAUCCCCAAUUCGAAUUUUGAUAUUUGGACAAGCUCCAUAUAAUUCGCCCCGUGUGUUAUUAGCUGCUCGAAUUGCCCAUCCAUGUUCCAUAUCAAUUGGCCAUUUUUGCUUCUUAUAAAGAUCUUUAGACAUGAGAUUUAUUUCAGAACCAUGGUCGACUAAAGCAACUACUGGUUCUUCUAUAUCUCCUACUUUCACCAAUACCUCGGUAGUUGCCCUUACCCAAUGCUUUCGAGUAUAAUGAUUCAAAGUUUCCAUUUCUUUGUCACUAGAAUCUUCAAAACGUACUCGCUGAUUAUACCCAUUCUUUUCAUUUGUUGGUUGCUUGUAACCAAUAUCAACCUCUUCUUCAUCUCUACAUAUUCUUGCAUCAAUAGCAUGACUCAUUCCAGUUUCGCCCAUUAAUUGCCUCUUUCGCUUAAUGCUGUCAAUGAUAACAUCAUAAAACUCCUUCUUUGCAAUUCCCAAGACUUCUUUCAAUGUGAAUUCCACCUUAGCGUUUAAUAUACGUUCUUUCAGCACCCCUUUCAAAUUUGUUGCCGCUUCAAUGUCAGAAAGUAGCUUAUAAGCAAUUGAUUUGCCCUUAUCUUUUGUCUCCGUUGUUUUUUCUCGCAAUGAUGCUGAGGUAUCCUCUACAGGCAAUUCUUGUGAAGCUGCCUCCCGAGCCCUGUCUCCUCGAGUUUGCCUCUUAGAAGAAUUUCCUUCUCUAGUAUCAUCAAAAUUUCCUCGUCUCUUUUCUUCCAUCAAAGCUUCAUGUUGGCUCUUAGCAAUAUAUGCAUGAACUGAAAGAGACUCAACAAGAUCCUCCCAACCUGUUCUACCUCGUAUUGUAGCUGCAGUUCUCAAUAACGCUUCUCGAGGUAAUUUCCCUUCUUGCAUUGUACAAACGGCAGAAGCCCAAAACUCACUAGUUUCCGUACUUCCACCAAUUUCAUCGUCUACUCUAGCACCAUAACUUGCACUUUCUCGUGCUGCUGUUUCAUGCUCUUUUAGGUAAUCUUGAACCAAUGCUCUCAUUCUUCCCUUGCCAAAAUUGGUUUGAAGAAGAUCCUCUCUAUUUUUCAAUGUUAUCUUCCCAUCUUUUCAGCAAAUAAUUCCCUGCCGUAUCAUAUUAUUAAAUUCAUUGCAAUCUUUUCUAGUGUGUGAAGCAUCAUCACACCAAAUGCAUCUUUGUACAUAUCCUUGUUUUGAAACAUUCUUCGAAUUGUUUAUAGAAGUAUUCUCUUCAAGUCUUGCCAAUUUGAUUUGAAGAUCUCGCAUUCCUCGUGUAAUUUCUUCCAUCCCCAUAUCUGCUUUCUUUGAUAAGGACGUCAAAGGUUGAACUGUAGGCAUUGUUGGUGGAGUUGUACAUACUGGAGCUUUCGGUGCUUGUACUGUUUUCGGAAUAUUGCUCCUAUCCUUCCUCCUUUCUUUUUUCGUAAGUAACCCCACCACAUCUUCAACGUUCUUCCACUUCGUUGUCAAUCCUUCAUCUUCUUCUUUGUCUUCAAGAAGGGGUUCUAAUUUCUCUUGCAAUUCUCCAUCAGCAGCUUGAAGAAAUAGAUCAACUUUGUUCGGCUCCAAUGUCAAUUUUUCUACCUUCGAUAAUUGAGAGUACUGCCUCUCAAAUUCCCUUAGUAACUUUGUUGCUUGCAAAUUCUUAUUGGGCCGUUCAAUCCAUCCAAGAAACAGCUUCUUAGUAACGCGAUCAGCAUCUUCCAAGAAAUAUUCAUCUUUCAAUGCAUGUGAAAAAUCCUCCCAUGAAUUCCCAUAACGAUCCGUAAUCGAUGUAAUGUGGUCUCUUAUCUCCGAUAUCGUGGCAAGUCCAAAUAGUGCAACCAUUUUCUUCUCAGAAACCCGAUUUAAUUCCAUUUCACGAACAUAACAUCUUAAAUACCUUGAAAUAUUCCUCCCAUCAAAUUGAUCAAUUUUAUUGACCACUGCUUGCAAUGCUUUGGUUGCCAAAGCUUCCUUUCGAUCGUUGCUUUGCUGUUGCUGCAUUGACAAUGAGAAGGCUUGAAACAAACUAGCAAUAGACGGAUCCAUGUGCAUACCUUGUCCUUUAGAAGACUCCCCACCAGAAACUCCUCCCAAAAAUCCUUCAAAAUUUUUAUUUUCAUUUUCCAUAAAAUAAAGAUAAUAUCAACCGAAAUCCAAUACCUUCCACCUCAAACUUUCACGUCGGGUUCACCACUUUUUGUCGUAUUACGUGCUUUCCUGCUCGAGAACGCGCCGGGCGUCUGGCUGUAGAAGGUAGUAUGGAGAUUCCGAUAGUCAAGUAGUCUAUCAGUUUUGACUAUUGGAGUAUAAACGAUUGCAAGAAUACACCGUAAAUCUAUACGGAUGCCCUUCGACUGCUUGUCGAAGUCCUUUUUGCCCCAGCCGAUAGGUCUCUAGACGUUACAGAGAACCCCAAACAACACAAUCUGCUAAUCUCCGAUAUCGCUUUGUACUUACGAUCUUGUAUCCACUGACUGUCUCGUUAAAUUAACCCAACAAUUUUCAUUCACUCCACAUACUCAAUCCUAUAGACACCCUUUUAAUCCUUCAAUCACAGACAUAAUUCGAUUUCACAAAACAGUCAAGAGUAUUCAAACCCACUUCAUUAAAAUCCCGAUUCACUAUUACAAUACUGACUUCAGCAAUGAUUGCCUCAGUCGUCCCAAAACUCUACGAAGAAGAAAAAUCCAAAUUCUAUGUCUUUCCUUCCCCGACCCGAAGCAUGUAGCUCCUCUCUCCCUAAUCCCCUUCCAAAAACUCCCCCCUAACCUUAUCCUCUGAAUUUCUUCAAUCUUCCGUCUUAGAUCCGGAAUUGGCUCUCGGCAUCAAGGCUUUCUCCUCCGUUUUUACCUUUAAGAGAUCCAUUUACCGCAAACAACGUUCCCUGAAACGGCACAAAGAACAGGGCACACUGAAACAAAAUCGAAACCCCGUACUCGGGUCCACAUUGAGUCGCCCGACCAAUUCAGGUCUCAUACUAGGUAAGAGGACCCGGAUUGGAUGUCUUGAAAUUGGAUCCAAUUGGCUCUUUGAACCAGACUGGCUGAGGCCCGUAAUAAGACCUGGAUUUUUCCGUAACUAGACUGCAUUGGGUUGCCCGACCAAUGCAGGUCUCAUAUUGGGUAAGAGGACCAGUAGUAACCUGGAUGUUCCCGUAACUAGACUGCAUUGGGUUGCCCGACCAAUGCAGGUCUCAUAUUGGGUAAGAGGACCCGGAUUGGAUUCUCGAAAUUAGAUCCAAUUGGCUCUUUGAACCAGGCUCACCCGUCGCAUGAAUUGGUCCUUUUCCUUCCUGGUGACUCCCGUUAUUGGAAUCGAACGGAGCAUUUCAGUAUGCCCUGGCUGACUGUAACAGGGUGACUGAACCUGGCCACUCAGUAUUUGCACUGGAGUUGGUCGUUGCUCCCAAUAUUCGAGGUAACUGAACAUUAAUAAAAGUCCCCUUUCUUUAUAUUUUCACGGUAUACUCGUGUUACAACACAACAACGUGGCGAUGUUCUAUAAGACCUUCAAUAUGUGUUGACUUUGUAGGACACAUGCCUUGGCUUAUAAGGCAAGUUUUUCUACAUGUGGGCCACAUAAUUAGCUUGGUCUUCAAGUUAACAACAUGUGUGGCACAUGGCCAACUUAUUGAUCACGUUUCUAAUCCAAAAAGUCAAUUAAAAACACUUAUAAAGUCAAAGUAGGAUCUAUAAAGCUCCUAAGAAGCUUCCAUAGAAAAUAUUAUAGAAUUAACUUAUUUUUAUCUACUUUUAUUUACUUCUACAUAUUUAUACAUGUAAUUAUUGGCUUACAUGCAUAUAUCCAUGACAUUAUUCCCCCUUCUAGGGAUGAAUUCCAUGAGGAGCAAUCAUCAUAUGUUGAAGAAAUCUAUGAUGCAGCAUAUUAUAUUUGCUACAUACUUUGAUCUUUAUUCUCUUCGAAGAUGAUUGAUAGGGCCUCUCAACCAUCAAUAGUGUCAUAUAUCAUGGCGAAAAGACCACCGAGUUAUUUAAUUGUUGUUGAGGCCUUCAUAACUUCCUUCGAAUAAAACAUUUGGAACACCGUUUGGAGUUGUUCCUACUUAUAGUAAAAUCACCAAAUUUUGGGAGUUCCUUCUAAGGUCGUGAUACCAAAUGCGUUGUAUCUCGCCAUCUAUUCGAAGAAGAAUAUGUCAUUCUUCAAGAUCUUCAUCUUGAUUGUGUUGUCUUGGAGGUUGUGACAAUCAUAAUGUCUCGUCCAGCAGGUCAGCAAACGAAGGCUCUUGAGUCAAAUCUGCUUGUUGUUGGUUCUCCAUCUUCUCAACAUCACAACUACAAAGAAGCUACAAACAAGGAUUGAAAGUAGAAUGUUAUCUUGCUUAGAUCUUGUUUUUCUUUAUAAGGAAGAUUUUUAUUUUGAUUUUGAUGGAUGUCGUCGAUGAAAAGCCUCCACCGCCUUUGCUACAUUUACAAGAUUCUAUACUGGCUUCCAUGUGCAUUCACUAAUAUCAUAUUCAUGCCAAUAGACAAGAUAUUCGAAUUUAUUUUGGUGCUGCCUUAAAUCUAAGACUUCUUCGUCUCAAACUCUUCAUUAUAAUCCACUUCUAUAGGAGGAAGUGGAACUUGUCUUCUUCCUGAUAUGUCCACUAUCUUGUAUGGUUCAAGAAGAGAUACAUGGAAUAGUGGGUGGAUUUUGAUUGACUCCAAUAGGUAUAAACAAUAUGCAAUUAGAUUAAUUUGUGUAGAAUUAGAAAAUAGUCCAAACUUUUGAUAGUCCAACUUGUCACAAGGACGAGUGGUCUUAAUAUUGCGACAAAGUAACCAUAUCUUUUCACCUAUGUAGAAUGAUGGUUGUUCAAUUUGAUAGACAUUUGCAUUGUUCUUUUGUUGUUUUUGAGUUUCUUUUAACUACGCCUUUAUCAUUGCAUGUAGCUCUGACAAAUGAAUUGCCAAAUCUUUUGCCACAGGAUUAUCAACUUUUGAAAGUCAAAAGUAUCAAGUCAUGGAUGAUAACCAUAAUUGGUAAAGAAAGGUGUUUAUUUUGUAGAAGAAUGUAUCGUUGUCAUGUUGUGGUUCAGCUACUAUAUGAAAAUAAUGUAAUUAUGUACUUAAUAUAUAAUUUAUUAAGUAACAUGGUGAAAGCCAUAUUAAUAGAUUUUAGUUGGUUGUAGAAUAUAAUUUGAUUAUUACCUUGAGAAGAGGUUGUUUAAAAAGAUUACUAUAGAAUUUGUAUAAUUUUAAUUUCCUUUUGAUAGUGGCUUUUAAGAUUGGUUUUGGUUGAUAGUAACUUCUAAAUAUUUAGAAUCACUUUUGUUAGACAUUGGUGACCUUUGAAAACUUCUUUUGGUUCUUCUAUUUGAUAUUUAGAGCAUAUAUUAUGAAAAUCUUAUAAGAAAAAGGAUUGAAGAAGGAUUUUGGUAGCAAAGGGAGUAAUUAGGGCACAAAUAUAGGUGAAUAGAGAUGAAUAAUGAAAAUCUCCAUUCCUAUUGGUCAAAAAUCAUGACCAAUGGGCUUUGAGGAGGUUGCCCGAGGCCAUAUUAGAGAUUGGGGUUAGUUUCUCGAAGCCAUUUGAGCUUUGAAGGCUAAGGACAGCAGGUUUAGGUUUUUGGCUAUGGUUUUGGUGCAAGUUUUGUAUGAUUUGGAGUUUAUAUAAAGGAGAUAUAAGCACUCAAAGUUAAGGUAUUGAUUUGGAAGCUAUUGUCACUCUUUUUGGCAUAACGCACGCAUACAGAUAGCACUUGAGGAUCGGCAAUUGUGACUAGAGAGAGCACUUUUGCGGCUACACUUUUCAUAUACUACUUACUGGAUUCUAAGUUGAAAGGAAGGAGUUAUUGUAUUUUGAAGUCAAUGCAUUCAAUCUAAGGGUAGUAAGUGACCCGAUUUACUAGUGGUUGUGUCUUCAAUUGUAUCUUAAGCAAUUUGAUAAGGUUUUAGCUCAAAAUCUCAAGAAAUGUGUAAUUUUCAAUUAGUAAACUUUAUGCAUAAGUUUUAUAACAUUUAAGUAUUGGAUUCUUGAGAUAUUAAGAAAAUAGUGUUUGGGUGCUUGUAAAUUAGGAUUUAGAGCAUCUGCUAGGGUUUCUUAGAUGCCAAAAGAUCGAGAGUGAAUUUGUAUUUGGUUUUUUUUGUAAUAAAACCUAAGAGUGAAUUCUACCUAUUCUAUAAAUCUUAGACAAACUAAACGGUUAGAUCAAGAGUUAUGAAUUUCUAAAAUUUUAAAAAUAAAAUCUUUUGCAGGAAAAAUAUGUAUUGAAGGGAUUUUGUAAUAUUUUGAGUUUUAUGCAAAAUAAAGGAGUUUUGGGAGGCUAAGCCAAGACUCAUAUAAAGGUUUUAGCUACAUUCUCUAUAACUAGAUAUCUAGUGUAUUCCCAAAUAGCAAAUCACGCCAUACGACACGAUGUUAUUGUAAGCAAACUCUGCCAAUGGCAAAAUAGUUGUCUAAUUAUCUUGUUGGUAGUUGAUAGUAUAUCUUAAAUACUACUCCAAAACUUGAUUAAUAUGCUCCAUUUGUCCAUCAGUUUGAAGAUGGAAUACCUAAAAUGGUUUUAUAUCCACUUCUAGAAUCUUAAAAAGAGUCCACCAAAAUCUUGAUACAAACUGAGUUCCCUUAUCUGAUAUAAUAUCUUUGGAUAAUCCAUGAUAGCGAUAGAUAUUGUCAAGACAAAGCUAAGCUCUUUCUUCACCUAUGAUGGAUUUUGUACAUGGUAUGAAAUUUUCCAUCUUAAUAAAAAGAUCUACUAUCACAAAUAUAGAGUCAUAAGAACUUGAGAUUAAAAGAUCUAUGAUGAAAUCCAUAGAAACAGAAGACCAUAGUUGUUCUAGAAUGGGUAAUGGCUUAAGAAGUUUGUAAAGUCAAUGAAAAGGAGUUUUUGAUUUUUAACAAACAUCACAAGAUUAUACAAAAUCUUUGAUUGUUUUCCACAUUUGGGACUACCAAAAGUCCCUGCAUAUUAGUUCCUAAGUUUUAUUGUACCCAAAAUGUCAUGUUGUUGGAAAGUCAUGAUGAGCUUGAAGAACAUGUAAUUGAGCUUCACCGUGUGGAAUAUAUAUGUGUCCUCAAAAUAUAAUAGAUUGUUCUUGAAUUCAAACUUGGAAGUAUCAUGAAACUUUGAAGGAUUUUUUUUAAUAUCACAAAUAAGAGGAUCAGAAGACAUACUUGACUGAACUUGCUUAAUGAAAGUUGAAUCAAUAGUUAGUAUUGAUUUCAUUGCUCGAAGAUGAAAAUGCUCUAGCUUCAAGAGAAUUGUCCAUUGUUGAUCAAAAGAAACAUCUCCUUUCUUUAAUGUAAGGUAGAAUUGUUUAGAGAGUGCAUCUGACAAACCUUGUUAUUUUCUUGGUCAAUAAGUGAUCUUGAAUUCGAAUCUUGACAAAGACAUACUGUGACGAGCUUGGCAACCAUUCAAAAUACGCGAUGACAUAAAAUAUUCAAGAUUCUUAUAAUUUGUAUAUACAGUAACUCGGCUAGAAGUACCUUCUAGAUAAUGACGCCAUUCUUGAAAUGAAUCCACGAUUGCAAGAAGUUCUUUGUCAUUGAUCUUAUAAUUGAUCUGGACUGCUAAAAAUUUUUUGGAAUGAAAAGCUAUUAGAUGAAUUUUAUCAUCUAUUUCUAUUUGUGACAAUACAGCACUCAAAGCAAAGUCUGAUGCAUGUGUUUCUAUAAAAAAUGGCUUAAAAAAAUCAACGCAAUACAAGAUUAGUGCAGAAACAAAGGCUAUCUUCAAAGCUUCAAAUGCUACUUCCACUUCUUGAUUCCAUUGAAGUUUGUCUUUACAAGUCAAACGUGUAAGUGGAGCUGCAACUUGAGAGAAGUCUUUGAUGAAGAUCCGAUAGUAGUUGGAAAAUUCCAAAAAGCAUUAUACAUCUCUUAUCGUUUUUGAGAUCUUUCAAUCCAUAAUAGUUUGAACUUUCUUAAGAUCCAUCAUAAGUCCAUCAUUUGAAAUGAUGCAUCCUGAGAAGUCAACUUGAGUAAUGUGAAAUAUACACUUUUCUAUCUUGGCAUAGAGUCUCGCAUCUCUUAGUUUUGUAAUACAUGACAAACAUGAAAUUCAUGUUCUUCUAUGUUCUUAGAAUAGAUUAAGAUAUCAUGUAGAUAGUAGACAACAAAAUCAUUUAAAAACUCAUGAAAGACAUCAUUCAUUAAAUGUUGGAAUGUUGCUGGUACAUUUAUAAGUCCAAAAGGUAUGACAUUGUAUUCAAAAUAUCCAUUCUUUAUUCAAAACGCAGUCUUCCAUUCAUCUCCUUCUUUGAUGCAUACCAGAUUGUAUGCUCUUUGUAGAUUUAUUUUUCUAUAGAUCUUACCUUGGUUCAAUUGAUCAAGGAGUCCAAAUAUCAAAGGUAGCGAGUACCUCUUCUUGAUGGUGAUUUUGUUGAGUCCUCGAUAAUCGACACACAUCUACAAUGAUCCAUCUUUUUUUUUUCACAAAUAAAAUUGGAAUUCUUGCUAGAGAUUUGGAAUGGCGUAUGAAGUUCUUGGCCAGAUUUUCUUCAAUAUUCUCCUCGGGUUCAUUCAAUUCAUUUUGAGAUAAAUUGUAGAUUGGUCCAAAUCGCGACUGUGUUCCUUCUUGAAGUUCAAUUGAGCAGUCAUAGGAACAAUGUUCUAGAAGAGUAUCCACAUUUUUCUUCUCAAAUACAUCUUAAAAAUCUUGAUAUUGGCUUAAAAUGUAACUUGAAGUCUUUCUACUAGUAGAAAUAAGUGUGGCAUAAAUAACACAAGAUGAUCCUUCUUUUGCAGCAUGCAAGAAAGCUCUUGCGCCUACAAAUACAGGUUUAAUUGUACUAGACUUAUGACUUUUUAUUUAAUUAACUACACUCUUAGUUAUACUUUCAGGAAAGUCAAGACUACGAGAAGUCUAAUCUAUUUUAGGAUUAUUUUUUUUUAACCAUAAUAAACCUAAAAUGACUAGAUUAGAGGGAGAUCUAGUGAUAUUAAAUAUUACAAAGCUACUAUAAUCAUUAGUUGCUACUUCUAUAGGAAGGAUUUCAUGAGUAACAUUUCUUGAAGACAACGGACGACCAUCUAUGACUUCUACAUGAACAUAUUUAGUUUUCUUCACUAAAAGUAUGCUAUAUUUUUUAGCAAAUUCUUCAUCUAAGAAACAUACUAAGGCUCUUGAAUCUAACAAGGUAGAGGCUUUGUGAUGUUUAGGUCCUAGAAUAACAUUUAUCAUAAAACAUGGAAAGGGUUCUAAAGAGAGAAUAGGACCUUCAUUAGGCUUAUACAAGGUUCCAACUGCACGGUCCCUAUUGUAGCUGAACAAAUUUGUUUUCCAACAUGCUAUCUUCUUUGAUCACCGUACUCCUCAUUUUAUAGUUACGUCGCUUCUUUGGGCAAUGUUGAGCAAUGUGCUUUGAUUCUCCAUAAUAUAAGCACAAUCCUUUUUGAUGACUACAAGUCUUUUCUUGCUUAGUAAGAAAUUUGAAACGUACCACAUCAAUUUGCAUAUCCUCUACUUUUGAAUGUAUGUAUUGAAGAGAUGUUGGUAUUGCCAUUGAAUUAUAGUAACGUUGAGGUUCACUUGUAUGGUUCUCAAAUCGGAAUUCAAAAAGAUGAUUGUCGCACUUCACAACAAAGUCAAUUGCUUGAGUCAAUGUUUGAGGAUCAAAUAAGUUGAGCAUUAAUUUUUUUACCUCAUAUCUUAAUUCUUAGAAAAAUUGGCUAACAAGUGCAACAUCAUCCCACUUGAUAUUAAUUACAAGUUGUCAAAAUUAUAAAGCAUACAAUGUUACUAAUCGAUUGCCUCAUUGCAAAAUAUGGAUCCUGUUGGUUGCAAUGCAAAUUGCAUCAUGUUUUCCAUACAUGGAUCAAAACUUCGCCAAAAAAGCCUUCAAAUUAUCCAAUAUUAGAUCUUAUCAUUCACAAAAAGAUGAAAACCAUGAUAAUGUUGAAUUUGAAAGAAGCAUACCAAUGAAUCUAACUUAUGAUCCUGGAGUUGGAUAGCUUUGGAGUUUAAGUUCAAUCACAAGUUUUAAUUGAUUGAUAAAUCCUUUAAAGUUUGAUCUGGUGCCAUCAAACAUCUCGGAUAGGAUAAUUCUAGAUUUUCUAAGAAUGGAAGGACAUUCGACCAUAGCAGAAGGGACAUGAUUUAGUGCAGAUGUUGAAGCAACUCCAAUCAUUUCUAUAUCUUCACUUCCUGCCAAUCUUGUUGCUCCUUAUGGUGGUAAAUUGAGUUGAUGUAUUGUAAGUAUUAACUCUUUCAAUUGCUCUUGUAUUUAUACCAUUACACUCUUCAUUUCAAUAAGUUUUGCCAUGAUAACACUUAAAAAGAAAAUGUCUAAUAUUGCUCAAGACAAAUAGAAGAAAGGACUUGAGAAGAAAGAAAAUAGUAAGGACAAUAUCAGUUUAGAAGAGGGUAAUCCAUAACUUUUAAUGCGCUUAUGUCUUAUCAAGAGAAAGGGAUAAUCCACUCUUAAUCAAGAUUUGAUAAAGCUCUGAUAUUAUAAGUGUACUCUUAUUAAUUUGUCAAAGACAAGAACUUGAUAAAAAUGAAUAAACAAGUGAGACUUCUCUCAAAGAAAGAUGACAAAAUAGAAAUAAUUUAAUAUAUAUAUUUAUAUAUAUAUAUAUAUAUAUAUAUAUAUAUAUAUAUUUAUAUAUAUUAAAAAAAAAAUUAGAAUGGCUAUUGCCAAAAGACAAGAAAACUAGAGACCCUUAAAACUAGACUAGAAACAAGAAAGGAGUUGACAAGAGUGAAGAGGGCUUCACUCUUGUCUCUAUAUAUACUAUCCAACUAGGUGCUAUGUGGCAAUAUUCUAUAGGACCUCUAAUAUGUGUUGACUUUAUAAGAUACAUGCUUUAACUUACAAGGCAAGUUUUUCUACAUGUCGGCCACAUAUUUAGCUUGGUCUUCAAGCUAACAACAUGUGUGGCACAUGGCCAACUUAUUGACGACGUUUCUAAUCCAAAAAGUCAAUUAAAGACACCUAUAAAGUCAAAACAGCAUCUAUGAAGCUUCUUAUAAGCUUCUAUAGAAAAUAAUAUAGAAUUAACUUAUUUUUAUCUACUUUUAUUUACUUCUACCUAUUUAUACAUGUAAUUACUGGCUUACAUGCAUAUGUCCGUGAUAAAGACUCGGAAAGGCUCAUGAGCAAUGUCAACAUAAUUUCUCUAUCAUUAACUGACAUGUCAACAAUUGCUACUUGGUUUGCAAGUGCUUUUACCUUGUUGACAUAAGCCAUGAGGUCAUCUCCUUCUUCCAUCUUUAUUAUUAAGAACUUCUUUCUUGUCCAUAGAAUGUUAGUAAGGUUUCUACUCUCAUAGAUGUUGCAAAGAGUCUUCUAUGCUUUUGCUGGUCUAGUGCAAGCAAUUACAUGUGAAAAAUUAGCAUCAUCAAGAUUUGCUGCAAUCAUCCCAAAAGCCUUCCUUUCACAUUGUUUAUACUCCUUUUUCACUUUCACAUGAGCAUUGUUACUUAGAAGGUCUUCACUUUCAUCAACAAUGUCCCAAAGAUUCAAUGAAGCCAACAAAAGUUCCAUUUUUUUCUUCCAAUGGUAGAAGUUGUCAUCUCUAAACUUUUCAAUUACUCUCAAAUCCUCAUCCUCACUUGAAGCCAUGUCUAAAGAAGGGAUGUAUAAAAAAAAAUCAAAAAAAAUGUAGAAUGAAUUCUCAAAAUCAACAAGAAGAUGUUGCUGACUUAGAAAUCUAGAAUGCCCUCUUAGUAAGUAAACUAGUGAUUUCAUUCCUGAAUCACUUUCAACUUCACUUAUAAGACUUCUCACAAGUCUGAUAUUCUAUCAUAACCUCUUAUAUAAGCUUUGCCUCUCUUUAAUCACCUCUUUUCUUUCACAAAAUACUUCUAACCUCACAAAGCACAUCUUAUCACAAUAAGUAGAUCUCUUAAGGAGAUUAGUACAUAAAAGCACAAAGUUAGAGCACCAAUGAUGAAACUCAACAAAAAAAUACAAUAUAAGUGUCCAUAAACAUCAAUCUAAGGUGUCUAACAACCUCCAUAAUUAUGAAUGCACUUAAUAACAAGUAAGAGCAAUAACAACAUCAAUAACUAGAUACAAAAGGAGGUUUAAAAGAUACCAAAUUCUAACAUCAGCAAUAAUCAUAAGAUCUAUUUUUAACACCAACAAAGACUUCAAAGAACUUCAAAACUCACAACUAAAGGUGAAUGGGUCCAUAACCUAUUGAAGAAUAAGCACUUUGAAGUCACAACACUUAGCAUUAGAAACGUUGCACACAAAGAGAGUAUGGAGUAAGAUAUGUCUCACUUCCAACACCCAAUACUUAUAAAUAGUGGUUGUUGUCCAAAAAGACAAAUUUCACUCUUUGACUUUUGUACACAUGGUAUUAGGAUCCUUUUGGCAACUCACUAACUUUCAGGGUAUCUUAUAACAUGUACUAAUUACUCUUAUCUAGUCUUUGGAUAUUUCCUAGUUAAUUCUUUAUCCUCUUGACUUUGACUCUUGGCCCUUAACUUUGACCUAUAUCCAUAGGAUUUUCUUUCUAUACACCAAGAGUCGACCUUUUGACCAUUAGCAACUUACCUAAGAUAAUAUCUUCUACAAUGUAAUUUAUUCUACUUUCACUUUGACUUCAACACAGAUGCCAUGAUUUCAAAAGUUGCUAGAAGAGGCCAAGCAGACAUUCAAGCAUAAGGAGUGAAUUGAAUCCUCUACUUAGAAUCAUGUUGCUUACUUUUUUUCAAAUUUUGAUACUUAGUGCUCCUCCAAAUCCUCAUUCUGCACACUACUUCAAAUUUCAUUUUGUGCUAUAGUCAUGGGCCCACACGCUUCAAACAUAUAUAUAUAUAUAUAUGACAUGUGUGUCUAUAUAGACAUGACAUGUUAUUUUGAGCUAAAAUUAUAUAAGAAUAUUGAUGUAAUUAUUGAAAGUAGUUGAUAAAUCUGGAUCCAUCUAUCCAUUAGCUACAGCCUAAACUUAAAUGCCAACAAUACAAUUGAAAAUUUUAAAAUAGUGUACAAUAUUGAUUUUUCUGUUUCAAAAAGAAUUUACUCACUGAUAGAGGAAUAAUCCAGAGAUAACCCAAAAAGUCAUAUUGCAGUUCUACAUCACUUCCCCAUGAGUUCCCCAAAAUUUCCCGCGAGAUCAGACCCCAACGCGGGAAAACUGAAGGGACCGUCCCGCCACGCUCCCGCCAAUUCUCCCCUUGUGCAUCCACGACCAUAGCAGUCACGCCAGCCAUACGUUACCUUGACUUUUUGCCGUCAUUCUUGUGCAUCAGCGCCACGAUUCGCUUGCAACUGCCGUCGAUGACCCCUUCGCAACGACAAAUUGACAAUACUCAAAUACCCAUCUCGUCAUUUUUAGCAAAUAAGAAAAUUAGGCUUGCAGUGGGUUAUUUUGGCUUUGGCAGAAUGUUGUUGGGGGGGGGGGGGAUUUCAUGUAGCGAGGCUCUCAUGGGGUGCUUUGGUCUAGUUCCAACUGUGUGUAGCACCCUCUUGGUCGCUCUGCCGGUUGAUAGCCGGAUUUUGCAUGUCUUGAGCAUCACAGAGGACAUCUGCAUGCAGUAAUAUAUGACCCGGACGUGACUCUGAUUUCUAAAAGCGACUUUACUUCAAUCCGUGACAAACUUAAAAACUUGCAUGUGCAGAAAUCAGAUUUACGGAAACGGAAUCCUGAGUUUCGAGAGAAUGUUGUUCUGGAAGAAGAAGGGUCAGGAAUGCCUCUUUACGCUGUACAUUGUUAAAUUACUAGUUGAACACCGUGUUAUCCUUUAUUUUUUUGACUGAAAGCAAUCUCUUGGCUAUUGUCCUGUACAAACGCAAGCCAAGAUAUGCUUCAUGGAAUAAUCUAGAUAAUGACCCUUUUUUUUCUUUUUUUUUCUUUUUUUUUAAUAUUUUGACUUUCAUGGACUCUUCUUUGUUGCUUCUGAUGCACAGAGUGAGGCGCAUAGGAUACAAGCUACUCUCCGUGAUUUUAUGUCAUCUUUCUCUUUGUACCGUGGUUCUCAUCAUGAUUGCUCCUUUCUGGGUGCCCUGAAAUGUUAUCACUAUGUACAGAAAGUUCUUCCUUUAAGAAUUAGCAAUGAACUGCAGUUGACGAAUGCCAAACUUAAAUGUCUCAGUUGCCUACGUCCUUUUUGUCAUGAUCAUCACCAGGUAUUUUCUGGAUCUCGUUUUCACGAAAGUCAGGAGCUGUUGUAAAAGAUUUUGAGAUAGCAUGGAAUUGUGUUCUGCCCAGGUUUUAAGUAGAAUAAUUACUGGUAAAUAAUUCCCACAUAAUGGAUACUGCUUGUUUACAGCUCUCACUUUCGUCUACAAGUAGAUGAGAUCUUAGUCCUCACUCCCUUCCUCUUCUCUGAUUUCAAAAUUUUCAUGAUUUCCUUUAGACUAUUCGCCUGUUUCUUUUUGCUGCGGGGAAUAGUCUGCACCGGUGUUUAAUCGGAUCAUUUUAUGUUUUCUUGAAAUAGAGGCACUGAACGCCAUGUGACUUCAGCCUUGCACCGGUGAGAUGGAUACUUGCUCUUUGUUUCCUCACUUUUAUUGUGUUUUCAUCCAUGUCAAGUCAUAGAAACGAUAGUGAACCUAUUCUGUUAUUAAAUUUGGCAACAUUUUACUUAUUCUGUUGGUGUUUAUCAUCCACAAUGUUUUGUACCCACUUGUCGUUAUAUUACACGUGUUCCAGGGGUCUCUUUGACAUGUAGUCGUAUUUGUUGGUGCAGGUGACUCCAACAGCAACGUUCGUUUCGUGCUGUUGAAAUAUUUUUGCAUCACAUGAUCUUGCUCUCAUAUUCAUCUCUUACUAUGAUUUUUUGAAUUUAGGGAUAUCAAUUCUCUUAAACAUCUUUUUUGUUCCAGGAGAAUGAAACAGAUCGAGUUCCUGGCAUUUGAAACGUCUUUUUAAAGAAGAAUAAAGACUUAUAGAUAGCGUCAACAGUCAGUUGAAUGUGGUUUCAAGUCAGCAUAAUACGCCGUUGUUUUUAGAUCCGGUGAGAGAGCAUCACCGAUAUCACAGAGGGUUGCAGUUAAGGUAACUUCCAAAUGUUUUCUCGUUCUCCGUGACGUAAUGAAUGUUUAGCUUUGGCAGCUCAAAGUGGUCCACAAGUAUGAUUAUGUGCUAGUGUCAUCAGAUCUAGCGUUUUGGAGGUUGUCAUUCCUUCGAUUCUGCCCUUGAAGGAACCCUUAAAUUGGACAGUUGGUCUGCACACGUGAGUUUGUUGCAACUGAUUGCAGCAGAGCUAUCGUUCUAUCCACCUGCACAAACAGUGUGUUCCAACUCAUUGUUGUCCUCAAUUUUCUGCUCUUCAUCAGUCUGAGGAUACAAAUGCCUCGGUUCAGGUAACGGAUGUGCUUUAAUGAAAGCUUGUUUAGCGUCGCAGGGCUUUGAUGGAUGUUGCAAAACUUCAAUUUGUUAAUAACGAGACUACUGGUAGAUUGCCAACCUAAUUUCGCGGCUGGCUAGAAGGAUAACUGCGGAUUGAUUCAGAUGUUCAAGUCGAAGCCUCUGAAGUGUUGAGCCAUGACUUUGUGAAGUCAAUCGAGAAAAUCUUACGAUGCGUGACCCCUGUCGCUUUCCACCAAACAGCCCAUCCAGUUGGAUAUCAUUCUGAAGUUUUCACUGCUUCAAGAAUGUAUGUUCCAAGCACAUGUUUUAUUUACGCAAUUGUCACAGGUUGACAUAUUCGCCUCUUCACCUCUUUCAUGUGGGUAGACCCGAAGUACCACCAUUUAUACCUCUGUCACCGACUAUGUAGAGCAGAUCAGCAUAUUUCGAUUGCUCCAACUAAGUGGACCUUGGAAUGAUCCACGAAACUUAAUCAAUCGUUAUUUUGUAGUUAGACUUUCCAGAACACCGGCGUACUGUUGUUUGUAGAGUGUAACGCCAGAUGUACUUGGCUGAGCUGGGCAUAUCCACAGCAGAUAGGUACCACAGAGAUUGUUACUAUAUGGUGCCGCUGUGAGUUUUUCAGAAGUGGUUAUUGCACCCAACUUAUCCUUUGUUACUUCUUGGAGCAAUUUCUGAAUCAGAGAGUCUUGAUCUCCGGGACGUGUUUCCUGCUCAUGCGGACACCAACUUGCAAGUCUGUUCUUUUUCCAGCAACUCAAGAGUUAAUAUAAGGCACCCUAAUACUUAAGUUCCGAAGCGAAAAUCAUGUCAUUAAUACUGAGGUGUAAUGCACAUGCCGGGUAUUGACCGGAAUUUACUAUUUAAUGACCGAAAUUUAACUUUAUACUAGAACUUGAAAUAGUAAAUUCCGGUCUACUUUACCUCAAUUUUCAUACCUUGUCUAGUUACGUAUUUUUAUCAAAAUUUACACGUCAGAAUUUCGGAGUGAACAAUGAGAUGAAAGCAUUGGUUCCAUUCAGAAUACUGUCGUGGGCUUCUUCAAUUGCAUUCAAAAUCAGCAACUAAUUUAGUGUUUUGGGGAUUUUUGAUUCUCAUCACCUACACUCUAUCUAUGUGCUGCUUGUUGCAUCAUUGUUGCAAGCGCAUCUAGCUCAACUGAAACGUUAAUCGCCGUACAAUUCACAUCUAGAUCUAUUGACAGCUUGCAAUCCACACGUCGUUAACAAAAUGAAGUGGACGUAAAUUAGGCAUAUACUGCCAGAAAGUUAGAUUGACUGCGCAUAAUGGAUCGUCUUUACUGCUGUCUGAAAACAAGCUAUUAAAUCGUAAGAGUUCCCAUUUUCCUUGUGAACACUCAAACCUCCACAUACCUUAAACCACAGUAUUUUUCUCAAGGGCACAUACGUAUGUAUUUAAAGUGUGGCUCUGAAGACCACUGCAAAAUUCAGUUUUCCACCUGAUUUUCACUGGAAACUCAUGACCAUUUUUCAUCCACAGCGUCCCGGUGUGGAGAAUAAGGGGUCCAAGACACGGAUUUGGACAUUCGCAAAGUCGGAUAAACUCUGACAAAGUCUAUUCACAAACUCCACAUGUUGAUUUGUCACUGUGUGUAGCGGUUUCGUGUAGAGACCCUAAUUCACAACCCUAAUGUUCCAUCCAAAACAUUACUCAAAUCAUCAAACAUGCACUUUCAGAGAUUUACAAUCAAGGAAAGGAUGGACAAAUGAAACAAAGUAGCCAGUUAUAAAACAACGGUUUAGAGGCACCAGAGAGUCUCUUCUCUUACUCUGCAAUCCAAAAGUGCGUAACAUGCUGCAGGAGUUACAUUAUUCAACAAAAGAACGUUUCAUAACAGAUUCAUGCUCAAGGGAGUGUUAAACAAAAUACUGCCACAUAGCAAAUGGAGCACAAAAAAUAUAGUUGGUACACACCAAUUCCUAAUUCAACACAAAAGUGCCUAAAAUAAUUGUAGCAACCUUUUACCAACCUUGAAACAAUCACAAUAUGUACACAAUUCAAUCAGUAACAAAAAAAGAUUCUACCACAGAGACAUGUGUCAGUGGUGUUCCAUGUUCUUAAGCUACCAAGUUCCAGUUCUCAGUUACUAAAAUUUCUACAGCCUCUUCUGAAGGAGUUUCUUCACACACCGAUUGAGACUGUCAGCUAUGAAUCUCCAAUUCUCAGCACCCUUGGGUCCAGAACGCAGGUAGAAGGGAAAUAAGACAUUCCACAUCAUAGCUCCGAGAACACAAAAAAGCCAUACCUAGCUACAGCUUCAUGGCCGAUUUGAACAUACAAGAAGCUUCUGAGAGUGAGGAAGUCGAGACAGCUGUCAUAGGCGGAUGGUUGCUGCCCCGAGGGUAGUGAGGAGGAACUUAAGGACAAAAUUUCGACAAAUGGACGAAUCAGUAAGUCAAAUAGAUCUCAAUAUGGGACCACAUAAGGCAGGGCAUACAGGUCGCAGGAGGGUAAUAAGACCGCCUCGGCCCACACCUGCACCGAGGACUCCCCUGCCCCCCUCUCCACCUCUGCCUUUGGCUUCAGGUGAGACCCAAGGGGCCUGCCUGCGAACAACCAAUCCUCAUCCGGAGUGUCUGACCACGAGCUUGUGGGCUUGAGGAUCAUCAUCUCACAUGGAGGAGAAGGCAAUUCAGAAGCCUUGGGAGACUGUCUUUGUGGUUCUAACUUAACGCUGGACAACGCAGGCUGGUUAUUAAUACUGCCGGGGGGCCCAAUACUAGCGCUACUCUCAGGGGGCAAAACUAAGCCUGGCUUAACAUCAGAAGCCUUGCCAUUGGGUUCUUUUUUACUAUACAAUGGUUGAGGAAUUACAGGAAGAGUUACAGGAGUCCUCUCCAGCACACUCCAGGCUAGGGUCUUCCCGCCAUCCCUGACCUCGCCCUUGCUGACAAGAGAUGGCUCAACAGCAGCAGCUGUUGACUGUAUAAGUGGGCGCUCAGUGACAGCCGUUGGAGGAACAUCCCGCACUUUCCCAUUCUGUUUCUCUUCUUUAGGCUGUAGAAUGUCGCUGAUAAGAACAGUCCGUGGCUGCUUACUGGGCCGCAAGGAGUCCUUGUCUGUACCAGAGGCAAGAGCGGACCCAUGACCCAAUGAUGUUGAGUAUCGUCAAGAAAAUGUGUCACAGAGCGAUAGUGAACUCAGACAUCAGCAACCGCCCUGCUGAUAUAGCAUACAUUGAUCUACAGAGCUGACCGGGGAGAAAGAGCCCUUGAAAUUUGACUAAGUUCCAAGGACGAAUGCAAAAGUAGGAGGGAUUGUUUCCUUGUCAACAUAAGGGCACUGCAUCGGAGGCAGGUGCUGAUACAAAAGCUAAUGAAAUCACACAUAUCCGAGCUUACUUCGUCAAUGUAGUUUUUCUAUUUCACAACUAAACAAUUUCCUCGUUAUGAUCACAGGAUUUCUAGCGGUGGUUACUAAGUUCUGGAAUCUUAGAAAAAUCCAAUGAUCUCUUUGAAUAUUUACACAAAUAGGGUCCGAUCUACAAUCUAGGGUACUUCUAUACAGAGAGUACACUCUGGCAAGUUGCUUAGCACACUUGGCAUCAUUGUACAACAGGACGAGAGCAGAAGGGAGAAUGACUUACCAUGGGUAUCCCCAUUCGUAUCCCCAUCCUUUUUCUUCUUUUUCUUCUUGUCUUUAUGUUUGUCUUUCCUGUCCUUCUGCGGCACAAAGUAGGAACAAAUCAACGCUCGCAUGUUAGACCAGAGAUCACGAGACCGAAACACAUUCUGAAAAAUUGGCAGCAUCCAUCAUCAGAAGUAAACUGGGUUUGUACAGCAAGGGCCACAUCGCACAUCUGUGCCAAUAAUGACUGGAUCCCAAAUGAAUGUAAACAAGAUGGCUUAGAAAUGAUGGUCGCAACAACAACGCAAUGGACAAAUAGAAUUAAGAGAAACAAAUCCAUCAAAGAAACGUAAUGCUGCCGACAGAUGCUUCGCGCAGAUUUCAGGGCAUGGGCAAGUGUGAAGACAGUAAGACCAAGGGACUCAAACAUGAUCGCCACCUUUGGAUUAUCUUCAACCUCCGCUCAAAAUAAGAGGCCGAUCUACACAACUUGAUAGUUUAACAAACAAAUUCCCUUCAAACCCCAAAUCUCGGAUUUGAAUGAAAAGAUUCGGCUACAACGAUCAGUGGAGUAACAGCACCACAGCUCUACACCUGCAAGGGGUCGACUUGAGCACCAGACAAGGCUUUCGAAAACUUCUCCUACCCAAUGAUUCGCAGUGAUUGGUAUCACACCUUGAGAUCUCGACUUUACGAGAGAUGUCACAACAUAUGUCUUCAUUGCCAUGCAAAGACCACCCGAUCUACUAAUAAGGCUAACAUCCACAAAGCAGCCAAGCAAAUCAAACCUUGUCCUUGGGAGGCUGAGCUAAAUCAGCAGGGAGCUGAGGUGCCUUCUUCUGGUAUCCCGGGGGCGGGAAUGGAUAGCAGCGAGACAUUUUCUAUUUGUUUGUAGACCAAAGUGCAGCAGCUCGCAGAGGCAAGGAGACUGCCCAGACCCAGCGGAUGGAGGCGUACCCCACUGCCACUGCUGCACCAUGUCACCACAUUCAAUCCUACUCCUUGUGUAGCUUCUCCCUUCACUUCCGCGCUGUUCUGAUUGUUUCCAAAUUUAAUAAUUUCUGUUGCCCACCGGUCUUCUUUCUCUUUCGAGAACCUUUCGUGAAACUGAUUUCAAUGUGUUUAUCUCCUCUUCUGAUUACAGUGAUCGUUGAGGAGUUAGAUAGCCGAAUUAUCGAUUCCCAUCCGAUGAUACCAGCUCCAGCAGAUGUGAAUUUUGACAGUCGAACAGCAUCCGUGUAACAAGAAUGACAAGGUCCCCGAUAACCUCAUUCGCUGAUGCUCAAGAAUCCUGCCAGUUUCUCCGAUAUGGUAUCGGUGCGGCACACUGGGAGUAUAACGCCGCAGAAGAAAAAGCUGAGAAGAUAUGCAUCUAGAUUUAACUUUGCAAGCUGUUCGUCGAAGUCAGCUUUCCCACACACCCUGAGUCACUUUUUCCAAGAUUCUUCACACUGCAGAGGAGCACUUUUAUGUCACAAGGCCGUCAACUAAGUUUGCUCAGAUGGUAAUCAAGCAGCAAUGGUGUUCACGAAAUGGAAGAAUGGGCAUGAUAGCCAAGUAACAACCUCCGCUGAGUAUCUUUUCAAGGCUCCCUACAUAUUCAUUCCGACCAUGGGUUCAGUCUAGGCCAUUCAACAUAACUCUUCGAUCAUCUUAAUCUUCACAGCAGGAAGCUGCCCCGAGCUGAGCCCUCAACGUCCACAAAAACCCCCGUCCCUGAGCAAUUGUGCAGCCCAGUCCAUACUUAGUGGGUAUUUUUUUCCCCCAGAAAUAGGGGUGUCUCUCUUUCCUCCGAAUCACUCAAUAAAUUAGAAUUCUUCCCCCACUUGAACGAUAACUUCGUAUAAACCUUGCUCCUGAUGCACUUAACCUCAACAACACGUCACCCCAAGCAAGAGACUAAGGGACAGAACUUGUUCUUUAAGUUAAGAUUUUCAUCGCCCCAACUUUCAGACCGUCCUCACAGAGCCCUUAAACCACCCUCAAGAUCCAAUGCAGCAGCACUCCCCGUCCCCCAAAACUAGGGUUCCCCAACCCAAGCAGGCAAAAGUUGCAGACACCAAAGGCAAACCUCCACCAGAACCCAAUUCUCAGCCACAACCUAAAACCUCGUCACGAUGUCACAACAUGGCAAUCCAACCCACGAUAGGGAUUUUUCACAGGGGAAGGCAGCCGGAAUUGAUCGGACAAACAAACUGUCCGAGUCGCUUAUUUCUGACCCUGAAACGCUAAAAUAUCCAACUAAACGACCAACCCCACUCUCCGGAACGCAAAACUCCACACCUUCAACAACUAGGUUUCCACACACACGCAAUCCGCGCAGCAAUUAGCCUUGCUCGAUUUCAGCCCUGAUUACACCCUAUUAGUUAAAUCCCCUGCGUCCGAGAGAGAGCGUGGCGAUGCGAGCCCCAUCCGCAAAGAGGAAGAAACCCACCAUAAAGGAGUGUGUUAUUUCUGAUUCCGAACAGUGCGGUUUGCGGUAAUUCCCAAUACGGUUUGAGUGACACAAGGCUCAAGCCUGCUGGCAUGCACACACUCAGGCAUGCUCCGCAGUAGGGCCAGUCUGGUAAGGCUCUCUCUGCCUUGGCGAUGCGCCAGACACUCUUCUAGCACACACAGACUAGUGGGCUCUGCUGUGUCUCCUUACCCCUCUUUUAACCCUUUCCGUUCCCCUCCUCGGUCGUCUCCUUCAAGCAAACCCUGCCAGCCUGUUUCCGUCCGACUCCAUGGAUCGAUACCCUUGUCUGGGUAAUAACACCAUGGUAUCACCCUCACUCUUGAUGAUCACGUAUAGUUAUCAACCCGGGUGUGAACUAGUGGUCCGGCGGGUGCAUUCGUCCGCUAGUGAGGGGCUCCGGGGUUUCGGGUGCCGGCCAUUAAAGCCGCCUUUCUCUGAUGUCAAUCCGUGGCAAGUAGGUCGCCCGGCAGCGCAUUCCUCCCCUCCAAGAUUGGAUUUCCUCGACGACCCUUGAACUGCAGCGUUUUCUCGGGGCGGAGCUUGAUUGAUUGAGGAGGUUGGAGGGGGAGGAUUGUUAGUGGGUGCCUCGGCGAAGGCAAGUAGAGGUGCAGCAAACAGUUGCGUUGCACCUCCCCCCCCCGCCAGCGUGUCCGGUUUGUGCGACUAACGUGGAUGUUGGUUGGGAGGGUGGGUUGGUUGUCAGCGUGUGCUGGGCUCUGUUCUUUCUUGCGUUCGUUCGUUCGUUCUCAGUGGAUGAUAAUUCACAAUCAUCCGUCUGACAGGGCUAUGUACUCUCUUUUGCUGGAUGGUGGAGGGGUGGACUACUGAGGGACCACCACUGCCAAUGGAUGAAUGAAUGUAAUCCCAUUGCAUUUCAAACGCCGUCCAUGCAGGGGAGAAAUGGAUGAAGAAAUGCUAACAAUGGGUGAUUUAAGAACCCAUGAAGUUUUUAUUUUUUUAUGUAUUUUUUAAGAAACAUUAAAAAGGAAAUAUGGGGAAUGGGUAACUAGGAGCCAACAGUAUGAGAGCCAACAGUUUGUUGACAAAUGUUUUUCACUCAAUGCUGGCUUAAGAGGAAAGAGUGUAUAGCACAUGCCUACUACAUAUUACCCACCAGUCAUAUUCAACAGCUGACCCCCAUCCAGACUCACUGUCAUUCAUAACGGAAGGUUCUGGGGUUUGUUUUAUGAACAAAGUGUGUGUUUGAUAGUCAGUGUUGAAGGUUGAAUAAUUAUUUGAGUUUAUGACCAUUGCAGGUAUUUAAGAAAUAUGGAAAAAGAGUUAUGUUAAGUUCUAAGCGUAAUGAAUAUUUUGAAACCAUUGCCAAGCUUUAUUGUCUAGUAGGAAAAAAAAAUUAAGCUUGGGAUGUGACAAGAACAUGGGUGUGGUGGUGGUUAGGGUUUGCAUUGGUAGCAGGUAGAAUUACAUUUGUGAAUAAGACAUGCUUCUGAAAAGUACAAAGAAAUGAACAAGGAAUUGAAUUGAAUUGAAUUCAUUUCAAGUAGAUGUUGAGAAUACACCUGACAACAUUAAAUAUGCUUUGAGAUCCUAUUUUUCUUUCUCUGCCUAAAUACUAAUGUUUGCAAGAGAAACUAGAUAAAUAAAAUAAAAAAUAUAUGUAUUUGAAGAAAUUAAGGAUAGGCUUGGUCCUACUUCUAUUCAUACCAAUUUGCAGAUCUACAAACAUGUUGUCCAUACUUCUAAUGACUUGCUUUACAAGUUAGUAUAAGAAGCAUAUUUGAGAAGAAUUCUAAUAAGCUUGCUAUCUAAGCUGCAAGACGAAUUUUUUAAGAAUAAUAUCCCAGAAAUUUUAUUGUCUAAACUUCUAUUACGAACUUUUAUAAGAUCUUACAAGAAUCUAAUUUCAAUAUUAAUAUUAUAUUAUUUUAUUGAUUUAUGUUAAGAUUUUAACUUUUUCUGUAUAUAUAUAUCCUUAAAAUUAUUUUGAUUGCAGUUUUUUUUUUUUUUUUUUUUUGGUAAAGUCAUAAAAAUAUAUACAUAUUUAAAAAUAUGAAUUGUAUAACAUAUUGAUUUUAGAUCAAAAUAAAUAAAAAUAAUAUAGUUUGAUAUAUAUAUAUAUAUGGAAAUUUAAUAAUAUAAAAUAACAAGUUGCAAUAAAAAGACAUUUAAUUAUCAUGAUGGCUAAAUAAAUUACAAAAGAAUGAAACCAUUAUUUAAUUUUAAUUACAAAAUCCUUGUAUGAUUAAAUACAUUUAAAAAAAUGAAUUUUUAAUUGAUAUUAUUUUAAGAAUGUUCAUAAAAGUUUCUAACAUUACCUCUGUAAGCACCACUUUAAACUUCCAAGUUGUAAAAAUUCGAAAUCUGUAUUAGAACUUCAUCUGGCAAAAAAAUAAAAAUAAAAAUAAAUCUUUAAAUGCUAAAAUAUAAUAGUUAAAUGAAUAAACGUAAGAAGAUUUUUUCUUGAAAUUAAGAAAAUUCUAAUUUCUUAGAAUCUACGAGAGUUUGAUUUAUUUUAUUAAAAUAAAGUAAAAAUUAAGACUGUUCUUUGAGCUUGUACUCAUCGAAAGAAAAAGUUAUCACAGUGUUUUAGAUUUUUUUUUUUUUUUUUUUUUUUUUAGAAUUUUACAUCCACGAUAUGAUUCUCAAGCUUUACAUUUAUCCUUAUUAUUCCUAUGUAUGUCAAUGACUUAAAUUAAUUUAUUUUGAUUGAUGUAUCUAUCGUCUUUAAUUAUGUACUUUAAACGACUGGUGAAGUUACUGCAAAAGUUUUGAAAUGUUAAAAUAAGGCAGUAGAAAAUUCUGCACAAUAUAUUUUUUUUCAGAAAGAAUGAUUCUUAAUAUUUAAGCUAAUUGGAAAAUAUUUUGUGAAUUUUUUUUUUCGAAUCAAUCGGAAUACAUUGUAAUCAUUGAUUUAAUCAUGUAUUAGACUUUCAACUUCAUGCACUAGGAAUAAUAGAUCUGUUUAUAUAUAUAUAUAUAUAUAUAUAUAUACAAAGGUACCUUGCUGUAUUUAAAACCCUGGUAGAUGGAAAUUUUAUAAAUAAUGUGAGGUUUUAUAAUUUAAGUGGAAGCUUGCAAUUUUAAAUUUCUAAGUUAUAGUAGAUAUGGAAUAAAAGACAUUCUUUGUAUGAGCCCAUACUAGCUUUGGUAAGAUUGCUAAUUUACUAUUUAGGGGGAUGAGAAAAGAUUUUUAUUGAAAUUUUAUUGCAAUUUAAAUGUGCAAGCAUUGGUCUUAAUUGUCAUACAAGAUUGUUUGUUCAUCAACAUGCUAGCACUACUUUGAAACAUAGGCACAAAGACAAAAACAUGUUUUACUUCUAAUUUGAAACAUAACUCUUGAGAGCUGAAGUAUUUGUUUUGCUUAUGGUACCUAUGACAAAUAUUAGGAGAUGCCAAGUUUAAACAUGUUUUUCUUGUUCAUUUGUGCAAAGAUAGGAAAAAAAACAUUUUUCUCCCAUUUGUUGUUAAAUUCACAAAACUUGCUUUUAAAUUCAAUUCUUUAAAUGUCACAAUAUCAAGAGGAAAUCUUAGGAGCUUCAAGCACAUUGAUAAAAACAUCUAUACUUUGGAAGUAACAACAGUAGACAACAAGCUUGUGACAAUCUUUGUCUCUAAGAAUUAGAAUAUGGGCAUUGCUAGAAAUCACAAUUUUGCUUUAUUUAGUGUACAAGUUUGAUAUUGUAAGCCUAUCUUCUUUUGAUUGCUUUGGGCUUUUUCCAUGUUUGAUAACAAUAAGUGUGAUAUGAUGUAUUAAACAAAAAUUAAAAAUCAAGAUUUAUUACUAGGCUAAGAUAAUGGUUGUGUAACAUGCAAAUACAACACCUUCAAUUUGAAAAUUAAUCUCCUCAUUAAUAAUAGUGAGAUGGUUGUCAAUGGUUGUGGUAUCCAUGACAAUCUCUAUCUCAUUUGCAACUCUAUUACUUGCAAGUGUUGUCUUAAUUCAAAAGAUUAAUAAUUUGCAUAGAAAUCUAAAUCCCAAAUGCACAAAUAAAUAAUCUCUUCUUUUAUUGGACCUAUAUUCAUCUAAUCUAAAUGCUAAUAGUACAAAUAAAUGAUCUUUAUUCUUGUUGGAUCCACAUUUAUGUAUUUUUGCAAAAAAAAUGAGUAUUUGAAUUAUAAAAUUUCUUACUUGUGAAGCCACCUGCUAGCACCACAAUGACAAGUAGCAAAUUAGAAUUAGAAACAAAUAAACGCACAAGCAUGGUUAUGAGAUUUUGUUUUCGAAACAGUAACUCACCAGGCAUAGAGGCUACACAAUACAAUGAUCAAAAUGAACAGAGAAGAACAGGGAGAACGAGACAAUGCAAUAGGAGCAACACAAAUAAGCAGCGCUCACAAAAGUUGAUUACUGAGGAACUUCUUUGUAUAACGUAACUGAGUCUGUUGUUUUGAGGUGUUUCUGAUGAAUUGCAAGCAGAACAAGGUUAUUAAUGCAUUGACAAGCUAAAUGGAUUUCUUCUAGUUUAUAUAUAUAUAUAUAUAUAUAUAUAUAUAUUGUUUUAAAGUGCUAAACACAUGAAUUUUUAUUACUGAAUUUCAUUUUUUUGAUUCCUGAUUGAAAAUAAAAUAAAUAUUACUACAUGAGGCUUAUAGUGGUCUAUAUUUAUAAGGUUCGUGUAAUAAUUUGAUUGUUUUUGUUUUUUUAAAAAAAACAUUAUCUAAAAUCCGUCAAACCAUUCAACUACCAUGCUUGAAACACCAACAUUCUCAUCAAUCAUCUUUGUCUUAUUUUAAAUGAAGGUAUUGUUCAUGACAUGUUACAAAAGUCACCAUGGUUAAACUUAGCACAAAUACCAAUUUGAUUAGAAGAAGUAAGAAAAUCGAUUUUGGUACUUAUUGUGGUUUUCCCACACAUUUGAAGUUUUACUCACAAUGUCAAAAAGAAGUGCAUGGAUGUGAUUGAUCAAAAAAAGCACUAGUUAUUUCUUAUAACUUACUGUAUUGCAUGAUUCUAGAGCCACGAAACGAAGAGAAUAAGCAAAGUAUACUGUAUUACAUUAUAUGUAGACAUAAAAUAAAAGAACACAGGGAUUGUUUAAUGUAUUAAGAUUGAUACCCGUUCUCAACCGAUGCCUGGGUAUGUGCCUUUCAACAGAUGAACGCGGGUCUUAUCCGGGUAUGAAGUUUUGGUCCUGAAUCUAGUUUUGUUCGGCAUUUCCAAUUCGGUUGCAUUUGUCACGUCUUGAGCAUUUGUUUUGCACUGCCUGCAACGCUAGGAAAUUGAAUCAGUUUUGUCGAUUGCAUCCCUGUGCAACGAUUACGCACUUCGGGGGCAAUCUAAUCGGCUCUCAUUGUUGUGAGGUCGUUGAGCAACUCCUGUUUGUAUCACAAGCAUCGCCAUUGAAAAAUGCAGACAACACGGUGAUUCUAGGUUGCGACGCUUCUUCUCUGAUCCUCAUCUUCGGCCACAAUAUUGCCUCAUGCCUUCUCCGAUGACUUGAGAAGCGAAAGGAAUCCUGAACAUGCUCACGGAAAUCUUAUAUGUCAUCUUUUCACUCGCCAAGGUGCACUGUUUCAAUGGUGAUGCUUAUGAUACGAACUUCGUUGCCAUACCCCGCAGGAUGCCUCAAAGAUGCCCAGAGAUCACGAAGGCUCCGAGGAGACUAGCUAAAACCACUUCAAGCACGUCUCCGAAGAGCUUCAACGACACGCAGGUACAGUCUUCAUCAAUCUCACAAGCAUGAAAUUAUAUUUGACAUUCGCAACAUAUGAUUUAACAAAUUUAACAAAGAAUCUUCAGUAUUGUGAGGCAUUUUUUUUAUUUAUCACGAGACGCCGAAUCAAUUAAUCGCAAGUCUAUAUGCUCUUUCUUCUUCUUCCUCCUCUAGUUACAUCAUUCACGGUAGACAUCGCAAUAUUGACACAGUUUAUUCAACACCAGAUUAUUGCAGCUUGACCUCAACCACAAAUUUUGCAUUUGAUCGAAACUGUUACUCCAUCGAACUGUAACGAAUUUAGCUCACCUUGGCGAGCAUGUUGAAGUUGCAAAACAGUGAUUUGCUUGUUGUACACCUCUCAUAAUUGCGGUGAUUCCAGUCAAAGCUUGAUGAGAAAUUUGUGACAGGCAGUUUCAGUAGGUAAUUUUUUGUUUGAUUUGUUUGUUUGUUUGCUAAUGCCACAAUUUUUGCUACUAUCAUUGCAACUUGCCAUCCAUCAUAUGUUAUAGUAGAUUUUGCUCAUGCCACCACAAGUUUUUCUGAACUUACAUUGCACACCACAAUGUACUUUACAGAACACUAAAGAUUGUGGUGUACCUUAGGAAUGCUAUAUAAAAUGCAUUAUAGUGUGCAAUGCAAAUUUAAGGCAGUUUAUGGUGGCAGCAGCAAAAAAUUUAGUGGCAUUAACCACACCCUAAAAAGAUGUUCAAAGGUCUAAAUUCAAAAGAAUGCAAAUAGUAAAUGCAAAUAUUUGUUUGAUGUAAUUUACAAUUGAGAAGUUUGAAGAGAUUUUGAAAUAAAAACAACAAAAAGGUGAACCAAACACAACAAUAAUAAAAAUCUUUUGUGUACAGAAUGAUUGGUUAUAAUAUAUUCUAUGCAAAUAUAAGUAAAAAAUCAUUGAAUUAGGUUACACUUUUAAUAGAGAAUUGUAGGAAGAAUUCACUAGCUAGAACAUAGGGAUUCAACAAUUUAGAUAUUAUUUAUCAUAACUUCUAAUUUUGUUUCUGUUUUUGCAAGGCAAACAACAAUGGAAUGAAGCUGAGUAUGUGGGUGUGUGUAUGGAUGCGCUUUGAAGGAUUCCUCGUGUAAUUUUUCGCACAAUCAGCUAAAUUGUAAGCAAAACAGCCAGUUGUGAUCACCUGAUUCGCAUGAAUCCCCCCGUUAGACCAUUCACAGGGACUGCGUGAAGGCAAAUCCUUGAACCGGGGCUGUCUUGUGCGGCUCAAAGCAGUGGAGGUCACUCGCACACCUGGUCAGAUCCCUCCACAAACGGCUCUGCACACAUCGCAGAAUCCGAUUAUCCUCAUUUUGUCUUGAAUUCUAAGCAGCCGCAGCCGGAAUGUGCCCUAAAUCAAGCUGAGUCGUGGCCAAAUUCCUGCCCGGAGCCUCAGAGCCUCCAAUACACGGCCUACCUUUCAUGAGACUUGAGCUUGAUGGCCUGCCGAACUCCGAUUUUUCAUUCCCAACCUGCCUGUUCGACUCGGGAAUGAACUCUUGACAAAAUCCAAACGGUUACGCUUUCUACAGGAAGCAGAUAUUAGAGAAAAAAGAGAGGGAGAGCGACAUAACUUGACUUCAGUAACCUAACAAUCCAGCAGCAAAUGCAAAUCUGUUAAAUCAACUCUUCGAAAUCCGGCAACUGAGGGAGAGCUCACCAAUUAAUGAGAACAUGCUCUAUGUAACGCAUGCAACAGCAACAAAACUAAACAAUACAAAGCCCUUGCACCUCGCCACUGGACUGUAAGAGCUGACCUGUUUGCAGAAAAAGCUCGAAGAUAUUUCGAAAAGCAUUCGCAGCACGAAUUUCGUUGGGAGAGGUGGACGGAUGCCGGAAAUCGUUGCCAAGGAUGAGAAUAAGCGAGAGGAGUUGUUUCCCGACUGGAAAAAGUGUUGGAUGCAUAUCACUUAUAUUCAUCUGUGGAGCCAGUAGGAUUGUGAGGGCUAGGCAACAGGCCAUGCGCCAACCUCGAGAAGCGGAAAAAGUCGCGCCACCCAACAAACGAAUGGUUAGACAUGUGGGUGUGCGGAGAUAUGACCAAAGCCUUUCUUCCGCGCCCGCAGAGGCUGCCACUUGGUGUUGCGCUCUGCCGCGGCGCCCACAUAGCCUUUGCGUCAGCAUUCCGACCCUGCUGCGCAAUUCAUUAAAUGAUUCUUGGUUCCAUUCCUCCCUCUAUUACCAACGUCGCUACUCAAUCACGUCUCGCUUGUCAAUUACUGCAGUCUUAAGUUGUCGACGUUUCAGGUACUGCAGUAAGUUAGCUCGUAGAAUGUGUGAUUUGGUUUGCAGGGUUAGUGUCAUGUGCGAGACAUGUAGGUAGUGCUUGAUUUCUCGCAGGUUUGUGACCGAUUUUGGAGUUUUGAAGGGGAUUGUUGGGGUGACUACAGAUAUAUCCGUUACCAUCUGCAGGAUCUGAUGUAGGAUUUCUACAAGCCUGCUGAUGAACUUAUGUAUGAUGCUUCGAUGUGAUUGUAAUAAAAUGAAACGGCGCACAUGGAAGUUGGAAGUCUUGCUACGUGAUGUCGUGUUCAGGGUUGAGAAUGGCUAGGAUUGAUUCUAGGACGUGUCGCUAGAAUACGGUUUUCUAGAUGAAAUAAUCCGACAUUCUCAAAGAAGCUAUGAACAUUGCUGACGGGACUGUCUUUGUGAAGGAAAUCCAACUUGCACAAAUCCGCAUUUGCAUAGAGUAUUCUGGAGACAUGUCAUCCAAUUGAAGCAUAACUGGUUGUUUAUGAGUUAUCUGAUGCAGAAAUUUGAGCUCCUGGAACGUCGUAGUUGAUCAUCAUGGUUAGGGCUGAGAGCUUAACCGCAGUGUUGCUGUGUUGUCUUCUCCUCUGCAAUUUCGUGCCUACCCCUGCCGUGGCAAGCAGGAGGCUGAUUAGAGGAGCGGUCUCCUUUGCCAUCCGCGCGUGGUGUAUUCCCAGGACGGAAUCGUUGCUGCUAGAGUACGAACAAAAACACGAAUGUACUUACAAUUUGACUAACGGCGACAGAGCAGCCGGUGUGGGAUACAAUUUGGACGACGAUGUGGAAACUCGGCGCUCGGAGCUUAGCACUGUCCUUGCAGACUAUGAUAAGGUAACCCAACUGCCUGUAUCUCGAUCGCUUUUAGGGUUAUUUAUUGUUAGUUAUCUUUUAAUUAAAACUUAGUUAUAAUCUUCAUUGUCAAACUGUUGUGAUUUUUCUUCUGUAUUUGUGAUUUGAAUGUGAAGGUUGACUGCCUUGGCAGGUCUACAUAGGCGAGAGCUGCUUAAACGCAGUCCAAAUCAGCGCACUGCUCGCCCUUGACACGAGACGUGCAUUAGACAGAGCAGCUGCAAGUGUGAAGUCCUUGGAUGAGCAGUGUUGCGCUGUCAUGGCUGUUUUUGGCGACAUCCAGCACUCAGCGGGUAAUUCUGCAACCGAACUUAUACGUCUUAGUAGUUACGACAAUUAAAAUUUUCACAAUUAGAGAUCUUAAACUGGUUUUGGUUGCUGUUUCCAUCAGGUACUACUUCUUUUUCACAAUUCGUAUGAAGCAUACUAUACCACAUGUCCUUCGGGUCGAUUCUCAUAGAACAACUCAAGAGAGCAAUACUCACAUUAGUAUUAAUCACGUUGUCAUUCACAUACUUGCUAAUAGGGUCAACUACUCGGUUGCAGGUAAAGAUGCGUUUGAGGGAAGUGAUUUUAAGGAUUUCAUUGAAGCUAUGAGCGCCAAAAAGUGGAUGAAGGCAGCUGAAAAUUUGAAAAAAACGAGCUGGUGCAAAGCCAACAAGGAGAGGUGCAUGAGUGACAAGGCCAUCAUCAAAGAAGGCUGUGGAGAAGCUGGGGCUGAUGUAGUCAUCCACCAGGUCACUAACCCACAUGUCCACAAUUAAAACUACAAUGUACAUGGUCUAUACGAACAAUGAGAUGUGUACGCAGCAACGUUUUUCUGUAGAGGUGGUGCUUGAAUCAUGUUGCGUCUGUUGCCACAGGAAUGAGUCAAUUUUGAUGGAGUAUAUAAUAAGGGCACUGUUUGUAUGUUCUUAGCUGCGUCCAGGUUUUGGGAAUUUGCUUCGAACCCCCUUAUUUAUAAGGAUAACAGACAUAGUAUACAAAUUACUAUAAUGAUAAUGACAGAUUGUGUAACGGUGUGUGAAACUGCCUUCUGAAAACUAAAAUCUAGAUGUUUGCAGCAACGCACACUUCAAUGUUCCAGGCAUUGAAGACAGACCAUCAGAUGUUGAUAACUCUCUCUCUCUCUCGCUAUAUAUAUAUAUGGUGUCUGUGCUUUCAAAGCUGUGCAUAUGUUCAUAUAUGGUGAGAGUUCCUUGAUUCAGGGAAAGGAUAUGUAAAGACACUGUUAUGAAAUGAGGUUGAUGACAGUAACGAAUAAUGCAUCAUAUCUGGCACGCAUGAUUCAGAAAUGCACCGAGUUCCUUGAUUCUUGUGCUGGUUGGUGUAAAAUAGAUUCUGCAGUUUCUUCCAUUCACAUUCUUCUCAGGACAUCUUAUUUUGUCAUAUAUUUAUUUUAUAAAGCAUCCUUCAAACCCACCAAAUCAAUUUUGAUAGAAGAAAUUGAGUUUUUCAGUAAUUGAAGCUUUAAGGUGUAGAAAUCUUGUAUAGAAUAUGAAAGAUUAAACAAAGUCCUCAACUUCAGGGAGUUGGGUGUUCUUACAAAUAUGCAGAUAUUUUAAAAUGUUUCUUGUAAAAUGUUCUAAGUACAGUAAUAAAAUUAUACAUCAAAACCGGAUAUCAAUGAAGAAACUGAUCAGAUCUGAAUUAUAUUGUACAACUAAUGCAAACGUUGAGAUAUUAUUAGUUGUACAUGAUUAAGUAUUUUUCACACAAAAUGGACGUAAUUGAGAUGUUUGUGAGAUUGUGCAACAAGAUAGAGUGAUUACACAAUCAAAUCAUUGAAUACUUGCACAUUGGUAUUGAAAGAGGAAAUUUUGCAUUAAUACAAAGUGAACUUUAGAAGUCAUGUAGAAAUUGAAAUUGUUGUAUACUAAUGUUGGUUUUAGUAUGAAUAUUUCUGAGGAAACUUGCAAACUUAUUUACUUUAAUGGUAUUCAAUAUAUACAUAUAAUUUGGUUUGAUGUAUGAAAGAUUAAAUUUUUUUUGGAACGAGCUUAUAUAAAAUUUUACAUAUUAAGGUAUGUUUCAUGGUGUGUAUUUUUUAUUUUUUAAUUUUAUUAUUUAUUAUUAUAAUAUUCUUUAAAACAAAGAACUUCCCAAAAAUAUAAAAAAAAUCAAUUAAGUUCUAUAUAUUUUCAAUUAUAAUAUCUAAGUUACAAAUUAAUUAAAAAUAACAACAAAAAUUAUUAUUAUUUUAAUAAUAUAAAAUAUAUCAAAUAAAAUUUUUAAAUUUAAUAAUCAGAUUUUGAUUUUUUAUAGUUGAAAUUUGAUUAGAACUAUAUAAGCUUAAAUCAUUCAUCAAAUAAAUUUGACUCAUCAUCCAACUCAAACAACAAUAAUAUUGAAGAAAGAAAAUUUUGAAGUCAUAAUAUAUAGUAUAAAGUAAGAUAACUCUUACUUCAAAUAUCCAUUACUAAAAGAUGGUGGUUAUUGCUCUAAUAAACAACUUCCAUCUUUUGAUGAAUACACCUAUCUAAGAUUCUACCAAAAUUAUUUAUUGAUAUUUUAUCUAUUAUUAAGAUAUAUCUUUAGCAUAUUCUUUGUAUUCUUAAGAUCUUUUGUCCAUUCAUCUAUCUUAUGUCUUAGCAUUUUCACAUACCAAAAAUCAAUAUUUUGACCAUUAACAACUUAUCUAAGAUAAUAUUCUGUACAAGAUAACUUAUUCUACUUUUAUUUUUAUUUACUUACUUUAAUAUUUCUACUUUGUUAUUAAUCAAAGACUUUCACUUCUAAUAUCCUUGUCAAUAUGUGAUGCCUAUCCUUCACUAAUGCUUUUGUCAACAAAUUAGCAAGUAUGUCUUUUGUUGCACAAUACUAUAUCUCAAUCACUUCCAUUUUAAUCUUCUCUCUUAUAAAGUGAUGUUGAAUGUCAAUGUCUUUAGUUCUUGAAUGAUGUUUUGAGUUCUUUGCAAAAGCAAGACAUCCUUGAUUAUUACACUUCAUUAGAAUUGCUUCAAAUUACAUCACUUUAAUAUCUUCAAAAAUUUGUCUUAAUUAUAUUGCUUCUAUUGUACCAUGGCUUAUUGCUAUGUACUCCACAUCCAUUGUGGACUUUAUAAUUAUUGGUCGUCUCUUGCAAUUCCAUGAAAUAGCUCUUAUUCCAACAAAAAAUAUAUGACUUAUUUUUUAUCUUCUAUCAUUUGCAUCUCUAAUCCAAUCAUCAACACAAUUACCAUACAAAGUAAUAUUAUCACCUCCAAAACACAAUUUAAAGUAUAAAGUAUCUUUUAAAUAAUUUAUAAUUCUUUUAUGAUUAUCCAAUGGAUUGGUUCAGCUUUUGACAUGUAUUGGCUUACAAUACUUAUGACAUAUGCAAAAUCCACCUUUGUACUAAUUGUUGUAUACAUAAAUAAAGCCAUUGUUGCCUUAUAUAGAACACCUCGUAUUUCAUCUUCAAUUUUAGUAAAUUCCUCAUCUAUGAGCUUUAUCAACUUCAAAUUGGCUUUGAAAGGUUUUUUAAUAGACUUACAUUCUCUCAUGUUAAAUCAUUUCAAUACUUCUUCAAUGUCUUAUUUUGGCUCAUUGUAAUAGUUUUGUUAGUCUGAUCUCUAAUAAACUCCACUCCUAAAUAAUCGUAAAGUUCUUUCAAAUCACUCAUCUCAUACUCAUUUUUUAUUUUUAUUUUUAAUCAAUUCAUAAUCUUUAAGGUAUUUAUUUAGAUGAUUAAAUCAUCAACAUAGAAGAUGAUAAUCAAUAAGAAUUCAUUUGAUUGCAUUAUAUACAUAGAAUAAUUAGUUUCACUUCUUAUUAAUCCUUUAUACACAAAGAAUGUGUCAAUAUAUUGGUACCAUGUCUUUGGUGAUUGUUUGAAAUCAUAUAAGGAUUUCUUCAACUUACAAAUAAAGUAUCGUUUGCUUUUUUCAACAAAUCCUUGAGAUUAAUUCAUGUAUAUAUCUUCUUCCAAUUUUUCAUAUAAGAAAGUUGUCUUUACAUUCAUUUGAUGCAUCUCCAAGUCUAUUGUUAUCUCAAUUGCUAUAAUAGUUCUAAUGGUGGUGAAUUUAGCCAUGGGAGCUAAUAUCUCAUUGAAAUCAAUACAAACAACUUGUAAGUAGUCUUUGAAAAUCAAUCUAGUAUUAUAUCUCACAACAUCAUCUAUUGAAUCUCUUUUGGUUCUAAACACCCACUUAUAAUCAAUUGAAGAUUGAUUGGUAGAAGUUAAAGCAAUUUUCAUAUUUUAUUAUCCAUGAAUAAUUUGUAUUCUUUUUUCAUUGCAUUUUCUCACUUCAUAGUAUUUAUAAACUUCAUUGCAUCACACAAAUUCAAUGGAUUAGUAAAGAAUACAAUAUUGAUAUGUUUUUUACUUACUUAAGAAAAGAUGUCAUUCUUUUAUCAUUUACUGUGUUAUUAUUGGUGUUAAUUUUUUUUGUUUGUUUCUUUUUUCUUUUUUCUUAUAAAAUAUCUCUUUUUACUUGAUGAAGAUUCACCUCCAUGCACUCUAAGGUUUUUUAUAACCUUCUUCUUUCUUAAAACUUAUUCCUUCAUAUUUAAAGAUUGAUACUCUUCAUCAUCAUCAUAUUCAAUGUCUUAAUUUUUUUCAUUGCUUGUAUAAGAAUUAUAGACACACUUUAGUCUACCUUCUUUAGCUCUUUACUUUGAUUUAAAAAAAUACUAAAAUAUAUGAAAUUUAAACUUAAUACAAAAGAUACAAAAUAUAUUCUUAUUGAAUAUUGUGAAGGUAUUAAGGCAUAUAGGCUAAUGUAUUUAAAAACUAAAAAAAUCCUCAAGAGUUUUGAUGUAGAAUUUUUGGAGUAUAAGAGUACUUGUGAACACUUAAAGAUGUGUCCAAGUGAGAGUAAUGAUAUAUUUAUAAAUACAUCUUCAAUUUUAGUAUAAAAAAAAAAAUUAUAAUAUUGAAGCUCUUCAAGUUCAUUUGGUGCUAGGCAAUAAAUUGGUUGACUUAUUGAUUUGGCUCGUGACAAUAGUUCUAUUUGAAAAGGGGCACCUUGAUAAGGAGACAUGCUACUAGGUAGGUUGAUUGGAAAAACAUCUAGAUAUUCUCGUAUGAGUUACUUUGUCCAUUUUAUUCCUUUAGUUGUCUUUCCUACCAUUGAUACAAGAUUUGAAACCACCAUAUAUACUGGUUGCUUAUGUUAUAUUUGCUUCUUCAUAAAAGUCAUUUCUACGAGUAAGUCUUUAGUUGCAAAUUAUUUUUUCUCUUCACUCAAUGCAAAGAUACAAAGAGUCACCUUGCAUCCACCUUCUUUGAAGGAGAUUGUCCUUACUAUCCAAUCAACUUACUUAUUUCCUACCUCUAGCCAUGGCAUACCAAGGAUAAAAUUAUAUCCUAACUUUGUUACCUUGAACCUCUCUCUUAAGAUGUAGGUGUCAAUCAACAUAUUAUAAACAAUUAUAUUAUGAUACUAUGUGCAAUACCUUUGAUCUUACAUUCAUAUUGCUUCUCUACAAAUACCUUAAAAUCUUUAAAUCUUAAAAAAUACUCAUUCUUAGCUUUAAGGAUGUAAAUCCACAUCUUUUUUGAAAAAUCAUCAAUCAAUGUGAGAAAAUACCUUGCUCUUUCAAUUGAUGAUAUCUUCAUUGGUCUUUAAACAAUUUGCUAGUAUAUAUUGUAAUUCCAUUUAGAAAUAAAGCUAUUUAUUGUUUAUAUUGUAUACAAUCUUUACAAGCAAGUAUUAUGGUAUUAUGGCUAAAUUAACUAAGAUUUAAGUAACUUAUAAUAGAUUGGAUUUCCUUCAUAUUUUUGACAUUCAAAUAAUCAAAUCAUUGAUGCUAAAUUUCAAACUUAUCUUAAUCUUGUAAAAACUCAGCAAAUAUUGUUAUUUCAACUCUAUUGACCUUUUUACAAUUGAUGAAGUAGAUGUUGCCAUUUCUAAAGCCUAUGGCAAUAUCUUAUCCAUCCAAUAUCUUCACAAAACACUCAUUCAUGCUAAAUUGAAUCUAACAACCAUAUGAUAUAAGUUUGUUCAUUGAAAAAAAUUUCUUAUUUAACUUUGGAACAUAUAAGACUUCCAUUAAUUUGAACUUCUUAGUUUGGUCCUUUAUAACAAUCUUCACUAUAAUAGAGCCAAUUUCAAUGGCUUGUACCAUCCCAUAUUCUUCCAACCACACUUUUGUUACUAAAAUUGAUUUAUAAGUGUCAAAUAAAUACUUAUACAAUAUCAUGUACUUAGUAGCACCUAAUCUAUAAUCCAUUUGGAUAUGGCAGCCAUAGAGGUUCUUUCAGUUGCUGUGAAAGCAUAGUUAUUUCUAUAAAAAUUAUUACAAGUAUUGUUUGUAUUAUAUAUAUAUAUAUUAUUAUAUAGAAAUUUCUUUAAAAAUGAUCUAAUUUUUUAUAAAUAUAAUAAUAUUUUUAAUAAUUUUUUAAAUUAUUAUAUUGAUAAAAAUAGCUAUCUUUAUCUUAUUUUAAAAAUAAAGCCAAAUUAUCAAUUUGAAGCUCUUUCUCUUUCUUCUUAGUUAUUUUAUAGGCAAGUUUUGAUGUGACAUAAUCUAAUGUAAGCUCUUUUAACUUUAAUGCCACAAUAAAAUAGUUAUUGGACUUCAAAAGACUCAUGAGCAAUGUUAAUACAAUGUCAUUAUUAUCAACUAGCUUAUCAACAACUGCUAGUUGGUUUAGAAGUCCUUUUAUCUUGUUGAUAUGUGCCAUGAAGUCAUUUCUUUCCUCCAUCUUUAUUCUUAAGAACUUCUUCUUUGUCUAUAGAAUAUUGGAAAGGUUUCUAUUCUCAUAGAUAUUAUAAAGAAUCUUUUAUACUUAUAUUGACCUAUUACAAGCAAUUACAUGUGAAAAAUUGGUAUCAUGAAGAUUUGUUACAAUUAAUCCAAAAUCUUUAUUUUCACAAUGUUUGUACUUUUUCUUCACCUUGAUAUCAUCAUAGUCGCUUAAAGGCUCUUCACUUUCAUCAACAAUUUUUCAAAGGUAUAAUAAAACCAAUAAAAACUAUAUUUUUUUCUUCUAAUAUUAGAAGUUGUCACUUCUAAAUUUUUCAAUCAUUCGAAAGUCCUCACCCACACUUGAAGCUAUGUUUAAAGAAGAGGUAUAUCUAAGAGAAUUAAAAAAAAGAUGAGAUAGAGCUUUCAAAAUCAAGAUAAAGAUAUUGCUGCCAUAAAAAUCCAAAAUAUCCUCUUUGUGAGUAAACAAGUGAUUAAAUAUACUAUGAAAACUUUAUUAAUAAGACUUAUUAUAAAUCAUACUGUAUCUAAACUUCUUUUAUAAGUUUUAUCAUUCUUUAAUUACAUCUAAUCUCAUAAAAAGCUUUUAAUUUCAUAAAACACUUCUUAUUACUAUAAGAAGAACUUUUAAGAACUUUAGCACAUUAAAACAUAAUGUUAGCACACCAAUGAUGUAACUUUGCAAAGAAAUAUAAUAUUAGUGUUUUAAAAUAUUGGUUUAAAGUGUCUAAUAAUCUCUAAGACUAUGAAUGCAUUUAACAACAAGUAAGAAAAAACUACAUCAACAAUUAGAUACAAAAGUAUGGUUAGAAGAUAUCAAAUAUUAAUAUUAGCAAUAACUAUAAGAUGUAUUUCAUUCAACAAGAAAGACUUUAAAUAACUUCAAAAUUCAUAAGUAAGAGUGAAUAGACUUAUAACCUAUAAAAAAAAAAAAAAAAAAAAAAAAAAACUUUGAAGUCAUAAUACAUAGCAUCAAUAAGAAUGCAUAUAAAGAGAGUAUGGAGUAAGAUAACUCUCAUUUACAAUACUUGUUACUUAUAGGUAGUAGUUGUUCUAAUAAACAACUUCCAUCCUUUGAUGAAUACAUCUAUCUAAGAUUCUAUAGAAACUAUCCAUUGAUAUCUUAUCUACUAUGAAGUUAUUUUUUUAUCAUAUUUUCUAUAUUCCUCAGAUCCUUUGUCCAUUCAUUUUUCUUAUCUCUUAGCUUUUUCACAUACCAAAAGCCAACCCUUUCACCAUUAUCAACGUAUCUAAGAUAAUAUAAUCUAUAAGGUAAUUUAUUCUACUUUCACUUUUACUUAUUUAUUUUAACAAACAACACUUAAACCAAGUCUCUCAUUACAAGAUCUAAUAAAAAUUUAUUCACAACAUAUGCACUUUUGUUAUACUUAUCGGUUGUUGGUAGAUACAUAACAAGUUUAAACAUUGGUAGUUACUAAAUAUUUAAUUUACUCGGACCACCCAACUUUGGCACCACAAAGCCACGCCAACCUUUUGAUGGUAUCCGACUUUUUACGUUUGCGUUAACUUUAGCUUUAAAAGUUCACUUUCACGGUUUUCGAAGGCGGCGUCGGCCCAUGAAUGCGAAGUGUGCCGCUGUCUGCUGCUACACGCUUUGCUCAUAAACUCGUCGGCGAUGGCGUCGACAUCACCUGCACCCCGCGCUCCCUCCGCAUGCGACGCCAUUACCCAUCUCACGCUCAGUGCUCUAAAUCCGAUGCCGCUCCUCUCGGAUACUGGAACCAGAUUAUCCUGUAAACCCCCCGCAAUGCUCACGCUACAGGUGCUGCUCUCGACGCGAGCCUGUUGUUAAGUUACCUAUCAAGGAUUCGGCCUCACGCCGCGAGUCCAGAUUCCGAGACUCGCCGCCUCAAUGCAAGCGCAAUACGUCUGGAAUGCGUUCUCCUUGUGAAUUGAACCGUUUCCCCAGAUGGCAUCACAGGUUGGUGAUGUGAAGUCCCGCACUGUAGCUGGAUUCCACCUCGUCAACGACGCCGGGAAGUAUGAAUACGCCCCGACGACGACGGCGUCGACGUCGUUCCCCGUUUGCUCCCUCUGUCGCACAGAUAUGUUGCCGUGAUGUUCCCUGUACCGCCGCCUGCAACCAUUUAGUUUCCUGCCCCUCUAUUGCAUGCAGUGAAGCUCCCGUUUGGCUGGCUCCCGCCGUUUUCUCUUCCCUUUAGAUUGCCAUCUUUCUGCUCCUCACAUUGGGCCCUCUUCUCGCCCUUCACCACCGUUCUCAGUUUCUAGUGUGCUUGAACUGCAUUCGUUUGUGGUGCUGUGUUGAUCUUUGCUAUAAAGUGUGUCCUGCUUUAGAGCAGUGCUCAUCUGCUUGGUUACCUCUCCUUAGCAUCGUGCUCUACAGUUGUUGUGGUGGUGGAGACUGUCAAGCGGCGAAUAAUUGUGGCAAGAUGGUGCGUUAUGAUGCACCCUCGCCGAUUAUUCCAUUCUUCUUUGUUGCGACCAUGGUAGGCAUGGCGUUUCUACCGUGGAUCAGAAGCUGCGUCUCCGCAACUGUCCUUGGGCUGCAGCAGAUGCCAUUGCUUUAUCUGUCGCCACUGCUCAUCAUCCUCGGCAUCUCUCUCAUAUCCACUUUCCAGAAGUGGAUGAACCCUGCCGGUUCUCCUGCUCGCCAGCCCAACGCCCGUGAGUGGAGAGCUUCCUGCACUGGGGACGACGUGCUUGGGAGCCAACAGAGCGAUGGCGCUGGCAUUGGGCUGUUCGUCCUGCUCGUCGUCGCCUUGGUCUUGAUUCCGUGGCGGUGAAGAAGAAUUUGCUGCUUUUAAGUGUCAAGCAUUCGGAGAUUCGUGCUGAGAUGUCAACAGUUGUCUAAUGAUUAUGCCCAGUUUGUUCGGCCAGUGUUUUUCGUCACUGAUGUUGACUUCUUGCUGUGGUGAGAAUAGGUCUGCUCGUGAGGCUUGUAAGUUAUGGAGUAGAAUGGUCAAGAAUCAAGUCUUACGCUUAUUAGAAGCGGGUUGGUAUGAAUGAGAAGUAUGUUGUACAAAGUUAGUUUCCUUUCUAGAACAGAGUCUUGUUCUGGAAAUAGGACCCUAAAACCUUCUCAGCUGCCUCUUUUGAUGUUACAGAGGAUCGGAGUAUAGUGCGAGAGCAAAACUCCAGGCUGUAUUUAUAUCCCUUGUGACCUUUGUAUUAAUAUAACGGCCAUAUACAUGAUAACACCGACUCAUUCUCUCUUCAGAUACAAUACGAACAACGAGACUUGGGAUAUUGUGUCAUUCGCUAUACACGAAUGAGACCAUUGUCAUGUUUGCCAGCUUCUGUUUACAAUGCAGAGUCUAGAUUGUCACACUAUCACGAGAACCAGAUUUUGGUUCUCAUGCCCCCAUCGCUCCGUUUCCAAUUACAUGUGAACGAACCACACUGUGGUCAGCCAUAUCGACACAGAUUCACCCUUCACUCAACUGUCACUAUUUUUUCGAACUCGAAACCGUGUUCUAAAUAUGUUGCCAUAUUUUAUUUUUACAUUA
rnacentral:lncRNA from 1 species